rnacentral:lncRNA from 1 species
UAAGGGUACCAAGUGAUUUGCAUGGUUACUUCACACCUCGUUUUGUGAUCCUCGGUAUCCCAGUCACAAAACUUGGAGGGCACACUCGAGAUUGAAACAUGCCUUUGAAAAGUUCAUUGAAUCUCAAAGAAUCUAGGAAUUUCUAAGAACCAUUCAAAAACCUAAUACUAAAAUAUUGCGGUUUUCGUGGUGGAAAUUGGUGAAUCGUCAUUCACCUACCUUUCAAAUAUGAUAUAGCUUAGAUUACGGCAUACCUCUUCUAAGUUAUAUUAUAUUGUGAUUGGAUCCUAGCCUUAAUAUUACAUUUGGGUGUUUUAUUAAGGACUCUCUUAUAUCUAAACUAAUCUUGUCCUCUUUCCUUCAGAUGUCUUUCAACAAUGCUUCUGGCUCUAAUCCUAAUGGCUCCUUUACCCUUAUGAACUUGUGUGGGAAAGUCACCUUUGAUGGAUCCAACUUCAAUGAGUGGAUCAGAAACAUCAGGAUGAUUACCCGCUACGAGGACAAAGAAUAUGUCCUUGACAAGGAGCUUAAGGAGAUUGAUGAGUCCACUGCAACUCCUCAGGAGAUCGCUGAAUUUCGGGCACAUGAAAGGGAUGCUACGAAAGUGGCUUGCAUCAUGAUGGCCACGAUGACAGCGGAACUCCAAAAGUCUUAUGAGGAUUUCUACCCUUAUGACAUGCACCAAGAUUUGAUGGAAAGAUACCAUCAAAGUGCAAGACAAGAGAGGUAUGAAAUCAUCUGCUCCAUGAUAACAACCAUGAUGAAGGACGGGGAAUCCGUCACGAGCCACAUGCAGAAAAUGCAAAGGUAUGUGGAUCGUUUGCUGAAGCUUAAUGUGAACUUCCCGGAGGAUCUUGCAAUAGAUAUUAUUUUGCAUUCCUUACCAUCGUGCUAUGAUCAAUUCCGCAUGACAUAUCACAUGAACAAGGAAGAAGUCACCCUCAGCAAACUUCAGGGACUUCUCAAGACCGCAGAAACAGGUCUUAAGGGGAAGUCGGUUGCUAUCACUCCUACUCAAAACUCUACUCCGGUUUUGGCAAUCGGGAAAAGUCGAGGGAGGAAGAGAAAGAGCUCUUCUAAGGGUACCAAGGCUCGGACCCUUGAUGGCUCUUCUUCAAGUGGAACCAAGAAAGGUUUCGUUACUCCUUCUUCUGACCCAAAAGAGGCUGAAUGCUUCUAUUGCCAUGAAAAAGCUCAUUGGAAGCGGAACUGCCCAAAAUACCAGCAAGAUGUGAAGGAUGGGAAAGUUAAACCCAACCAUGCAGGUAUUUACACUAUCAUUUCUAAUAACUCACCCCAUUCUAAUUCUUGGGUCCUUGAUACCGGGUGUGGUAUUCACAUUUGUUGUGACUUGCAGGGACUAAGAAGAAGUGAGGAUGUGGAGCAAGGAAGGAUAAACUUGAUCAUGGGGAAUAGGAAAGCUAUACCUGUUACCAAGAUUGGAGUUUAUACUUUAUCGCUAAGUAGUGGGUUUAGUUUAGAUUUGAAUAAGUGUUGUUAUUCGCCAGGAAUGGCAAGAAAUAUUAUUUCCUUUCAUGCUUUGUACAAACAAGGGUUUACCUUUUCAUUUAAUAAUGAAGUUGGUUCUAUAGAUGUUUUCUAUAAUAAUGUCUUUUAUUUUAAAGCAUUACCUUGUGAUGGUGUGUAUGAAGCUGUAUCUGUUGUAGAUAACUUGGGAAAUAAUGUUUUGUGUAUUGAUUCUACUAAUAAUAACUUGGAUAAAGCAUCUUUAUGGCAUUGUCGUCUUGGACAUAUAAGCAAGAAACGCAUAGGCCAACUCCAAAAGGAUGGAGUCUUGGAGUCGUUUGACCUAAAGUCAGAUGAUAGUUGCGAAUCAUGCUUACUUGGAAAAAUGACAAAGUCACCCUUCACAGGUUCGUGUGAGAGGGGUGAAGGUUUGUUGGACCUUAUACACACGGAUGUGUGUGGACCAUUCAAACAUGCCACAAGGGAUGCUAAUCGUUAUUAUUUGACUUUUACUGAUGAUUAUAGUAGAUAUGGAUAUGUCUACUUGAUCAAGCAUAAGUCAGAGACUUUCGAGAGGUUUAAGGAAUUUAAACAGGAAGUCGAGAAUCAAUUGGGCAGGAACAUUAAGAUGCUUCGAUCCGAUCGUGGUGGUGAGUAUCUUAGUUCAGAGUUCCUCGACUAUCUAAGGGAAUGUGGGAUAGUCUCACAAUUGACACCUCCCAGGACACCACAGUUGAAUGGUGUGGCUGAGAGGCGUAAUCGAACCUUGUUAGAUAUGGUUCGUUCCAUGAUGAGUCGAGCUACGCUACCAAUCUCAUUCUGGGGGUAUGCCUUAGAGACUGCCGCCCAUAUUCUUAAUCUAGUCCCUACAAAGAAAGUUGCCAAAACUCCUCACGAGAUGUGGACUGGUAAAGUACCUAAACUAGACCACAUCAAGAUUUGGGGUUGCGAGGCUUUCGUGAGACGCGAGACUCAUGAUAAGCUCGAACCUCGAAGCGAGAGGUGUAUUUUCAUCGGUUACCCACAGCGAUCCUUUGGUUACCUCUUCUACAGACCUAGUGACAAUGUGGUCUUUGUAGCAAGAAGAGGAGUCUUUCGAGAAAGAGAGUUUAUAAGCCAAGGAGACAGUGGGAGGCAAAUUGAUCUUGAAGAAAUUCAAGAAUCAAGCGGUGAAGGAACUUCAAACUCUAGCCCUCAACUUGAGGAGGAAACUCCUGUUGAGCCAAUUGACAAAUCUGUACCUCUGAGACGUUCCACGAGAGUUAGGAGUGCACCUGAGCAUUACUAUGGAUUCCAUAUUACUGCAGAAGGUGAGACACUUAUUAGUGAUGAGACACUAGUAAGUCAAGAUGACCCUAACAGCUACGAGGAAGCCAUGGCAGGCCCCGAGUCUGCUAAAUGGAAAGAGGCUAUGGAUAGCGAGAUACAAUCCAUGUAUGACAAUCAAGUUUGGAACUUGGUUGAAAAUGUACCAGGUCGUAAGACAGUAGGGUGCAAAUGGGUCUUCAAGAAGAAGACCGACAUGGAUGGUAAAGUACACACUUAUAAGGCUAGACUGGUUGCAAAGGGCUUCUCUCAAAUUCCUGGAGUGGAUUAUGAUGAGACCUUUUCUCCGGUAGCCAAGAUUAAGUCUAUUCGGGUUCUGUUAGCCAUAGCUGCAUUUCAUGACUAUGAAAUAUGGCAGAUGGAUGUCAAAACCGCUUUCCUUAAUGGAAAGUUGGCUGAAGAUGUUUACAUGAGUCAGCCAGAGGGUUUUGUCAGCAACGAGUACCCUAAUAGAGUGUGUAAGCUUGAGAAAUCCAUUUAUGGAUUGAAGCAAGCACCUCGCAGAUGGAAUCUUUGCUUUGAUGAAAAGGUCAAGGAAUUUGGCUUUUCUAGGAGUGAAGAUGAAUCUUGUGUGUAUGUCAAGGCUAGUGGGAGUAUAGUUAGCUUUUUGGUAUUGUAUGUGGAUGACAUACUACUCAUAGGAAACGACAUUCCAACCCUGCAGGAAGUAAAGUCCUGGCUUGGGAAGUGUUUCGCUAUGAAGGACCUUGGUGAAGCUGCCUAUAUUCUAGGGAUAAGAAUCUUGAGAGAUCGGAGUAAAAGACUAAUUGGACUUAGUCAGAGUACCUACUUGGAUAAGGUGCUGAAGAGAUUCAGCAUGCAGGAUUCCAAGAAAGGAGAGUUACCCAUCCAGAGUAACACCAGAUUGAGUAAGACACAAAGCCCUAGCACUGAGGCUGAGAUAGCAGAAAUGAGUCGAACACCUUACGCUUCGGCUGUAGGAUCGAUCAUGUAUGCUAUGACGUGUACUCGACCCGAUGUAGCUUUUGCCUUGAGCAUGGUUAGCAGGUAUCAGGCGAACCCUGGCAAGGCACACUGGACUGCGGUAAAGAAUAUCCUCAAGUACCUACGGAGGACUAAGGACUGGGUCCUUACCCUCGGUGGGAGUGAUGACUUGAGAGUUGUAGGGUAUAGUGAUGCUAGCUUCCAGACUGAUAGGGAUAAUUUCCGCUCUCAGUCGGGCUGGGUCUUUACCCUAAACGGAGGAGCAAUUUCUUGGAAGAGUUCCAAGCAAGAGACAGUGGCAGAUUCUACUUGUGAAUCAGAGUAUAUUGCAGCUAGUGAAGCAGCAAAGGAGGCGAUAUGGCUGAAGAACUUCAUUGGAGACCUUGGAGUUGUACCAGCUAUUAAAGAGCCAAUGGAAAUUUUCUGUGAUAGUGAAAGUGCUGUUGCCUUAGCCAAGGAACCAAGGGAUCAUGGGAGAUCCAGACACAUCGACAGAAAAUACCAUUUCAUUAGACAUCGGAUCGAAGAAGGACUCCUCGUGGCAAAGAGGGUAUCAUCGGAUGAGAACCCAGCAGAUCCCCUCACGAAGGGACUGAGUAGGGUUAAGCAUCUCCAGCAUGCUCGGAGCAUAGGGCUGAAGGAUGAUAUAAGUUUUAGUAGUUAGAUAACCCAGAAAUUUGUAAAGUGUAAUUGACAUUUGAUGAUGAAUAAAAGGUGUUUUAUUUAUGAGUAAAGUGUUGCUAUCUCUUGUCGAUCGUUUACUAUAUUUCUUUUGCAUGUUUUGACUUCCAGAAUAAUUUUGUUUGGUAUAACAUAUUAUUCAAACCUCCACAGUCGGUCAUAUGUUGGAAGUAGAUAUGAAUCAAGACUGUCAUGUUUGGUUGUAGAGGUCUUGGACAAGGCUACAACAAUCAUGAGUGCUCAUAAGUUCUGAGCAUUGGACUCAACCCACGCUCACUGGAAUCACUUCAUGGAAUUCUAUCUCGAGUGAUCGUGAGACGGUAAUAUCAUAUAAGUCUUCAAACCUAGAGAUAUGAUUUGUUACUUACAAGUUGGUUAUGCAUUGACUGUACGAAACCGCAUUGGUAACUCGAUGUUAUAAAACGUACUUUUGUGUGUAAUUCAAUGAGUGGUAGAACAAACAUAUGAGUCGAAGUUUAUCUGUUCCUUCUUGGAUUAGAAGCUGAUAUCUGGGCCCCUCGAUGAUUUUGUUUUGACCCAUGUACCGGGCCCGGUCAGAACUAAGUUGAUGUGUUCAAUUAAGUUCUAUGUCAAACAAAUCGGAAAUCGGGAAACAAAUGCUGGACAAUAAGCAAGACAAUGUUCCAUGUAUUUGUCCGGCUGAUAUCUAGAACGGAGGAUUAUAUGAUCACUUAUCUUAAAUGGCGUACCAUCAUCUUCUCAGUUCCGAGAGACCUUGAAAGAGCUACGAUUGCCGGUCGGUUCCUGAAGUACUAGAGAUAUAGUUAUUAGACUUAUCCAAGUGGGAGACUGUUGGAUAAGGUGUCUAAGUCCAUAACUAUUUCGGGCUUGUACUUGACCCGACCCGGCAUGGUCCAUUUGGGUUGCAUGGCACCAUGCAAUUGGAUAGACUAAAUGAGAGAAAUAACACUUGGAGAUUAUUAAUAUAUUAUAAGUUCUAAUAUAUUAAUAAUAUUAUUUGAUUAGUUGAUCAAAGAAUUAAUUUGGAAUUAAUUAAGUGAUCAAAGGAUAACUAAUUAAAUAUAUGGGUUGAUUGUGUAAAUCAUCCAUAUCUUGUAUAGUGGGCUAAGAGGCUCCAUGGAUUAUCAAGUUGGGUUCUACCCAUAGGAUGCUCCAUGGAUGCUCCAUGGGAGUUACAAAUCCAUGGAUCAUGAAAAUGAAGAGUCAUGACACAUUAGGGUUUACAUGGUGUAACCCUAGAUGUGUCAACACUAUAUAAGGAUCCCAUUCUCCACCAAAAUCGGCACUACUACUACUACUACUAAGGAAACAAGAGGGCUUGGCCGAUUUUGAAGUGUGUGUUAUCUCAAGAGUCUUUCCAAGAGCAUUUGGUGUUGUGUGAAGCAUUUGAGGCAUCACACUUGGGGUGCUAGGCUCACAAGGUUUCAAGGAACACAAGCAACAACAAGGUAAGUUAUUCUAUCUAUGAUUCAAGUUAAAAUUGUUCCCCAUGUAUGCUAGAUAGGAAUAUAACCUUGGAAUUCAACUUUGCAUGAUAAUUAGACAAACAUAGAUCCAAGGUUAUUAGGGUUGCAUGUACACUUAGGAAGUGUUAGAAUGCUCAAAACCCAUCAAUUUUAUGGUAUGUGGUAGUUUCGGGAGCUCAUUAAGCUUCGUGCUGAUAGUUUCAAUUUUGGUUUCAGGUACCUUAGCUAGCAAGGGGAAGGGCUCGGGAUGAUGGCAUAGCACCCACCACAAUUUAGCCUAUGAGUUAAACUCUGAUAUUUUGUUAUGAUUUGACAUCAGUUCCGAUAUGAGACAUAUUUUGUGAUAUUUUGAAAUACACGACUUAUGGUUUUAUUAUAUUAUAUUUUGAUAUUAUGGUUUCAGUAAUGUGUUAAAACAAAACUUUUUGGCUUGUAUUUUUGGGAUGUUUCAGAGGCAAUUCUUGAGGAAAGUACGGAUAUAUGUGGAAGGUAGUAUGGGCCAGUACUACUGAAAGUAGAGGAUCCGUACUCGAGUCAAAGAGGGCCAAGAUGGAACCAAGAAACUUGGGGAGUGUAUGAGACCUCUCAAAAGUAUGUAUGAUCCUGACGUUUACGUGUUUUAUUUUCAAUAUGGUGGUCACAUGACAUGGACAGGAGGUUUAGGAUCUAGAUCAGGAUCAGGAUCAGGCUCGGGUGAAAGGUAUGAGCGGUUCGAUGAUGGGCUACGCGAGUUCAUCGUGUCUGAGAUCACGAGAGGCAUCCUUGAGGCGUCCCCGGUUGUUUUCGGGUCGAUCAAGGAAGGGAUUGUUGAGCUGAUGGAGGAUCGCCUCUGAGCAUUCCGGAGUGACUUGGCGUCCAACCAGUCGGGUACGCGCACACUGUCCUUUUAAGGAAUUUUGAGGGAGUGGUGCUCCAGACUUUCAUGGGGCAAAGGACCCCAUUGCAGCCAGGAGAUGGAUUGCGGACAACCAGUCUGCAUAGUUGAAGAGCUUCUGCCCGAAGGGGUCGAAGGUCGGAUUUUUGUAGGUUGUUUGAGGGACAGAGCUAGAGAUUGGUGGGAGUCAGUUGGUGACUCGCUGCGAGCCCUAGCUGUGGAGGCUAUGACUUGGUCAGACUUUGUGACCAGGUUCAGGGUUGAGUUUGCGCCGGCAGUAGAGCUUCAGCAGGUGGCCAGGGAGUUUCUGGAUAUGAGAUAGACUAUGGAGUCAGUGGCAUAGAUCACCGCCAAGUUCAGGGAGAGGAACUUUUUGGUACCUCAGUAUGCUGGGGAUAAGGAGAUGCGGAACAUGUUACUAUGACAUGUUGAGCGCUGACAUUCAGGAGCGUAUCAGCUAUUCAGCUUGCCCGAACUUGGAGUCCAUGAUUGCCAAGGCACGAGAGAGGGAGAUUGAUUUGGAGCACUUCAUGAAGAGGAAGGCAGAGACUGAGUCGGUUACAGGGGUUUAGGGGAAGAAACCCAAGGGAUCCGACGUCAGGUCGAAGGGCUAGCCGGGCCAGAUCAGCUGCAAGAAAUGUAGCAAGCCGCAUGAGGGAGCUUGUAGAGUAGGAUCGUCAGGCUGCUACAAGUGCGGCAAGACGGGGAACUUUGGCAGGGAUUGUACUGCCCCCGCACUCAGAGUUCAGACAUCAGACCUGAUUUGCUUCGAUAAGAAGGCCAACUGCCCUAGUUUGUCAGUAGUAUCAGCAGCAUCGCCAGUGGUGGUGCCGACUCCAGCGAUAGCAUGAGUUGUGGAUGGCCGGAAGGUUAAGGCAGACGCUCCAGUGGUGCAGAGCCGAGCGUUUCAGUUAACAACCGAGAGGGCACACGCCGCACCCGAUGUGGUGACGUGUAUGAUUUCUUCUCUCUAAUCUUUUAUGUUAUGUCGUUGUAAUUUUGAUAUGUGAUAUAUAUGUUCUAUUUAGGAUCGUUCCGUGUGAACGGUAUCCCAGUUCAAGUGUUUUUUGACUCGGGUGCUACCCGAUCAUUUGUCUCUCUUGCGCUUAGCAACAUGUUUCCUCAGUCCUCGGGCACAUUGGAUUGCCCUAUAGAGGUUGAGAUUGCAGAUGACCGGUCAGUGCGGGCAUCAGAGGUUUUCAGGGAUUGUGUUUUGAGAUAAUUCGAGGAGCGUUACCUGGUAGACUUGGUUCCCAUACUGUUGCGGGGAACAAAGUUAUUAUAGGUAUGGAUUGGCUAAGCCCCAAUGGGGUGGUGAUCGACUGCGCACAGUAGUUGGUGCAGAUCAGAACCCCAAGUGGGGGAGAUCAGGUGAUUCAGGGCGAGAGCCCAUAGCGAGGACCAACAUUAUGUUCAGCAGCGAGGGCUAGGCGCUACCUUCACCAGAGUUGUGCGGGAUAUGUUACCUAUGUUGUGGAUAUCCGGGAGGCGGGUAAGGCGACGGUGGUCGAUGUGCCAAUAGUACGAGAGUUCACGGAUGUAUUCCCCGAGGAGUUUCCUGUGAUACCUCCGAAGAUGCAGGUAGAGUUCAGGAUCGACCUAGUCCCAGGUGCGGCUCUGAUAGCCAAGGCACCGUAUCGGUUGGCUCCUCCUGAUAUGUAGGAGUUGUCUACAUAGCUGCAGGAGCUGUUAAACAGGGGAUUCAUUAGAACGAGCAGUUCACCCCGGGGAUCCCCAAUUUCAUUUGUAAAGAAGAAGGACGGUUUGCAUUGGAUGUGUAUAGAUUAUAGGUAGCUGAAUAAGGUAACGGUGAAGAACCGUUACCCACUCCCGAUGAUUGAUGACCUCUUUGACUAGCUACAGGGAGCAUCUUGGUUCUCUAAGAUUGAUUUACGUUCAGGUUAUCAUCAUAUGAGGUUCAGAGAAGAGGAUGUGCAGAAGACAGCCUUUCGGAUGCGUUAUGGUCACUAUGAGUUUGUGGUGAUGCAGUUCGGGCUCACCAACGCUCCUGCCGCAUUCAUAGAUCUCAUGAGAUGUGCAGGCCAAUGACACGAGAGAAGCAUGAGGAGCACUUGCGGGAGGUUCUGGAUACAUUGAGGAUGGAGAGCUUGUAUGCUAAGUUUUCCAUGUGUGAGUUCUGUUUGCGCGAGGUGUAGUUUCUUCGGCACCUUGCAAACCAGAACGAGAUUUUGGUUGACCCGGCCAAGUUGGAGGCCGCGAUGAGAUGGAAGGUUCCGAGGUCUCCAUCUGAGAUUCAGAUCUUUCUGGGACUGGCGGGCUACUAUUAGAGAUUUAUUCUGGACUUCUCCAAGAAAGUCGUUCCCUUGAACCGAGUGACGAGGAAAGUCGUGGUCUUUCGUUGGGGGCAUUAACAACAGGCCGCGUUUGAGACGUUGAGACAAAGAUUAUGCGAGGCGCCAAUCUUAGCCCUGCUGGAGGGCAUGAAGGAUUUUUUAGUAUAUUGUGAUGUUUCCAUCUCAGGUUUGGGCACGGUAUUGAUGCAGAGAGGGCAUUUUAUCGCUUACGCUUCGAGGUAGCUGAAGCCUCACGAGGCGAACUAUCCGACGCAUGAUUUGGAGCUGGGGGCUGUUGUUUUCGCCCUCAUGAUUUGGCGCCAUUACCUCUAUAUGUUUCAUUUUACUAUUUACACUGACCACAAGAGCCUGAGGUAUCUCAUGGAUCAGCCAAAUCUGAAUAUGAGGCAGCGUCGGUGGCUUGAUGUGGUAAACGAUUAUGAUUGCGAGAUCCUCUACCACCAGGGGAAGGCCAAUGUCGUGGCCGAUGCGAUUAGCUGCAAGGUAGCGCCAAUGAGGGAUAUUUGCAUGAGGAUGACAGUUGUGACUUCAGUGUUGGAGCAGAUUCGGGAGGCCCAGCACGAGGCCAUGAAAGAGGAGCAUCGGAAGAGCGAGCGUAUUGUGGGUCGGGUUUCCUCCUUCUACUAUGAUUUUCAGGGAUUGUUGACUCUUCACCGUAGAGUGUGGGUCCCAUAUCAUGGUGGUGUGCGUCAGGUAUUGAUGGAGGAGGCAUCUAAAUCCAGCUUCUCUAUCCAUAUCGGGGCGACAAAGAUGUACAAAGAUCUUUGUCUUGAUUUUUGGUGGUCCUGUAUGAAGAGGGACGUAGCUUGGUUUGUGGAGAGGUGUCUGACCUGCAGGAAGGUCAAGGCUGAGCACCAGAGACCCAACGGCAAGGUCCAGCCGUUGGAUAUCCCAUUGUGUAAAUGGGAGGAUAUUACUAUGGAUUUUAUCACGAAGCAUCCCAGGACCGCACGAGGGGUAGAUUCGAUUUGGGUCAUUGUUGAUUGAUUGAGCAAGAGUGCCCAUUUCAUUCUGAUUUAGGAGAGAAUUUCAGCCGAGAAGUUGGCCGACAUCUAUAUCAAGGAGGUAGUGGCACGACACGGGGUGCAAGUUUCGGUGAUUUUCGACAGGGAUGUGCAGUUCACAUCCAGGUUUUGGAAGAAGUUUCAUGACGAGUUGGGUACUCGUCUGCACUUUAGCACUGCCUUUCACCCGCAGACGGAUGGUCAGAGCGAGUAGACCAUCCAGACUCUAGACGAUAUGUUGUGGGCGUGUGUUUUAGAUUUUGGAGGUAGUUGGCAUACUUACCUUCCGUUAGCGGAGUUCUCCUAUAAUAAAAGCUAUCAUGCGAGUAUCACCGUCUUCCCUUAGAGAUGUUGUAUGGGAGGAAGUGCAGGACCCUGAUAUGCUGGGGUGAGGUUCGUCAGAGUGUCAUGGGGAGUAGCGAGGUGGUACUGAAGACGACAGAGAGGAUCCAACAGGUUCGGAGCAGGCUUCAGACUGCUCAGAGUCGGCAGAAAAUUUAUGUCGACAAGUGUCAAUCGGACCUGGAGUUCUAGGUCGAGGAUAUGGUGCUCCUGAAAGUUUCACCUUGGAAGGGCGUCAUUUGAUUCAGGAAGCGGGGGAAGGUGGGCCCCAGGUAUAUUGGACCCUUCAGGGUUGUAGCCCGGCUGGGCAAGGUGGUAUAUAGGCUGGAUCUGCCAUCCGAACUCAGUCAGAUACAUAACACUUUUCACGUCUCCAAGUUGCGGAAGUGUCUAGUGGAUAAUUCAUUGUAGUUCCAUUUAGAGGAUAUGCAUGUGGAUGACACCCUUAAUUACAUCGAGCGGCCAAUGGCAAUCCUUGACACGAAAUCAAAGGAUCUGAGGAACAACAUAGAGGAGCUAGUUAUGGUGCAAUGGUGGCACCGCAAGGGCUCGGAAUGGACCUAGGAUCCGGAGGACGAGAUGAGGGAGCAUUACCCCGAGCUUUUUCAGGACCGAGUAGCAGACUUCGAGGACGAAGUCUAAGAUAAGUGGGGGAGAUUUGUAACUCCCAAUUCCUGGUAUGCCUUUAAUUAAAGUAUUUAUUAUGUUUUUCUCUAGGACUUGAUGAGUUGGAGUCCCAACUCGUCUAAUAUAGUCGUGAUCCGCGGGAAGUUUAAGUAAUCUACUCGUCGAGUCGGGAGACCGACUCGGCGAGUAGACGCUGUUUGAGUGAAACCCUAAAUCGAGGGUUCGCACCCUAUUUAAAAGCAUUAUAACCCCUCAACUCAGCCCCCAUCAUCCAUAGCAAACCAUAACUCGGAACCCUAGCCUUGUUUGAUUGUUCUAAGGUCAUUUUGUACAUUUUGGUGGUUUGUGAAAUUUGAGAAGAGGAAAGGAGCUUGGGAGUUCAAGUGGGAGCUUGGAGAUCCAGAGAUUUUGUUCAAUUUCCAGCUCAUUUAAGGUAAAAAGCUCCUAUCUUGAUCUUCCAUGUAAAUAAUCAUCUUUAGGGCUUGGAUCUUGGUUUAUUUAGGGCUUUCUAAUCCAUUUUCAGGUUGUGAAGUGUAAUACAAAGUUAUGACUUCAGAUCUGGGGCCAUUAGGGGUCUUUAUGGCAUAAAGAUGCCAACUUUGUUGUCAUAAACAGCCCAUGCAUCUUGUAGACCAUCUUUUAUGGCUUUUUGAACCAAAUAUCCCAUGCGUGUGCACCAAGCUUGAGACUUUACAUGUAAUAUGGACAUUAGGAGGCCAGAUCUAUAAUUUUGAUGUGUUAAAACCAAUUAAAUCGAAAGUAUAGUAAUGGUCAAGGAUGGACUCUGCGAGUCGCUCUUUGGACUCAGCGAGUCGAGGUAUAAUGACCACCAAAUCCCUUCUGUCGAAGGACCAGAUGAUAGUGUGGAAGCUUCCCCAGUUUUUUAGGCUAUUAAGGGACCUGGGAAUCAUGGGACUCGACGAGUGCUAAAACACACUCGGCGAGUCCAAGGCAAUCUCCCAGUCUUUGAAGAUGAACUCGACGAGUUGUUCUUACAACUCGGCGAGUCAUAGACUGGACACAUUCAUAUUCUGAAGAUGAACUCGACGAGUUCAAGGAAGAACUCACUGAGUCGGUUGAAGAUUGACUGAAGUGUUGUUCAAGGUGAACUCGUCAGGCUCUAGCUAGACUCUAGGAGUGGGGAUAGUAUUAUGUUGAUGAAGGGACUCGACGAGUUGGCGGACCAACUCGGCGAGUCUGGUAAACCAAAGAGUUGACUUGACCAGGGUUUAACUUUGACUUUGACUUUGACUUGGAUUCAAGUUGACCCUUGAAGGGGUUGUGGGUACAAAUUGAUAACUUUGAAGGGUUGUUGUGUAGGGAUUGAGGAGUCGAAGAGAUCCGAAUUUCACAUUGAGGACAGUGCAGAUGCUACACGACAUCAAGGUGAGUUACCUUCCAGUAGGGGUGGGUCUAAGGCUAUAAUGUCGGCCCACCAACAAGAGUAAUGGGUAGAUAAUUGUCUUUGUGAUAAUUAUCUUAGUAUGCUUAUGUGAUAUGCUUAUGAGAUAUGCUUAUGUGAUAUGCUAUGUGAGUUAGUGGUAGUAGCAAGGAAUAGCUUUUCCCUGACUUUGUCGUUAGGACCGAAGGGUAGGUCAGUACCCCAGAUAUGUCUAACUGUAUGAUUAUAUUUUGUUAUUAUAUGAUAGAGUUAGGGGUGAAAUAGUCCCCGAUGCCGGUUGAGAUAGACCGGAGGGUAGUAGGCCCCCUAGAAAGACUGGACACGGGUAUGUCAGCACCCCAAAAUGGCUUCACAUGGGUAGGUCAGCACCUCGGAAUGGCUUGACAUGGGUAGGUCGGGCAACCUAGAGUUGUCCGACAGUAUGUAUGCUAUGUGAUUGUAUGGUAUGUGGUAUGAUGGGGGAACUCACUAAGCUUUGUGCUUACAAUUUCAGUUUUGGUUUCAGGUACCUCUUCAUCCAAGGGGAAAGAGCCGACGCCGUAGCAGCGCAUCACACACACACAUUUGAUUUCCACAUUGAUUUUUUUGGGAUUGUACUUUUAUUUAUACUAAUGUUCGAUGUUGUGAUUUUUAGACUUAUUCAUUAUGGUUAUGGGUUGAUAUGAUAUUGAAUUACGAACGAUAUUUUUUAGGCUCGAAAUUUAGGAUGUUACAACUGUAUUGAGAUCUUUGAUCUAGGAUAUACAGGGUUUUUACGUGAAAAAGGGCCAUGAGUUAGUUCUCCGAUACUCAACAAAUCGCAGUGCGUUCCUCCGUGUUCAUACAGAUAUUGCAAGUAGUCUCCUUCUAAGCCAAGUCUGGGUCCUUGUAUAACUGUGGUGAGAAGGGUCUUUAUGAUUCUUUGAUCCACAUGGAUUUUUUUAGUCAUGAUUACUUUUCAAGGCACAACGGUGAUCUUUAAAGAAUACUCAUUCGAAGAAACUAGAAGUAAAGAUUAUUUUUCAACAUUCAAUCUUUCAACCCCAGAAGAAAGGUGAAGUUGUACUUGAAGUUAUGUGAUAAUUUGCAUUGAAGCCUCCUCAAUCAAUUUGCUGCUAUCUAUGAACUUGUUGAAGUGAUCCAGAAGAAUUGGUGUAUCUAUAAUUAUUUUCUUUGAAGUUUCUCCAAGCUGCAAGUGUUGAUUUUCAAGAAUCCUUACAAGAAGCCUGUACACUCAAUGUGCGUUCAAAUUCAAAUACUUAUAAGGAUGUCCAACUACUAAAGAUGAAGUUAUUCAUGAAGAAAAUUCAUAUGUUCAUCUUGAAGUUGUGAAGAAAUCGAAGACAAAAUCCGAAGUCAAGAAUGAAGAGAAGAUUAAAAAAAACUACAAACCCAGGGGGAGACUGUUAGGACUAAAUUAUGGUUUAUUCUAAGUGAAAAGAAAGAUAUAGACAAAGGGGGAUAUUGUUAGGUCAUAAAUUUUGACUUGUACUUUUCCUUUCAGAAGAUAUUAGAGUUCCCGGUCUAGGAUUGAAAACACCAUGUUUUGGUGUUGUUUGGACCAAAAUCACCUAUGAUUUUGGUUAGGUAUAAUGUUGUUUUGUUUGGGUUUUAGGCUUGGGCUUUGUUACUAGGUCUAGGUAUAAAUAGUGUCAUUUGAGCCUUGUAAUGUGUGUGGGACGUUUUUGGGGGCUGCCAUAAGCUUAGAACGUGAUUUGGAGAGAAACAAAAGAGAAACAAGAGAGAACUUAGUGUAAUCAAGAAUCCUAUGUACCCGACUAGUCAAUAAUAUUGUGCAUUGAAGUGUAAUCAAGAAUCUUAUUCUAUAUUUCAUCUUGUCUAAUUCACUUGAUUGGUAUUUUUCACCAUCAAGUGAAUCCGAUUGAUACAUCGUACCAUUUUGGGUUUUACACAAAUAAGCUACGUCAGGCCAAUGCAGACAUCUACUAGCCUAGGGGACUUGUUAACGUAUCCCAAUAGGAACAUGUUAAUGAUAACAUAACCACUAUCUUUAGGACGGCCUAGCUAACGGUCACGAAUCCUAUGUAGCUCUAGACCCGGGUCCUUGCUCUCGCGCUAGGACCCUCAUGUUUGGUGCCCUCAGGCCCAGGUCCAAUUCUUGAUGACAAUCUCUGAUCUAUAAUAAGACAAAACACAGUUGGUUGUCUCCCAGAUCGACACGUGUAGUGCCUAAGGCACUGUCCUCUGUUUAUUCUGCUUCAAUAGUAUAUGACCACUAGUGGUGCAAGAUGCACCAAUGGGACGCCUCCACGUCCUUUUGGGCAAGACGAGACAAAGGACACCAUUAGGAUCGUGUGCUAGGAACAAAUGGUUUAAAAGGAACCGUCUUCUCUAGAAGAAGGUAUCACCUUCUCUCUAUCAAAAACCCUAAUUUCCUUAUUGUCAAACAUAUACUAACUAGUCCGUUGAAGCUUCGUAGCUGGACUAUCUUCUUGACGUCGACUGAUGUUAUAUCUUCAUUCCUAGGAUUAUAGGACUCAACCCAACCAGAAUCAUCGAGUGACGGUGUUAAGUCAAAAGCUCAUAUCACAACAGAUACUUGUAUUAUAUCUAGUUCAUAAAAGUAUCUAUACACUCACCUGAUUAAGGUCAAAGAUCCUCUGGAAAGCUAGCUCAUCGAUUAAUUCUUCAACUUAUCCCUUUUAAACAACCUAAAUAUGAAUAUUACAAUGCUUUAGAAUUCAUUCAUAUUUAUAAACUUAUAAAAUAUUUCUGGAUUCUUCAAUAAUUCAAAGAAAUACUUCAAGUUAUAUCAAAUAAGGAACAACCAAGUAAGAUCAUAUCGGAUUUAGGAUCCGUUUGGUGUAUAUAUAUAUAUAUAUAUAUAUAUGUGUGUGUGUGUGUGUGUGUGUCUCUAUNNNNNNNUAUAUAUAUAUAUAUACAAUACAUACUAUUUGGAAAAUCCAGUUUAAACACCUCACUAGAUCAAGAGUAGACAUCACUCUCGUAAGUAGAUCAAUACAUAUUAUGAAUUGAAAUCCCUGAUAAAUCUUAUUUAUAAAUUCAUAAUAACGAAUAUGAAUAUAAAUAUAAGUUACACCUAAAGUGUAGUAAGUCUAGAUUAACAUAUAGAGUUUCUAGGAAAAGUAUGAGAAGUUUGUAGGCAGACCUUCGACUCCAAACACUUAUUUCUGUUUGGCCGUCUGAUGCUCCAUAGCUUCACUACUAACACUUAAAAACUCCUAAGUUUGGGGCUCAGGUUGCUGGAAGAAUUUGAGAGAGUUUAGAAAGGAACUUUUGUGAAAAAUGACAGAAUUUUUAGCUCUAUUUAUAGGCAUGAAAUGCGUCGCACUUUGGCUGGGGGUGCCGCACCCAGGCGACGUUACUCCCCCCAUUUGUUGCCACAUGACUGGCUACUGUUGGUCCACAUCAUCAUCUCGGUGGAAUAUCCGGCUUUCUCUUCACCAUGUGGUGUGUUCUCAGGCCGCCACAUCAUCUGUCUCUCUCAUAGGAGCUCCACUUUCGACGUUCUUUAUAUAAAUGCAUAGGUAAUUUUGUGUACUACAACUUUCUUGUAUAUUUUAAAUUCAUAUUUUCUAUAUAUUAUGCAGUUAAAAUGUAUGCGAAAAUCGUAACUCCUUCAUAGGAACUUCGAUCUCGAUUGUCUUUAUAUCGACGGAUUCUUAUUUAUGAUAUCUUCAAAUCUCGUUUAUAUUGUUUUGACUAAUAAUCAAUUUAUUCUAAUUUCAAUUUCUAUGUCGCACAUUAUUGUGUUGUGUCAAAAUGAAACUUCGAAAAAUCAUAAUUUCUUCGUACGAAAUCAUAUUUAAGCGUUCUUUAUAUGAACUCUUUUGGAAUUACAAUUACUAUGACUUUAAUCUAGAUCACUUAGGAUAAUAAGCAGCCUGUCUCCAAUUUAUAUUUUACGACACAUUUUGUCGUAUAGGGCUAAAAAAAACUUUAAAAAAUAAAAACUUCUUCAUAUGAAGUCAGAUUUUGGCAACCGGCAUCAUGACUACUACAACUUUCAUCAAUACAAUUUAUCAUAAAUAAUCUUCUAUAAAAAAUGUCUAUUUAUCGUAGUCGUUAAUUUAUGAUAUAGUUGUAUACAAAUAUUAUAAACCUAUAAUAUUUUCCCAUAAAACAUGUACAAAAUAUAUAAAUAUCAUCUAAAAUGUGUAGCCCUAACUUAUGGGUGUUACAUACACUCAGUUAUACAUACAUUGUAACUUUAGUAUGCCUUUUAUUAACAAAUUUUCCAACAACUUAACAAUGUUUAAUGCCUUUCAUGAGCUUAUAUAUGGCUAGGAAAUAGGAGAGUAACAUGUAAAGCUAGGUUUGGUUAAUUACAUUAUCAAUAGUAUGCAUUGAUAAAUUCCAACAUGUUAGGGUAUGUUCAAAACAUACCCCUAAGGGCUAGAAUUCAGCCACACCAUAGCCACUAUGCCACUGGGUUGUUGUAGUGCACCACCGACGACAAUGAGGGUUUUCAGUGGUGGUCAUUAUGGUUGAUUAGGGUAGACUUGAUGCUAGAAAGAAUAGGAACUAAAAGAAGAGUACCUUUUAUGGAUUUUGAUGUAGCAAUAUUUUGAAUUCUUUCUCGUCCCGUUUACACACCUCCGUUGCCUUGUCAUUCCCCUUAGGAGAAGAAAUGGACAAAGGCAGCAACAAUCUCGUCGAUCGCUAUGUGAUGUUUCUUAAAUUAUAUGUAUUUUAAAGGACAUAUCAUGUGCUUUUUAAUAGGUACUUUUAUAGUUAGGUAGGAUAAAGAUGCUUAAUUUUUAUACAUUUAUUUUUUGCAGCUAAACAUGAUUAUACGAUGAAAUAAAAGCUGAAAAGAGCAAUUUUGGAGCAUAAUUUUAUGGAUUAAUGAUUAAGGAAGACAGGUGGAUAUUAGCAUGGAGAAUAUUUUGAAGAUUUUGAAGAUUUUAGAGAAAUAUACCAAAUUUACGAAUUUAUGUCUCGAUUUAUUGGUUUUGAUAUAUUUUUCAUUUCUAAAAAGGCAAUAAAUAAAGCUUUAAUUCUUACAAGACAUAAAAUGUUAAAUAUACAUAAGAUAUACAAAAAGAGGCUCUCAAAAUGAAUAAUUGGUUUGUUGUAUACUAGAUUUCUUUGGUUUUUUCUUUUUUUCUUAGUUAGUUCAUGGGCCAAGUCUUAUUACUUUUGUUUAGACAUACAUGAUCUAACUUGAUUAUGGUUUGGUUCAUUUGAAAGGCUACUAGUUUUUAUUCAAUCUAUUAUGACAUGCUUGAUUAAAUAUGAAUGUGUAUUGAUCUUAGUAUUUUUUAUGUCUAUUUAGUUGAGUAUAUAAUUUUAUGGCUAAGUUCAGAUUAUGUUACUUCAAUCAAUUGCUUAGUUAAUAACUAGGAGACCGUGACUUACUAAAGUGUAGGUAGAUCUGACUAGUAGGGGAAUCCCUAGGUUAAAAAUAAAAAUAUUGAUUUAAUAUUCAUGAUUGUACUAUUGAUUAUGUAACUUGAGAAGUCACCACUAACUAUGGGACUCAUGAUACCAAUUAACUCUAUCAUAAUACGAAUUAAUAUAAGGAUCUAUGAAAUAUAUCCCUGUUGAUAGAUAACUUAGAAAUAUAUGAUUAAGGACUUUGAGUUUGAAUUAUUCUAUUUAGAAAUCAUUCGAUUUCCAUUAAUCUCCAUUCCACUUCGUAUGAAUCAACUCAUAACCACUUUGAUCCCCUCGACUUUCUAAACUUUCUUGUUUACCCCAGUCACCAAUAGUUUAAUGAUACCAACAUUUCAUAUUUAUCUAUCAACAAAUCCAACAUUACUUAAAUUUUAUCAAUAUAACCGUCACAAUUCAAUUUUGAAAACGUAUUGGCCUUUCUGCAAUGUGUGGAGGGCAAAAUAGUAGCUAUAUUAAAAAUCAAUGUCGGUGGAUGUUUUCACCGACAAUUGUCAUCCCUCCACUUUCUAAAAUGACAUUUUAUAUCCCUUUACUUUUAAAAUACUUUUUAAAAUGAUAUUUUUCACCCCUUUACUUUUUAGAAUGUUACUUUGACCCCUCCACUUUGAACUUUGUAAAAUAUCAAUUUCAUGACCUCCAUUUUGUAAACUUUCUUGUUUAUCCCCAUUAUAUACAUAAUCUGAUUUUCCUUAAAAACUUCCAUUCCUUAACUUUGAAAAAAAAUUACAUACUUAUUUGUAUGUAUAUAUGUCGGUAUAUAUUUGAAAAAAAUUACAUACUUAGAAUUUCCGUUUGUUAAUUUUUCUUUUUAAUCUUACUUGCUUUUUCAUGUACAUGUCGGUAUAAACCGGAGUUUGUCUACAUUUCAAAGUUAUUUUUUUAACAUUUUCAUGCUUAUUUUUAUAUAUGCUUCCUACGUAUGAGUCGGGUUAUAUAUGAUAUGUUUUUUUAUUAUUUUAACUUCCAUUCAUUAACUUCGAAAAAAAUAUUACUUAUUUUUAUGUACUUGUCGUUAUAAAUUUCAGCAUUUUUUUUGUUUUCGUGCUUUUUUUUAUGUAUGUUUCCUAUUUAUGAAUUUUUUCACAUAUAAUAGAUUUUCAUUCNACGUUUCGAGGUAAAUUUUGUGUACGUUUUCGAGCUUACCUUUAUGUAUGUUUUUUAUACAUAAGUUUAGUCACAUAUAAUAUGUUUUCAUACAAAAAUAUAAAUUGGAGUUAGUUAAUGGUAUCGACCUUAUAUAUUUAUCUAUCAACAAACGCAAAAGUACCUAACUUUUAUAAUACAAUCAUCAACAUUCAACUUACCAAACAGAUCGUCGCGACAACGCGCGACAGGCAAAAUCCUAGUUACGUGUUAACUAUUAAAUAAGUACUACUUAAUAUAUGGUAGUUAUCUAAUCAUAUAUUAAUUACAUAAUAAUCCUUCAACUUUUGAAUUUCUAAUUAAGUCACCAUAUUUAUAAUGAAUUAACAAAUUAGUCCUUUUUAAAUUGUUUAUUUUGUUUUCAACCUUGAUUGCACUUUAUGUGUAAUCCAAUAGACCUAUGCAUUUUAACAAUUUUCCAACAGUACAAUAAUAGGGAGAGGUGUUUUAAGAAAUUUGGAUAGUAAUGGGAUGUGGUUUGAAACUUGGUUGUUUAUGGAUUAAACAAUCUUGAUUGACAAGGGAAGAAGGUGGUUAGAGAAGUAGCUGCCUAUAGAAGAAAUAAUUGUGAGAAGGGAGAGGAUUAGGGUAUGCUCAUAUGUCGCUUUAGGAUGUCGACAACAUGGAAAGAAAAAUAGGCGUAAAAUCAUCAAGGUUAUGAUACCUUGUAAGAUAUUAUAAUUGUUUGAUAUCGUUAAUUUUCAAUUUUACACUAUAUAUACAGAUACAACAUAACAUAACUAAUCUAUAGAAUUCCCUAAGAAAACUAGGAAGCUCGUGUAACAACUAAACUUGUGUGACAAGAUGCUUGUGAGAGAAACUACUAAACUUGUAUGACAAUUAUGCUUGUGAAAGAAACAAAUUUGUGUGGCAAAUAAGAUAUAUACAUGACCAUUUCUAAUAAAUUUAUAUCAUAUUUGUUUAUAGAAAUGUAGUAAAGUAUAAAUUUUCCAUGAAAAUCCUUAUUCAAAGAAGAAACCAGAUUAUCCUAAUGAAUAAUCAUGUCAAAACAAUACUCAACCUUUUAGAUUAAGUUUCUUCUUUUCCUAAACUUACCAAAUACGUUAAUACUGUAUUUUUAACUAUUCGGAAAAAUAAAAAAUAGGCAUUUGUUCAUAAAAUUAAAUUAUAGAAAUACCUAUACUUAGUCACAAAGUUACUGAAAUGGCCCCUAGGAAAUACAAAAAUUUACAGAAAAGGUCCCUGUAUGAAAUAGUUAUAAAAAUUGUCCUGGUAAGAUUUAUAAAGUUACAAACACAGUCUUGGAAGAAAUCAAAAAUUACAUAAAUGUUCCUUGUAAGAAAUAGUUACAUAAUUAGUCCUUAUAAUAAAUAAUUACAUAAAUAGUCCCUAUAUAAUAACGAAAUUACAAAAAUAUUGUCCGUAAUGAGAUUAUAGAAAUAUGUCAUAUGUAAUAUCGAAAUUGCAGAAAUAGUUUGUACAUAAAACCACGUCGAACAAUAUAAAAAAAGAGACCAUCGAUAUGACAUAAAUGAUCUUUGUAUAGUACUGAUAAUAUAUGAUCAGUCAUUGUGUAAUGAAAUUUUAGAAAUGGACCUUGUGUAAUAUCAUAUUACAAAAAUAUUUCAUGUGUAAGACAAAAUUACAGUCAUGGCCCAUGUGUAAUAGCAAAAAUAUAAAGAUGAUUUGUGUAUCAGAACAUUAGAUAAAUUUCAUUGAAAAUAUAAUAUUAACAAAACCGCUGUAAUGUGCACCGCACUAAUUUCUCAUUAAUUGUGAGGAUAUGUACUUAUCCACAACAUAAAUCAAAUAUAUUUUUACUUUAUGUUCAUACCCAGGUUCAUACGUAUUUGAUCAAGACAAGUAUCAAGUUUAACUAAUGUGUUAAAAGAAAUCAAAUAUCCUCUUACUCAUUAUUCUAUAUGAGUAGGAUGAUAGAUAGGAACAAAAUAUAGAUUGAUGUUUGAUUUUUUCAUGAGAAAAAUCAAAUAUCUUCUUAUCUUUUUUCCUAUCCACAAUAUUUGUUGCAGAUUCUACAUUAUGGAAACACUUACAAUAAACCAAUUCGUCCUAAAUUUGAUAUCUGUAACACCUUAUUUUCAUUUUACAAUAGAAUUUCAUAUAAAUGUUUUUUUAUAAAGUUUGAAGUAUAAUUAUACUACUUUUUAGCCUAAGUAAUCUAAAUGAAAGUCGUAGUAAUCGAAAUUACGAAAAUGUGCAUAUAAAGAACGUCUAAAUCGGACUUUGUAUGAAAAAGUUAUAAUUUUUCGAAGUUUCUGGUAAACACAUAAAUAGAAAUUAAUAUCAGUUGAUUGUUAGCCAAAACAAUGUAAACGAGAGUUGAAGAUGUGGUAAAUACAAAUAGUUAGAUAUACAGACAGUCGAGAACGGAGUUCAUAUAAAAGAGUUAUGAUUUUCACACAGAUUUUAACAAUUUAAUCUCUAUAAAAAUUUGAAUUUAAAAUAGAAUAAAAAUUAGUUAUUGAGAUCGACAGAGAGAUUAUAGUACUCGGAAAUACCUAUGAUUAGAUAUAAAGAACAUCAAACCCAGAGCUCGUAUGCGAAAGUUAUGAUUUCUCGAGAAUCACGAAAAAUAAAUGUUGAGAGUGACGUGGCAGUACCGUAGUGCACCACAUGGUGAAGUUGAGGUCGGACCCUCAACCAACCUCUUCGAUGUGAACCAACAAUAACGUGACACAAGACACCUUAAUAAUAGAACAUGAUGCGGCGCACCCUAUGAACAUGCAUUUAAAGAGGAGUUGGGAUUUGCUCAUUUUUCAAACCAUUUCAAUCAAUAUAUUUCUCAAACUUUCUCCAAAACCUCUAGGGUCUGACUUCUAAGUCUCGAGCAAUUUAGCGCGGUGUUGCGACAUUGGAAAUCCUAAUGAAAUGAAGUAUUCGGGGUCAAAGCUCUGCCUGCGAAGUUUCUGACUUUUUGCAAACUAUGUAUGUUAAGCUGGACUUACUACGCUUUAUGUGUAACUUAUAUUUAUAUUCUUAAUCAUUAUUAUGAAUCUAUAAAUAAGAUUUAUUAGUGAUUCCAAAUCAAAAUACUGAUUGAUGUACUUACGGGAGUGAUCUUACCUUGUUAAUCCUUAUUUGAUAAAACUUGAAGCAUUCAUUGGGAUUAGUGAAAAUAUUUUUAUUACCAGAUUGUCAUAGAAAUUAAUAAGUUAUAGUAUUAUAGAUUAAUACUUGUUAGACAUGUUACCCGUCGGUUGGAUCACGAGUCAGAUAGUUCAUAGUCGUCUGAGUAAUUUUUCAGGUGAGUUAUUUCACUAUACUAUGUAUUACAAUAUGUAUCCAUGUAUGUUAGGAUGUAAGAGCUAGUAGAGGAGGGUCAGAAGUGUAGUCUCUAUGUGCUUAAAUGUUAUUGUAUUUGAGUUAUUCGUUACGGUUAAGUGUGGGGUUGAUAGCGGAAUGAUUAUAGGUCCGGAGUUUAUAGACUCAUGUUGAUGACGAAUUGUCAGACAUGCUGUAAGUCUAGACACACAUAUUAUUGGUGGAUCGACAAAAUGUCGCGAGCUAAUUGAUGGAUCGACAAAAGGUCGCGAGCCAUCGUUUGUAUGCAUGUAUAUGUAUUUUGAUAUAUGGUAUCUUGGGGAACUCAUUAAACUUCGUACUUAUCCAGUUGAUUACAAAUGAUUUCAAGAUUUUAAAAAUAAAAAACAUUAUGAAAUUGAGACGUCACAAUGUCUUUUAAUUUUGAGACAUAUUAGACAUAUCAUGAGAUAAUGAUUUAUACAAAAUUAAUUGUUAGGGCGUGUUGCUCUAAAAUAAUAAUUAUCCUCUCAUUUUUUAUGCAACCUCCUACGUUUUUAUCGUAACAUAUUUACUGUUUUAUGAUUUAUGUAGUUGUUGGUAUUAGUAUUGAAUUGUGUUUUGAAUUCAUUCGAUAUUAUGACCGAAUUGCUUAAAUUUUUGAAUGAAAGACAAUAUUUCACUACCCAUUCCUCACAUGAUUGCUCAUGACGGUAUCAUUUUCCGAGUUAAAGCUAUGAAAGUAGAUUUAAGGGUUACUACCGGUUGAAAACAAAAAUUGCUUAAUUAUGCCAUUUUGUUGUAAAUCAAAAACAAACAAAUCAUAAUUUUCCUAUGGUCUUUAGCAUUUAAGAAGGCUUAUUGAUAUAAAAAUCUUAAUGUUUUUUAAGUUUUGUCGGUUUAAUUCUUGUGACUAUUUUUAAUAACAUUAAUGUAAAAAAAAGUUUAUUUUUGCCCUUCAUGAACUAAGUCUCAUAAAACCACUUACACCAAAAACAAAAAAGAAUCAUGCAAAUUCUAUUUUAUCUAAAUUUUUUUUAUUAAACGGGAAAUGUAUUUUAAGUAAACCUAACUUAUUUCAUUUAUGUGUACAUGAGUUGAACCCUCGAUAUAAUGGAAGAAGGGUAAAACCGGAUACCAUUACACUAAAACGCUUAGGUAAUCAUUCACUUAUUUAAUUCAUACAAUGACUCCAAAGAAAUGAUAAAUGUGAAACUAGUCGGACUAUAAAUCCCCCUAAUAUAUUAAUAUUUUUUUGACAUAUGUCACAUUGUUAUUUAUUUUGAUACAUGUAAUUUUGUGGUUACUUUAAAUUAAUUUUUAUUCUACAUGUCAUUUUAUGGUUUUUUCAUUUUAUUAAAUUUUUGAUAGCAUUUAUAUGUGAUAAUAAAUGCAUAUCGAUUUCAUUAAUAAACUUUCCUUUUAAUUUCAAAAUUACAAAAUUAAAUAUUCGUUAAUUUUCUUUAUUUAUUUAUCUAAAUUAUUUGUUUAAAUUUAAAAAAGAAAAAAAAACACUUUAAUUUUUAUAAAUCAACAUUUUUCUCACUUUUAUUAUAAGUUAAAACUUCUCAAAUGUUUAAAAUUUUGUAUUUAGUUUUUUCUUUUAAAUAAACUCAUUUAAUAAAUGGGUCUAAUGUCCAUUUGUGCUACGUCACGGGUUCUAAUAAAGUGUGAUAAACAUUUAAAAAUUAACAUAAGUUACUAUGAUGUUAUAGAAUUUUACUUUCAAAUGGACCGUCACUCGCAUAUAUACAAUAUAUAACAAUGUAUGUGUGGUUGUGUAUAUGAGUGUGUGUCCAUAAAGUCAUGAUUGAUGACGAAAAUCCCUUCCACCGUUGCAAAAAUUCAUAGAGAUUUCACUUGUUAUAGAAUGAACCACAAUUGUUUUUAUAUUGUAUUUUCAUGCAUUCUCAUAAUUAGACAAACAAAAACAUAAGAUGAAUGCAAAAUACUUUUUGGCCUGAUUAAAAAACAUAACCACAUAAACAUGUUAUUUUUACCUUAAUCAAAAUAGGUUGCUUGUUUUGUUAAAACAGAUCAUGUGAUAAAAAUUAAAAACAUAGAUAAAAAUUAAAAACAUAAAAAUGUAAGCACACUGUCUUUUCAUGCUCAAAAUCAUACCAGGUAAAUGCAAACCUAAAGACCAUAAAGUGCAUUGCUCUUUUCAGAAGAAGAUACUAAUUGACAGAAAACCAAACAUUAACACCAAAGUUUAUAUUUUUCUUAAAUGGUCCCUUCUAAAGAAAAAAAAAACUUACAUUUACUAUCCUUGUACCACUUAAUUUCUACCUGCUUUAUUUGCCUUCUUCCAAAAAACGAAAAACGUAGCAUUCCAAGUGGGAGAGUAUUAGUUCCAUCUCUUUUACCAAAACCAAUCUGCAAAUUGUAGUUUGAGCUCUCACUUUCUUGUAGGUUACGAUUUUCUUUUUCAUAUGUAGGUGGACAGCCCAAUCUCACCUUGGUUCGGUAGCAACUGUUAGCAACCGAAUCUUCUGCAGAGCCUAAGUUCAUCCUUCUUCCCCACCAAGCCGAUCAUCCCCUACGAACCUCUUCAUACUAAUAACAUGUAAAUGUUGAAGAUUCUUAUAUAACUUAUUUAGAUCAAAUGAAAAACAAUUUAUAUAAUCACAUUACCUUUUAGCUAAAUAAAAAUAAAAAUAUAUUUCCAGCCAAACCUAAGUGCAUCAACAACCUUUUAUAUCGUAUAGAAACAAACAACAUAACUGUAGCAACAAUAUGACAUUCUUUCAUCCAUAUUUUGUAGAAAAACCUGAGAGAAUUACAACUAUGAGAGACUAUAACAACAAAACUUGGGUCUUAAAAAAUUAAUCUGCUAGAAAAGAUAUAUUAAGGAUUAAAAUUUAAAAGAAAAACCAGAAAAAGGUAGGAAUAAUCGAGGAAAAAGAUAUUCAGGUGUUUGUACUCAUCCACCUACUUUAUUGAAUUUGGUAAAUGCUUAGGUCAACAAUUCAUCAUAAUUCAACCGUCAUCCUCCUUCAUCAUACAAGAUUUUUUGCCACCACGAAGGAGGUGUUGAGCCGAAAUCCACCGAUGGAUUUUGGAGGUGAUUGUAGAUGGUGGUGACAGCGUUCGUGGUGGUGUUCACGAUGUGUGCUUCUCUAUGCGAGAUUCAUGGUAGUAAGCUAUGGUUACGGAUGCAACAGAUGGAGAGGUUUCAAGUAUGUUGCUUCAAGUCAUCAUAUUGAGUUUGGAAGUGAAGAACCAAAUGUUGUCUUUAGCUCAAUAACCACUACCACACACCACUACCUCCAAAACCUUCUGAAAAAAAAUUAAAUUUCAAACGAAUCACCUUUCAAUAUAUUAGUAAAAUCUGUAAAAAAGAGAGAUAAAAAAAAUGAAAAAAUGAAACCCAUACCAGCUUUGGAGAUGACCGAAGGUGGCGAUAGGAGGGUGGCAACGGCUGUAGCACUAUUUUGUGUGGUUGCUUCUUCCUUCUUCCCUCUUGAUCUCCUCCAAUCUUAGCACCUUCGAAUGUUUCUCUGAUUAUCAGAGCAUAUAACGUAAAAAACUAAAAGAAAGACAAUGAUUUUGAAGGAUGAAAAUAGAGGAAAAGCUGAUGACUCACGACAACGACCUGAAAAUCAAAACUAGGGUUGUAGAUUUCAUGAGACUUUACCUCUCUUCUUCCUUGUCUCUCUCUCUCUCUUCAUCUCAAUCGAUAACGUGGUGACUAGCGGUGAAGCAUAACUCAUUCAAGAAGGGGCGUUGACCCCUGUGGCUGUUGUUAUUCCUCCUCCCAUUAAUUGGAUUGGAUUUAAUCAAAAAGAGAUAUGUAUCAGUGAAGAAGAUGUGUAACACUCCAAUCUAGGUAUUCCAUUGUUCACCCUCAAGUGCUUCAAUUUUGUCAAAAAUGGUCCUUUCCGUACGUUGGGUGUACAUUUGUGUACGCUUAGCAUACGUGUGUGAGGGCAUUGAGUGACUGGGGCUCGUACGUUGGGCAUACGGGCAUUAUGUGGUGCGUAGGAGGCAGAUAUCUCAAACCCUAAUUCUUUGACUUGCAACCUAUUUAAGCAAUCUUAUAUCAUUUGGACCAAAACCUAAUCAGCCUCCAUAGCCUCAUUUCGGCCCUUAACCCCAAAUUUUCAUUUGAGUGUGAUCCUUGAGCUUAAAGAAUGUUUUGGUGGCCAUUUUAGAGAGCAUUCAAGAAGGAGAAGGUGGUGAUCAAGUAUUGGGUGUCAUUAAGCUUCUAGAUCCUGCAUCUAGUUUAUCUUUAGGAACUUCUAGUGGUAUAAAGUCAUAACCUUUUCAUCUCUUUUUUUAGUUUGAGUUAGGGUUUUGUUAUGAAGUCCCUUGUUGGUUCUUGGACCCUCUCUUGAGAGUUGAGCAACUCUAGAGACUAAGAUAGUUAGAUCUAAGCUUUUUUUACCAUACUUGAUGCAUAAAGGUGUCAUCUUGAUUGUUGUUUUCAUACCAUGCAUGAGUUUAAGGUCUUAAAUGAGGUCUUAAUGAGAAUGAAGUAUUGGGAACCCUUAUGGCAUGCAAGGGCAUAAAGCUGCCAACUUUAUGCCCUAGGAAAUAUUAAUGGACUCAGAUCUGAAGUUUAACAUUAAAAUCCCAAGUAUUAAGCACUAAAUGUUCGCUGGUGCAUACCAUGCUUUUACGUCGGGUGUAAUAUUGUGUAUGCUACGCGUACAACCAAAGGGCUCAGUAAGCUAAGUGCACUGGAGUGGUACGCUGGGCGUACGCACCCUCGAUAGGUUUGGGCUUCAUGUUGGCUUGUAAGCAUUUUGGGCCUUAUUCAUUUUUCGGCAUGGUCCUAUUUUGAGUUAAUGGUCUGAUUAUUUUGUUUUGCACCAUAGUUGUUUUGGUUGGACCUUAUUGGGCCAUGUGCCCUGUUAAUAACUUUUAUCUUGGAUCCUAGGCCCAUUAGUAAAGGAAAGACUUUUGGGCCACCAUGUAAGGACUUAGGCUUAGGUUUUUGGACUCUUUGACUAGGUUGAGUUAUAAACCUAAUUUAGUGGUAUUUGUACCAUUAUUCAGUGUGAUGUUUCAGGCUGAUAGGUGAGUGGCUAUUCUGUUUAGUAGACUGAGGUGAGUCUUCUCAUCAUACCAAUGGGUCGAAGGCACCAAUGUCGGCCCAUUAUCUGAUGUGUAGUAAUUGAUUGAUAUGCAAUUGCAUGCUUUGUGGUAUGGAUUGUUUUAUGUUAAGACCAUGGGGGGAGCCCAUGGCACCUGGAUAUCAGAACAUGGGGGAGCCCACGACAUUCCAGGUGAAGACCAUGGGGGUGCCAUGACACUUGGUUAUCAGACAGCGGAGGGAGCCCAUGGCAUUCCAAGUAAAGACCAUGGAGGGAGUCCAUGGCAAUUCAUGUAUGCGUUUCUAUUGCAUGGUUUUUUUAUGAUUGUAUGUGUUGUGCAUUUUCGAAAACUCACUAGGCGUUUCCUUAAAGUUUGUUGGGUGUUUGAGGUACUUUUGGCUCUAAGGGCAAGAGCCUGGCUUGAUGGCGUAGCUUGCACUCUUCAGUAUUUCAAACUCAUUGUUUUGGAUACUCAGAUCUUUUGAACAAUGUAUUAUGUGGGAAAGAAAUUCGGAUACUAUUUUUAGUUAAUAAAUGAAAAUUAUUACCUAUGUUUUUGGGUUGUUACAAGACGAUUGGCUAACGAAAGUGGUGGAGGGAGUAGAUGUAAAACACAUGUGCUGGUACUUGGGAGUGCGUUGGACAAAAUUUGUAGAACACAUGUGAUAAGGGACCCAAUAUGUAACAAUAGAAAACUGGUGUGGCAAAAUCCUAAAGACACUAAACUAUACUAUUCCCUAAGGCUUUAAGAAUUAAUAUAAAUAUUAAUAUUGUAUCCAGUUUAGCGAAUUAAUAAAGAUGUGAUUGAUUACAAGUAUGAUUAAUAUAAUCAUUUAUAUAAAAUAAAUGAUUAAUGUAUAUUAAAAUCUGAGAGUAUUACCAAAACGCAGGCCAAAACUUCGUAUAUAAGUUGUUUCACGAAAAUGAUAUAUAUAUANNNNNNNNNNNNNNNNNNNNNNNNNNNNNNNNNNNNNNNNNNNNNNNNNNNNNNNNNNNNNNNNNNNNNNNNNNNNNNNNNNNNNNNNNNNNNNNNUAUGUUUGUGACUUUCAAAAUCUCAAUAUAUGUAUAGUAGCAUCCACUUUUUCCAGGUUUCUUUUCAAAGGUUAAUUAUUUCAUGCUUUUGGGAUUUUGCAACACUACGAUGUGGCAUUAGGUGGGCCACAAUGUGACAUUUGUUGAUGAGGAACGUGCAUCAACACAAUAGCAUGACGUGGCAUAUUUUUUUCCACGACGUGGUGACUUUAUUAUCCCAAAACCUUAAUUUCGGGACUAAUUCCAAGGGUUUCUCUUUGGCAGCACCCACCCUCUGAGAUCCUAUCACAUCCACUACGUCGCAUAUCGUUGAUUUAUUUUGACUUAGGUCAUCCAUCUGCAAAACCAACACCCAAUUUUAAUCAUUCAACUUUCCUACAUCCAGUAAGAGCUCCAUUAUCACAAACAAAAUUUAUGAGCAGUUUACCGAACACCUUAUGUCUACAUUAAAUCAGCUUGAAGAAUUAUACGAGGUAAAAGAAAACCGGCCAUCGAUGUAUGAAUUUAAUUAGGGCAUGGAAAUUAUAAUAAAAACGACAAUCAAAAUUAAUACUGCUUCAUUGUGCACUUUUUGGAGGUAAGUGUUCAAAUUCAAGUAAUUAAUAAUUUUUUUGUUGUUCUAAACCUUUUGGCAUAAACAAAAUUAACAUGGUUCGCAUUCUAAAACCUCCAUCAAAAUCCUUUGAUUUUCCAUCGAUAACACCUCAUUUUUGAUUUACUGUAAUAUGUAAAUUAAAGGAACAUUUUAAAUGCCACGGGUAACAAAAAGAAUGCAGGGGAGAAAGAUGGUUCCUAAAGUUUAGGCUAAAAUUCACCGCUUUCAAUUUCCUGAGGACAAUUUCACCAUAUAUAUUGUCAUCCUAACAUUGAGAAUACAAAAAGAAAAUAAAAACAUUCAAAAUUACCAAAAGAACCAUGAUUACCAUGAAUGGAAACGAAAGGCACCCAAGACACAUGGAAAAUCAUGUCCACCACCAUGAAGGAGGUGUUCAGUCCAAAUGUACCGAUGGGUUUUGGGGAUGAUUGUGGAUGGUGGCGACAGUGUUCGUAGUGGUGUUCAUGAUGUGUUCUUCUUUAUGUGAGAUUGAGGGUUUUAGGUUAUGGUGACGACUAUAAAAGAUGGAGAGGUUUCAAGUACGUUGAUCUGAGUCAUCAUAUCGAGUUUGGAAGUGAAGAACCAAAUGUUGUCAUUGGCUCAAAAACCACUGCCACACACCACCAUCUCCAAAACCUUUUGCAAAAAAAAUUUAAUCUUAGACGAAUCACCUUUCAAUAUAUCAAUAAAAUCUAGUAGAAAGAGAGAGAUCAACGAAAAAGGAAAAAACAAAACCCAUACCUGUAGUGGAGAUGACCUGAGGUGGGAAUGGGGAGGGAGGGCGGCGACGGCCGGAGUGUUGGUGUGCGUGGUUACUUCUUCCUUCUUCCCUUUGAAUCUCCUCCGAUCUCUACACCUUCAAAUGUUUCUCUGAUUAGCAGAGAAAAUAUCCUAUAAAACUAAAAGAAACACGAUGAUUUCAUAGGAUGAAAAGAGAGGAAAAGCUGACGAUUGACGACAACGACCUGAAAAUCGAAAACUAAGGGUGUUUAUUUCAACAGACUUUUACCUCACGUCUUCCUUCUACCUCCAUCAAAAUUGAUAACGUAAUGACUGGCAGUAAAGCAUAAAUCAUGUUAGAAAGGGCAUCGAACUCUGGGGUUGCUUUUGUUCCUCCUCUUUGUCAAUCGGAAAGGAUAUUUAGAUAUAUAUAUAUAUAUAUAUANNNNNNNNNNNNNNNNNNNNNNNNNNNNNNNNNNNNNNNNNNNNNNNNNNNNNNNNNNNNNNNNNNNNNNNNNNNNNNNNNNNNNNNNNNNNNNNNNNNNNNNNNNNNNNNNNNNNNNNNNNNNNNNNNNNNNNNNNNNNNNNNNNNNNNNNNNNNNNNNNNNNNNNNNNNNNNNNNNNNNNNNNNNNNNNNNNNNNNNNNNNNNNNNNNNNNNNNNNNNNNNNNNNNNNNNNNNNNNNNNNNNNNNNNNNNNNNNNNNNNNNNNNNNNNNNNNNNNNNNNNNNNNNNNNNNNNNNNNNNNNNNNNNNNNNNNNNNNNNNNNNNNNNNNNNNNNNNNNNNNNNNNNNNNNNNNNNNNNNNNNNNNNNNNNNNNNNNNNNNNNNNNNNNNNNNNNNNNNNNNNNNNNNNNNNNNNNNNNNNNNNNNNNNNNNNNNNNNNNNNNNNNNNNNNNNNNNNNNNNNNNNNNNNNNNNNNNNNNNNNNNNNNNNNNNNNNNNNNNNNNNNNNNNNNNNNNNNNNNNNNNNNNNNNNNNNNNNNNNNNNNNNNNNNNNNNNNNNNNNNNNNNNNNNNNNNNNNNNNNNNNNNNNNNNNNNNNNNNNNNNNNNNNNNNNNNNNNNNNNNNNNNNNNNNNNNNNNNNNNNNNNNNNNNNNNNNNNNNNNNNNNNNNNNNNNNNNNNNNNNNNNNNNNNNNNNNNNNNNNNNNNNNNNNNNNNNNNNNNNNNNNNNNNNNNNNNNNNNNNNNNNNNNNNNNNNNNNNNNNNNNNNNNNNNNNNNNNNNNNNNNNNNNNNNNNNNNNNNNNNNNNNNNNNNNNNNNNNNNNNNNNNNNNNNNNNNNNNNNNNNNNNNNNNNNNNNNNNNNNNNNNNNNNNNNNNNNNNNNNNNNNNNNNNNNNNNNNNNNNNNNNNNNNNNNNNNNNNNNNNNNNNNNNNNNNNNNNNNNNNNNNNNNNNNNNNNNNNNNNNNNNNNNNNNNNNNNNNNNNNNNNNNNNNNNNNNNNNNNNNNNNNNNNNNNNNNNNNNNNNNNNNNNNNNNNNNNNNNNNNNNNNNNNNNNNNNNNNNNNNNNNNNNNNNNNNNNNNNNNNNNNNNNNNNNNNNNNNNNNNNNNNNNNNNNNNNNNNNNNNNNNNNNNNNNNNNNNNNNNNNNNNNNNNNNNNNNNNNNNNNNNNNNNNNNNNNNNNNNNNNNNNNNNNNNNNNNNNNNNNNNNNNNNNNNNNNNNNNNNNNNNNNNNNNNNNNNNNNNNNNNNNNNNNNNNNNNNNNNNNNNNNNNNNNNNNNNNNNNNNNNNNNNNNNNNNNNNNNNNNNNNNNNNNNNNNNNNNNNNNNNNNNNNNNNNNNNNNNNNNNNNNNNNNNNNNNNNNNNNNNNNNNNNNNNNNNNNNNNNNNNNNNNNNNNNNNNNNNNNNNNNNNNNNNNNNNNNNNNNNNNNNNNNNNNNNNNNNNNNNNNNNNNNNNNNNNNNNNNNNNNNNNNNNNNNNNNNNNNNNNNNNNNNNNNNCCACCCACUAACACCACCAUCUGUCACUACCACCCGCCUACACUAACCACCACCCAUCACUACCACCACCUCUACUACCAACGACCACCACCCACCACCACUACCAACACUUGCCACUACCACCAACCACCACCCACUAACACCACCAUCUGUCACUACCACCUGCCUACACUCCCCAUCACCCGCCAAAACCACAACCACCACCACACGUUACCACCACCCACCACCCACUCCCCCCCGCCAACACUAACCACCACCCAUCAAUACCACCUCCUCUACUACCAACCAUCACCACCCAUCAUAUUUACCAACACUUGCCACUACCACCAGCCACUACCCACCAACACCACCAUCUGUCACUAUCACCCAUCUACACCACUCAUCACCCGCCAAAACCACAACCACCACCAGCCGCCGACACCACUCGUCACCACCACCCACCACCAUCAUUAUUACUACCUACCAACCCCUAUUAUGACCACCCACUUCUACCACUAACCACCACCACCCACCAACAUUACCAAUACUCGCCACUAUCUCCAACCACUACCUACCAACACCACCACCCACCCACUACCACCCACCUCUACUAUACAUCACCAACACUUGCCACCACCACCAUCUAUCAUUCACAAAAACCAUAACUACCACAACCUAUCACCAUUAACCACCACCAUCGACCCACCACACAUUACCACCACCCAUCAACACCGCCCGUCACCACCUUCACCACCACCCGCCACCACUCACCCACAUCAUUACCACCUACCACCAUAUUACCCACCACUAAACAUCACUACACGCCACCACCACCCACCAUCAUCCACCCAUAAACACCACCACCACUACCAACCUAUCCAUAACCUAUCAUAACCACCAUCCCCACAACUACACACCACUUAUCACCACCGCAACCACUACCUACCACUACUACAAACCAACUAUUACCCACGAACCGCAACACUCACCACCACCCAUUGCUACUAACCACCACCCUACGCCACCUACUCCACCAUCAUAACCACCACACACAACUACUCAUCUCCACCACAUGACCACCAUCCACUACUUAUAACCACCAACACUAUAUGUGAUUAAAUGUAUAUAAUGUUAUAAAUCGUGUCUGAUUGUAUGUAUUAUUCAUAGAAAUCACAUGUGAUUAAAUACAUAUAAUCACAUGUGCUUAUAUGUAUCUAAUCACAUAUGAUUUAUAUAAAUAAGAUUUAUUUUCAAGUUUUCCAUUAAAUAAUUUUGCUCAUGUACUUACUCAUAUCUGAUUAUACUUAUUUACUCACAAAUGAUUAAUAUGAACAACAAUCUGUUUUCACAUUUUUUGAUUAAAUGGUUGUUCUCUUGAAUAUAAUCACAUAUGAUUAUAUAUAUCCAAUCACAUAUGAUUUAUAUUGACACUAUUCUUUUUGUUAAUAUAAAUCAUAUGUGAUUAUACAAUUAAAAAAAACUCACUAAACUACACGACUCACCACCCACCCAACACAUCCACGACCACUACCUACCACCCACCAACCACCAAUCACCACCAUCUACAACCCAUCAACCACCAACCACCACCACCCACAACCAGUACCAACCACUCAUCACUAGUUCACUACAACCAACAACCCACUACCACCACUCACCACCACCAACCCUACCACCAUCACGUACUGUCACCACCACUACUAACCCCACUACCAUUAUGCACCAUCACCACCAUCACCAAGCACCCACCACCACCGACCAAUCACUAACACCACCCAUCAGCAGGACCUGCCUACACCACCUAUCACCACCAAUCAACACCACCACCCAAUCUAUCACCCACCAAAACCACCACUACCACGAACUACCACCCACCAAAACCACCACCACCAACAACAACUACCCACCACCUACCACGAUCACUACCACCAGCCAACACUAACCACCACCCAUCACUACCACCACCUCUACUACCAACGACCACCACCCACCACCACUACCAACACUUGCCACUACCACCAACCACCACCCACUAACACCACCAUCUGUCACUACCACCUGCCUACACUCCCCAUCACCCGCCAAAACCACAACCACCACCACACGUUACCACCACCCACCACCCACUACCACCCGCCAACACUAACCACCACCCAUCAAUACCACCUCCUCUACUACCAACCAUCACCACCCAUCAUAUUUACCAACACUUGCCACUACCACCAGCCACUACCCACCAACACCACCAUCUGUCACUAUCACCCAUCUACACCACUCAUCACCCGCCAAAACCACAACCACCACCAGCCGCCGACACCACUCGUCACCACCACCCACCACCAUCAUUAUUACUACCUACCAACCCCUAUUAUGACCACCCACUUCUACCACUAACCACCACCACCCACCAACAUUACCAAUACUCGCCACUAUCUCCAACCACUACCUACCAACACCACCACCCACCCACUACCACCCACCUCUACUAUACAUCACCAACACUUGCCACCACCACCAUCUAUCAUUCACAAAAACCAUAACUACCACAACCUAUCACCAUUAACCACCACCAUCGACCCACCACACAUUACCACCACCCAUCAACACCGCCCGUCACCACCUUCACCACCACCCGCCACCACUCACCCACAUCAUUACCACCUACCACCAUAUUACCCACCACUAAACAUCACUACACGCCACCACCACCCACCAUCAUCCACCCAUAAACACCACCACCACUACCAACCUAUCCAUAACCUAUCAUAACCACCAUCCCCACAACUACACACCACUUAUCACCACCGCAACCACUACCUACCACUACUACAAACCAACUAUUACCCACGAACCGCAACACUCACCACCACCCAUUGCUACUAACCACCACCCUACGCCACCUACUCCACCAUCAUAACCACCACACACAACUACUCAUCUCCACCACAUGACCACCAUCCACUACUUAUAACCACCAACACUAUAUGUGAUUAAAUGUAUAUAAUGUUAUAAAUCGUGUCUGAUUGUAUGUAUUAUUCAUAGAAAUCACAUGUGAUUAAAUACAUAUAAUCACAUGUGCUUAUAUGUAUCUAAUCACAUAUGAUUUAUAUAAAUAAGAUUUAUUUUCAAGUUUUCCAUUAAAUAAUUUUGCUCAUGUACUUACUCAUAUCUGAUUAUACUUAUUUACUCACAAAUGAUUAAUAUGAACAACAAUCUGUUUUCACAUUUUUUGAUUAAAUGGUUGUUCUCUUGAAUAUAAUCACAUAUGAUUAUAUAUAUCCAAUCACAUAUGAUUUAUAUUGACACUAUUCUUUUUGUUAAUAUAAAUCAUAUGUGAUUAUACAAUUAAAAAAAACUCACUAAACUACACGACUCACCACCCACCCAACACAUCCACGACCACUACCUACCACCNUAUAUAUAUAUAUAAUCACAUGUGAUUAGAUGUAUUUAAUCACAUGUGAUUAUAUGUAUCUAAUAUAAUAUUAUUUAAAUAGACACGAUUCAUUUUCAAAUUUUCGAUUCAAUAAUUUUCUCUUGUUUUUAAUCACAUGUGAUAAUAUGUAAUUAAUCAAAUAUGAUUACUAUGGGCACAGAACAACUUCUGAAUCAAGAACGCAAAAACAAAUCUUGCGCUCAUAAAUUAUAUGUUGUUUGAUACAUAUAAUCACAUGUGAUUAAAUACACGAGAACAAAUAUUAAAUCAGAAAUGUAAAACGAAUAUUGUCUAUAUAAAUCAUAUGUGAUUAAAUACAUAAAUCUAAUCAUAUGUGAUUAAAUAAUGAGAACAACUAUUGGAUCGAGAAAGCGAAAAUGAAUGUUUUCCUCAUAAAUCAUAUGUUAUUAGAUACAUAUAAUCACGUAUGAUUAUAUAUAUUUAAUCACAUAUGAUUAAUAGGGAUAAAGAUUUGUUUUCACGUUCUUGAUUCAUUAUUUGUUAUUGUGUAGAUAAUAAAUGUGAUUAUACACACACACACACAGAUANNNNNNNNNNNNNNNNNAUAUAUAUAUAUAUAUAUAUAUAUAUAUAUAUAUAUAUAUAUAUACAUAUAUAAUCACAUGAUUUAUAUAUAAACGAUUUGGUUUUUUUCCAAAUAAAAUCGUAUGUGAUUAGAAACAUACAAUCAUAUUUGAUUAAAUGUAUUUAAUCACAUAUGAUUAAAAUGGAAUAAAUAAUUAUAUAAUCGAGAAUGCGAAAAUAAAUCUUAGCCACAUAAAUCGUAUGUGAUUAGAUACAUAUAAUCGCAAGUGAUUAUAUGUAUCUAGGAACAUAUGAUUUAUGUGGAAAAUAUUCAUUUUUGUGUUCUAUAUUCAAUAGUUGUUCUCGUGUAUUUAAUCAAACGUGAUUAUACGUAUCUAGUAACAUAUGACUUAUGUGAACAAGAUUCAAAUUCACAUUCUCAAUUCAAUAGUUUUUAUCACGUUUUUAAUCUUGUUGUAAUCAUGUAUUUAAUCGUAUGUCAUUUUAUGUAUUUAAUAAAAUAUUAUACGAUUAAUAUGAAGAAACAACAACUAUUGAAUCAAAAACACAAAAGUAUUAUACGAUUAAUAUGAAGAAAGAAUAACUAACGAAUAAAGAACAUGGAAAUGAAUCUUGUUUGCUUAUCUCACUAGAGAACAGACUACAUUCUGCCUUUCCUUGUUUACUCUACCGGAUUCAGGUAUCCAUGAACAAUAACAUUAAAUAAGUAAUGACUACAUAAUAGGAGAGUUAGUGUAACUCACCUCCUUGAACUUGAAAAUUAGCUAGCGUGAGCUAGAUAUAUCCUUUCCUUUCCAAGAACCUACACAAAAAUAUUACAUUAUUUAGCUUGUGCUUGUUGUAUUACUCUUAUAAAACUUAUGUGCAUAUUUCCUUAAUUUCUCUUUGAUUGUAGUUCUCUGUUUGGGAUAUGUUUUCUUACCUUUCAACCUAUUCUUAAAUUUCCAUAAACAACAUUGGUAAAGUUCCCUCUUUUAUCUUUUCAGGAAUAUAAAGAUAUUGUUCUAAUGAUUUUCGGUUGAUUUUAUAUUAAAUUUACAAGUCAGUAGCCUUAAGCUAUCAAUUUCUAGACGACUCAACACUCUUGGAAUAAACUGUACCAAUAUACUACGAAUUACUUCAGAACCUAUCUAGUAAGGAAACUAUACAUCCAUAUCUAACUAUAAGAUUUGGAAUCUCGGUAUUUGGAGUUCUAAUGAAUUUAUUAUGAUUUUUUGAAGACAAUGCAUGAAAUCUGUGAGAGCAUGGCCUAGCCUGAGAAGAUUGCUAAUUUUACCCCUGAAGGAUUUGGAAUUUCGAAAUAUGAUUUAAAGUUUGAAGAAACUAGACACACAAAUAUUUAAAGAAAACUAAGUCUCGUAAAUUUAAGUAUUCUAAUUGCCUUCGACGGAUUUUAGAUGUUCAAGGACAGAUUUGGGAAAAUUGAUCAAAUAGCUUUUUAAUCACUUUUGGUGUUCUAUUAAGGACUUAAUGGUUGACCCUUAAGUUUAUCACUUUUAAAAUGAUUGUUGGUUACUUUUUAGGAUAUUAAGAUGCGAAAUUCAAUUUAAGCUAAGGGCCUUAAUGCUUGUGUAACGCCCCAAUUCCCGAGUAUCAAUUUGUGGUUAUAAUUAUUCAUAAAUUGCAAGGUCUAGUCGACGAGUUGGAUGCCUUGACUCGUCGAGUAGAAGCGGUUUGGGGCACAUUUUUAAGUGACCUACUAGCCGAGUUCAAGUUAGGAUUCGACGAGUAAGAGUUGGAGGAUGAAACCCUAAUUCUAGGGUUUUGCACCCUAUUUAAAGGUCCUUAACUUUCCUUCCCAGCCUCCCUUGUCAUCUUCACAUCAAGAGAAAACCCUAAUAGUUAGCCAGUCUCCAUUAUUGAGUGUGUAAGACCAAAAGAGAGUGAAUUGGAGUGUUUAUUGAAGAGUUGAGAGCUUGGGACAAGAAAGAGCUUGUAGAUCCAGCCUUUCUAGUAUUAUGGCAUCAAGAUUAAGGUAUAAAGCUACCACCUUUACAUUUAAUUGCUUAGAUCUCCCCUUUGUGGAAGAAAAUGGUCAUUUCUAGGGCAAGAUAGAGACAUUUUCGGGUUUGAGCUUGUCACAAGGGAAAAGUUUCAGAUCUUGACUCCCCUAGGCUUUGUGGACAGAAUCCUUCAAGCUUUAUGAAGCUUUGACCCUCUUUCAUGUCCAAAACCUUUGCCUAAUACUAGUUAUGAGUGUUUUAGUUCCAUAGAACCUUGCAUGCAUGUAAAGUUAGCAAGUUUACAUGAUAAAAACACCCUAGGAGCCUAGAUCUAUAGUUUGGAGCCUUGGUUUCACGAAGAAGCUUCUAUAUGGAUGAAGGACUGAAGGGACUCGACGAGUUGCAUGGUCAACUCGGAGAGUCCGAUAAAGAUUGUUGUUGACCCGGCGAGUCAGAUGAGUUACUCGACGAGUCGGCUAGGGUUUUCCCAAACUUUGGACAUGUAUGAACUAGACAAGUUACAAGGGAGACUCGACGAGUCGGCCAAGGAGUUUUUGACCGCAAACCUUAGAAACUCGACGAGUCACUCUAGUGACUCGACGAGUUGGCGAGUUAUGCAAGGAAAUCGGCGAGUAGCUAAGGGUACUCGAUGAGCUGAGGUCAACAUGGAUUGUUGACCUUAACCGUUAACUUUGACUUUGACCAAGGGUUGACCGGUUUGACUUUUAAGGAUAAUUGGUAAGCGGGUAUUUAUGAAUUGGAUCAUUGAUUGUUAUAGGUAUUGGAGUUUGGGGCAGUGUUUCGGGAGCAUGAUUUCAUGGUUUAGUCUGGCAUUGCAAGGUGAGUUAUCCUCACUAUAUCAAAAAGGUCUAAGGCACUAAGGCCAGCUCUUUAUCGAUUUUGUAUCCGGGUAUUUGCUUGAUAUGUUUAUUGAUCUGCUAUAUCUACAUCCCGGUAGAUAGGAUGAUAUUAUAUUAAUGGCCUGGUUUAGGUUGGUAUCUUAUUAUAUAGGAUGAUUUUAUGUAAGUGACUAGUUAGGUUGGUAUCCUGGUUAUAGGUUGGUUGUUGUGUUACUUAUCUGUUAGAUCGGUAUGAUUAUCUGUUAUAUACAUGAUAACGUAUGAUAUUUAUGUGCACAUGAUUGUUUGAUUAGUAUGGGGGUUGGGUUGAGGUGGGUCCCGCUUUGUGCUGUAGGCCAACAUAUAAAGGGCGGACUGAAUAGACUGCAGGCCUGGGAGGGAACCUAGUAAGGCCGAAGGCCCGACGUGCGGUACGGAUAGGCUGAAGGACCUGAGAGGGCAGUAGAGAUGUGCCGAUGCUCGAAGAGUGGGCCAUAUAGACUGAACGCUCGGUGCGGGCGGUCCAGUCAUACUGUAGACUCAGAGAGUGGACCAGGUGGACUGAAGGCCCGGUACGGGCGGACCAGUCACACUGCAAACUCGUGAUGCAUGGUUGUUUCGUUACAUAUAUGUUUAUAUGAUAUGGUUAUCUGUAUGGAGUUGUUAUUUUGGGGGUAACUCACUAAGCUUUUGGGCUUAUAGUUUUUGUUUAUUGUUUCAGGUUCAGCGGAUGGCCGCUGGAAGGCGAAGGUGUGUCCGUACACUUCCUCGAUUGAUGAUUAUGAUUUCUGGGAACUCUGAUGUUUAAGCUAUUUUGAAAAAGAAUUGUAGUAACUGAAUGGUUUUAAAUGAUUUAAAAAGUUUUAAAUUGACUCGAAUCUUAAGGAUGUUACAACUUGGCUUAAUGAGGGUUCAAAGUUAAGAGUUUUCACAUAAAAUGCAACUUUACAUUUAUUGGGUUCUUUUCAGAAAAUAUGACAAACACCUUGUGUACAUGAAAUCCUACAGUGAUCCUCAACUAUCUAAUUGAAUCCAAUCCAACCCCUAGAGCUUACUAUUAUUAUUUAUCAUCGACACCGACAAUUAGCAUAAAGGAGUAAUCCAUGAUUAUAAAUGGAAGAGUGGUAAACAAAUUGAAGGUAAACUCAGGUUAAAUAAUUGACCAAGACUAAUAACCACUACAACAACUCAAAAGGGUCAUUUCCUUUCUGUAAAUGAUUCAUGAUAGGGAUCAUUGCCUAAUAUUCUAGUUUCAGAGUCUAAAUCUAUAAUAACUCAAGUUAAGAGUGGAAGAGGUUUGUUUACUAAUAAAAAGUUGAAAUCACUCCCUGGAGCAUAUCAUCCUUCAUCCUCUAAUUUCUGAUCCACACCUUUCGAUUGAUUGUCAAAAAUCCACAAAAUUAGCUUUCAUGUGCCAUCUUUCAUUAUCGAAUACCUUAUGCGUAGCUUCCAAUUCAAUUUUGAUUUUCUCAACAUCUCCUUCCGGAUGAACGAUGCUAAAUUUCACAAUAUCAUGAAUCUGACUCAUAAUUCGACCGGAUCCAUCAUUUUCCUGAUCAGAGUACAAAUCAAAUUGAUUCUUCUCAGGAUGAUCAUUAAUUUCUUAGCAUUAUACAUAGAUUCAUUCACUAAAAAAGUUUGGCAUUCAAUGAUGCUUAAUUAUACGAACGGAGAAGCUCAAAGGAGUAAAUCAUGUUGAAUUUCCUGAUAUAUUGAAGUGCUUGAGCUGAUUUUUUGGAAGUAAUGUUGAAUGACCUACAUUUCGACACACUCAUUUAAUUUAUUUGAUGCAUGCAUCUGUUAAAUUGUUCUCAAAUUUAUAAUUGUUCUCAUUUGAUUAUAUAUAUAUAUAUAUAUAUAUAUAUAUAUAUGUGUGUGUGUGUGUGUGUAUGUGUGUGUGUAUAGAGAGAGAGAGAGANNNNNNNNNNNNNNNNNNNNNNNNNNNNNNNNNNNNNNNNNNNNNNNNNNNNNNNNNNNNNNNNNNNNNNNNNNNNNNNNNNNNNNNNNNNNNNNNNNNNNNNNNNNNNNNNNNNNNNNNNNNNNNNNNNNNNNNNNNNNNNNNNNNNNNNNNNNNNNNNNNNNNNNNNNNNNNNNNNNNNNNNNNNNNNNNNNNNNNNNNNNNNNNNNNNNNNNNNNNNNNNNNNNNNNNNNNNNNNNNNNNNNNNNNNNNNNNNNNNNNNNNNNNNNNNNNNNNNNNNNNNNNNNNNNNNNNNNNNNNNNNNNNNNNNNNNNNNNNNNNNNNNNNNNNNNNNNNNNNNACUAUAAAAUCAUGAGGAGCGGUACGAUCACGCCUUCGCCUAGCCACGAUCUCCUGAAGAACCUGAAAACAUAAAACCACAACUGUAAGCCCAAAAGCUUAAUGAGAUACCCCCAAAAUACCAACCACAUAUACGCCCUUCCAGGCCACGACCUUCCGGUCCAAAACAUAUUGCCUUCCGGUCCAUAACAUAUUGCCUUCCGACCCAUAACAUAUUGCCUUUCGACCCAUAACAUAACAACAUACAUAACAUAACAGAACAUAGAACAACCAUGCAUACCGGGUCACACUCCAGUCCAAGCAACCGUGUGCAUAUAACAUAUAAUCAUAUAACAGUUCACAGUCAGCCAAUCGGUCAAACAGAUCACAUAACAUAUCAUCACCCUAACCAAUAUAUCGGCCUAGCCGAUCACUAGCGUAACAUCACCCUACGACUCAUCCAACAUACUAAUUACGCACACACGCCUUUCCAGGCCAUGACCUUCCGGUCCACAUCAUAAUGCCUUCCGGCCCAUAUCCCGCAAUAUCAUAACAACAGACAACUCCCCGGAUUUGCAUCCGAUAAAGGGUCGGCCUUGGUGCCUUAAACCCCGUUGAUAUAGUAAGGAUAACUCACCUCGAAAAUGCCGUCUGAACAGAUAACCCAAGUUGCUCCGAUCACUGAUACGAUCUCCACCACCGGACAACCACCAAUGCACUGAACUCAAAACAAUAAUCAACAAUUACCAAAAUGCCCCUGGAAACCACUGGUCAACCCUUGGUCAAAGACAAGGUCAAAGUCAACCCCUGACUGACUCUACUCGCCGAGUCAACCCGAUGACUCGCCGAGUCCCCAUACUCAGAACUUCCCUCAAUCCGAGAACUAACUCGCCGAGUCACCCCGAGACUCGUCGAGUUUAACAACUCUGAGUCCACUCGCACACAACUCACCGAGUCAUCCCUUGACUCACCGAUUCUCGACUUGACAAGAAAAUAUUGGGACUCUUCGAUAAGACUCGUCGAGUCCAAGAAUAGACUCGCUGAGUCUAAGGCUAUCUUCAACCUACUCGCCGAGUUGUUCUUCCAACUCGUCGAGUUCCAGCUCAUCUUCAAGCAACUCGUCGAGUACACCCAUGUGACUCGCCGAGUACCACCGGUCUGAAUCCAUACAGAAGCAUUCCAGGCCAUGCAAUUGCUCCAAAACAUAGAUCUAGCCUCCUACAACUCAUCCAUCACGUAAAGUGGCAAACUUUACGUGAAUCCAAAGAGAUCUAUGCAUUUUGCACAUUAGGGCUAAGGUUUGGGACAUGAUAGCUUCAUCCAACACUCAACACAGGGACUUUCAUGCAUUCCAACUCUUCUCCAUUCCAGAUCUGAGGUAGCAACCUCAGAUCUAACCUCUAAACUCCAAUACAUCCAAAGAUAUGAUCUCUAAUAUCCCCAAAAUGAUGCAUCUAAGAAAUAGCAGCUCAAAAACGAGAUAUUACCUCAAAAGAACGCCCCAACUGCAAUGAAACUUGAAUCCAAGCAAAGCCCCUUGCUCCAAGCCUCUCCUUCUCUAAGAUCUCUUCAAUAACCACCUCUCCAAGCUCUAAUUUGCUCAACAAUGGUGCUUCUCCAUGAUUUUAGGGUUUCUGGGACUCAAGGGGUGAUAAAGAGGCUGGGAGGAAAACAUAAUGUUCUUUAUAUAGGGCUCAACCCCGAGAAUUAGGGUUUUCUCCACUCAGCGCCUACUCGCCGAGUCCACCUCAUUGACUCGCCGAGUCGGCUACUUAACACGCGACCAAAUCGCGACUCUACUCGCCGAGUCCAUCCAUGGACUCGCCGAGUCACUCCUUCCCAAAUUACACUUUUAGCCCUUCAACUCUACUCUUGCUAUUUCGGGAUGUUACAAUUCUCCCCCACUUAAAUUAGGCUUCGUCCUCGAAGCCUACAACAAUUCAAUCCCAAAGAUACUCCCACAACGCGCCACCUGGCCUUAACCGGGCCAAGUCCCUCAAGGCAUACCCAUCGAAACUCAAACACACUUCCUCUUUCCUUACGGUGUCCUGAGCACCGUCUCGAACCGGGAACCGGCUGUACCCUCUGAUAAUCACACUCAGCAACCAAGAAUUACCCAUGAAGCAUCACUACCCCAAAUCUCGACAAUCACUCGUCUCAUAAGGGCUAGAAAGCCAUGAACCAUCGGAUCCCCGAUCUGAAUUCCACUCUAUCCAUUUCGUGAUGACGGAAAGACCCAUUCUCGAUCUCAAAGAAACUCCCACGAGUUCUCCUCUUGCAAUCACAUACACAUGCGGAACUUGCUCCAGCACCCUCAGGUUGGGAAAACCCGAUACACUGAUGAUAUCCUCCAACAUCCCCCAGGAUGAAUCACUAAUACAUAUCCAAUACCAUGAUCAGAAUCACACUAAGAGCCCAAGACUCUCUCCCUGCAUCCCUUUCGAGUCUCUUGGUUCUACAUCUGCGGAAAUCUCUCUCGCGUCGUCAGCAGACAUCUCAUCACGCUAUCAUUCGAUACCCCCAUCGCAAUCACGCUGCUCAAAGACCACCGUCGGACCACUCCGACCAAAACUCUACACCGCCGCUUUCACUUCCGUGAAUGUGCUCUUCCUCUCGGAGCUACACUCCUCUCCCUCUUUCCUUACCAAGGGAAUCCACUUGGCUGUCUUGUCACCACAACAAGUGCCACGGUGCUCACCUAACGCUGCACCACCCCUUUAUAACGUAACCGCUAUCCAUGCAAUACAUAUGCCCUGAAUCAGCUCACAAGGAGUCUCGAGUCCAUGCACCAUCUCUACUAAUCAAGAUCAAUACCCGGGGCCAGACCUUCUCGUGCAACACAUCACAACAUAACCAAUCCAUUUCCUCGGACCGAUCCGAUAAUACCUGCAGAGUCUUCAGCAUGACUAGACCACCUCACCAGGUCUUCAGUCUGGCUGAACCGUCCUCCCGAGCCUCCGGUCUGACUGAUUCGCCUUCCGGCCGUCAGUCUCUCUGGACCGCUCAAACAGCACUCAUCAUACCGAGCCAUCCCUCCGGGAAUCCUCCCAUGCAUACUGUUCUCGCCCUCUAAGGGUUCCGAACUCUAUCUCCAACAUACAUACUCAAUCCCGACCCGAUUUCCAGGCCCUCCACACUCAAAUGCCCCAGGUCUGUAAUCCGCCCCGAACGCCUGCUACUCACCCAUACCAGCCUGCUCUCGGCUGAAUGAAAUACCGCCGAAAUCCCAAGCAGCUAAACAGCCUCUCAAGUCCAUCGAUCACCCGGAGAAUCCUCCGAUUCUCCCCCACUUGGACACUAACUAUCAUCCACCGGUCGCCAUCACCGACCUCCCAGAACAACUCUUUCACAAAGAAAACACUUACACGCGGACUGCUUCCCACAAGCAUAAACAACCUCAACGAGAUCUCACAUCAACACCGAUCAACCUGCUCGAAGGAAACUCAAUCUGCAUCUAACCACUCCUCAGAAAGCAGAUGCUACCUGGCCUGAAUCCCAAUGCCGGGUUGCCACUAAUAACCCUCGUGAAUGAUAACCAAUGGAAUUCCCAAAACAAUAACCCAUAACCAAAACCACAACCCGCAAAAUGACGAAUACCGCAUCGAAAACCCCACAAAGAUACCAGCACAAAACAAUACACCACAAUAAUCACAAGAUAACAAGACGUCAAGAAAGAAACAUACCCGCAGCUGCAUCCGGCACUGCCCUGACCUCCUGUGCUACAAGCUGAAAAGCACGACCCUGAGCCCUUGGGGGCUCUACUCCACCCUGACCUCCCCUGUGAUCCUCAAAGUGGCCGGUGCUGGAGCCUGCACCGGUCCUGCAACAAGCUGUGAGUUGACCCUCAAAUGCCCAACCUGAUGACAAUGAUAGCAAAUCCUCAAAUCCCGAACUGGCGCUGACUGCCAAAAAUCCCUCGCAUAGUGCCCCUCCUUUCCGCACUUGCGGCAUGCACCACCGGACCAACAAACUCCGGCGUGACCCUUUCCACACUUCCCACAAGUGUGACUACCCUGCUCUCCUACCCUGGAAUCGACGGUCUUGGACCGUUUCGGCACCGACUGCAACUGCACCGGAGCCUGCCUCAACUCACGCAACCGCAAUUCAAUCUGUAACUCACGCCGCCUGGCGGCCUCCUGCAAUUCCAACAAGGUCUCGCACCUCUGUGUAGACACCCACUGUCUGAUAUCCCUCUUGAGCAUACUUAGAUAUCGGGACAUCUGAGCCUGCUCCGAAGCGAACUCAGGGCAAAACAUUGCCCUCUCAGUGAACAUUCUAGUGAUCUCCGUCACCGACUCCGAACCUUACUUCAGCUCAAGGAACUCCUGAGCCAAUCUCUCCCUCUCAACUUGCGGAGCAUAACGAGUGAUGAACAUUUCUCUGAACUGAUCCCACAAAUACGCAGCCCUCUGCGCAUCCGAAUAUGACCCCGUCGUCAAUCUCCACCAAUCCUUUGCCCCGAGCCUCAACAGGUUCAGAGCACACCUCACCCUCUGAUCAGCAGGGCAUGAACACGUGAAGAAACACCCCUCCACGUCNGAAUCCUCGCAUCCAACUCGUACAUGCUCAUCUGACCGAUGACCUCGGGCGGCACCGAUCCGCCCGGAACUCUCUCUCCAGCUCCCGAUCCUGAUCCGGAUCCACUCUCAUCAUGCCUCGGAAUCUCCAUACUGGAAAACACCACACAAAAUCUCAGACUCUUCCCACUUAUCCUAGGAUCCAACUCUCUCAACCCAUCCCUAGAGAUCAUGGUUUCCCUGAUACGCGUAUGGGUCCUGUGCUUUCAGUAGUACGGGCCCAUACUACCUUCCACACCUACCCAUAUUUGUAUGAAGUACUACCACAACGCCCUAGAGAAACAUGCAUAACAACGCUCAACCCUCACCACUAGAGGAACACUGAAAAUCUCCCAUAAGGAACCCUAGGCUACAGACAUCACAAAUCAGGCAACAUAUCAUGAAAUCCUGAAGAUCCCUAGCCUAUCACUAGCAUGCUGUUCUAUCAAAGCUCAUUAAAACAAAUAUCAUGAAUGGUAAUUUGGGGAUACUUACUGGCUCCGGCUGAUCGUACCUCCGCGUCCUCCUCUUACUUAAUUUAAAAACCAUUUUAAUUUCUCUUUUAAAACCUCCCUCGAUUUGAGACUGGAGUCACACGAGUGUUCCUCCAAUUCACUCAAACCAAGGCUCUGAUACCAACUUGUAACGACCGAAAAAUACAACCAAUUUUAAUUUUUUUCAAAACAUCUCGAUUUCAUUAAAAUCUUUACAAAAAGUUUUUCAAUACAAAACAUUUAACGAGUUCCUAGAAUCACAUCACUAUAAAAUCAUGAGAAGCGGUACGAUCAUGCCUUCGCCUAGCCACGAUCUCCUGAAGAACCUGAAAACAUAAAACCAAAACUGUAAGCCUGAAAGCUUAGUGAGAUACCCCCAAAAUACCAACUACAUAUACGCCCUUCCAGGUCACGACCUUCCGGUCCAAAACAUAUUGCCUUCCGGCCCAUAACAUAUUGCCUUCUGGCCCAUAACAUAUUGCCUUCCGGCCCAUAACAUAACAGCAUACAUAACAUAACAGAACAUAGAACAACCAUGCAUAUCGGGUCACACUCCAGUCCAAGCAACUGUGUGCACAAAACAUAUAAUCAUAUAACAGUUCACAGUCAGCCAAUCAGUCAAACAGAUCACAUAACAUAUCAUCACCCUAACCAAUAUAUCGGCCUAGCCAAUCACUAGCAUAACAUCACCCUACGACUCAUCCAACAUACUAAUUACGCAUAUAUGCCUUUCCAGGCCAUGACCUUCCGGUCCACAUCACAAUGCCUUCCGACCCACAACAUGUAAUGCCUUCCCGCCCACAACAUAUAAUGCCUUCCGGCUCACAACAUAUAAUGCCUUCCGGCUCACAACAUAAUGCCUUCCGGCCCAUAUCCCGCAAUAUCAUAACAACAGACAACUACCCGGAUUUCCAUCUGAUAAAGGGUCGGCCUUGGUGCCUUAAACCCCGUUGAUAUAGUAAGGAUAACUCACCUCGAAACUGCCGACUGAACAGAUAACCCAAGCAGCUCCGAUCACUGAUACGAUCUCCACCACCAGACAACCACCAAUGCACUGAACUCAAAACAAUAAUCAACAAUUACCAAAAUGCCCCUGGAAACUACUGGUCAACCUUUGGUCAAAUACAAGGUCAAAGUCAACCCCUGACUGACUCUACUCGCCGAGUCAACCCGAUGACUCGCCGAGUCCCCAUACUCAGAACUUCCCUCAAUCGGCGACCUAACUCGCCGAGUCACCCCGAGAAUCGUCGAGUUUAAUAACUCUGAGUCUACUCGCACACAACUCACCAAGUCAUCCCUUGACUCACCGAUUCUCGACUCGACCAGAAAAUAUUGGGACUCUUCGACAAGACUCGCCGAGUCCAAGAACAGACUCGCUGAGUCUAAGGCUAUCUUCAACCUACUCGCCGAGUUGUUCUUCCAACUCGUCGAGUUCCAGCUCAUCUUCAAGCAACUCGUCGGGUACACCCAUGUGACUCGCCGAGUACCACCGGUCUAAAUCCAUACAAAAGCAUUCCAGACCAUGCAAUUGAUCCAAAACAUAGAUCUAGCCUCCUACAACUCAUCCAUCACGUAAACUGGCAAACUUUACGUGAAUCCAAAGAGAUCUAUGCAUUUUGCACAUUAGGGCUAAGGUUUGGGACAUGAUAGCUUCAUCCAACACUCAACACAGGGACUUUCAUGCAUAAAAACUCUUCUCCAUUCCAGAUCUGAGGUAGCAACCUCAUAUCUAACCUCUAAACUCCAAUACAUCCAAAGAUGUGAUCUCUAAUAUCCCCAAAAUGAUGCAUCUAAGAAAUAGCAGCUCAAAAACGAGAUAUUACCUCAAAAGAACGCCCCAACUGCAAUGAAACUUGAAUCCAAGCAAAGCCCUUGCUCCAAGCCUCCCCUUCUCUAAGAUCUCUUCAAUAAUCACCUCUCCAAGCUCUAAUUUGCUCAACAAUGGUGCUUCUCCACGAUUUUAGGGUUUCUGGGACUCAAGGGGGUGAUAAAGAGGCUGGUAGGAAAGCAUAAUGUUCCUUAUAUAGGGCUCAACCCCGAGAAUUAGGGUGUUCUCCACUCAGCUCCUACUCGCCGAGUCCACCUCAUUGACUCGUCGAGUCGGUUACUUAACACCCGACCAAAUCGCGACUCUACUCGCCGAGUCACUCCUUCCCAAUUUACUCUUUUAGCCCUUCCACUCUACUCUUGAUAUUUCGGGAUGUUACAAUGUGAGACGACUUAAUUUUAUGAGACCGUGAGACGUAAUCUUAACCACUCGUUUAGUAGAUAAAACAAAAACAUUUUUAAAAUGCUAAUUUUUUUAUAAGGGCGUUAUAAGGUUACUACCUAUAAAAUGGCAGUUUAAUGGACGUCCACUCUCACCCACCACUUCUGUGACUGGUGGAGGGUCGUUAGCUGAACGGGUAGGAUAGGACUAUAAUUCUCCUUAAGUAUAAUGAUAAUCAUAAAGUAACUAAUCCUUUUAUAAAUUCUUAAUCUUAGUUACUUUAGGAAAAUGUGAAAUUGAUGCUAAUCAAUGAAAAUUGCACGUUGCACUUUACCAAUUCGUUGAUGGAGCGUGUGUGGUUAAUCGACACAUUAACUUGGACUAGUAAGGGUGGCAAAGGGUGGCUUGAUGUUUAUCAUAAGAUCAAUGGAGCAUGUGUGGUUAAGCAACACAUUGAUUGGGUGAUAAAAUCGAGGGUACCAAGCACAUUUUGCAUGGUUAUUCGCACCUUGUUUGUGAUCCUCGAUAUCCCAGUCACAAACCUGAAGGGCAUAAUCGAGAUUUAAACAUGCCAUUGAAUUGUUCAAUGAAUCUCAAAGGAUCUUGAGUUUCAAUCCAAUUACAACUUAAUAAAUAUUUUGUUUUUCAUGGUGAAACUUGGUAAAUCGUCAUUUACCUACCUUUAAAUAUUUUGGAAGUUAGAUUACGACAUCCCUCUUCCAAAUUGUAAAGUAUUGUGUUGGGUCCUAGCCUUAAUAUUUCAUUUGGGUGUUUUAUUAAGGACUCUUUAUCUAAUCUAAACUUGUCUUUCUUUCUUCUCAGAUGUCUUGCAACACUGCGUCUGGCUCAAACCCUACUGGCUCCUUCGCUCUCAUGAACCUUUGUGGAAGAGUCAUCUUUGAUGGUUCCAACUUCAAUUAAUGAAGUAGGAACAUCAAGAUGGUCACUCGUUAUGAGGACAAGGAGUAUGUCCUUGACAAGGAGCUAAAGGAAAUUAACGAGUCUUCUGCUCCUCCUAAGGAGAUUGCUGUGUUUAGGACACAUGAGAAUGAUGCCACCAAGGUGGCUUGUAUCUUGCUUGCCACUAUUUCAGCUGAACUCCAAAAGUCCUAUGAGGACUUCUACCCUUUUGAGAUGCACCAGGACCUGAUGGAAAGAUACCAUCAGAGUGCUCGUCAAGAGAGGUAUGAAAUCAUCUCGCCAUGGUAACAACCAGGAUAAAGGAUGGUGAACCUAUCAUGCGCCACUUGCAGAAAAUGCAAAGAUUUGUGGACCAGUUGCUAAAGUUGAAUAUGAACUUUCCUGAGGAGUUGGCUAUAGAUAUCAUUAUACACUCUUUACCUCCAUGUCAUGAUCAGUUCCGAAUGACCUAUCAUAUAACCAAGGAGGAGGUCACACUUAGCAAACUUCAAGGGCUUUUGAGGACUACCGAAAGUGGUCUCAAAGGUAAAUCGGUUGUUACUACUCCUAUCACUUCCCCUGUUCUGGCAAUUGGACAAGGGAAAGGAAAGAAGAGGAAGGGUUCCUCAAAGAAUCGCAAGGGAAAGUCUCUUGAUGGAUACUUUUCAAGUGGGACCAUGGCUGGUUCUGCUACUCCCAUUUCCAUUCCUAAAAAGCAGAGUGUUUCUAUUCCCAUGAAAUGGGCACUGGAGGGGAUGUUGUCCCAAAUACUUGCAGGAUGUUAAAGAUGAGAAGGUUAAACCCACCCAUGCAAGUGUUUAUACUAUUCUAUCUAAAAAAUCAUCACAUACUAACUCUUGGGUGCUUGAAACAGGUUGUGGAUUUCACAUUUGAUCUGAUGUGUAGGGCCUAAAUAUGAGUAAGGAUGUGGAGCACGGGAAGAUAAACUUGAUCAUCGGGAAUAGGAAGGUGUCACCUGUCACUAAGAUUAGAGUUUACUCUUUAUUGCUUAGUAGUGGGUUAGGAAUAGAUUUGAAUAAUUGUUUCUACUCGUCUGAUAUGGCGAGAAAUAUUAUUUCCUUUCAUGGUUUGUACAAACAAGGUUUCACAUUUUCGUUUGGUAAUGAAAUUGGUGCAAUAAAUGCUUAUUAUAAUGGUGUUUUUUUAUUUUAAAGUAUUGCCUUGUAAUGGUGUAUAUGAAACUAUGAAUGUUGUAGACAACUUAGGAAAUGAUGUGCUACAUAUCGAUUCUUCCAAUGAAUUAGAUAAAGCAUGCUUGUCGCAUUGUCGUCUUUGAUAUGUCAACAAGAAGCGUAUAGGCCAACUCCAAAAGGCUGGAGUUUUGGAGUCAUUCGACUUAAGGUCGGAUGAUUCUUGUGAAUCUUGCUUACUUGGAAAGAUGGCUAAAUUACCCUUCACUGGUACUUAUGAAAGGGGUGAAGUUUUGUUGGAUCUCAGACACACCGAUGUGUGUGGGCCCUUUAGAACCGCCACAAGCGAUGCUAACUGUUUCUAUGUGUCUUUUACUAAUGAUUACAAAAGAUAUGGCUAUAUCUUCUUAAUCAAUCAUAAGUCAGAAACCUUGGAGAAAUUCAAAGAGUUUAAACAGGAAGCGGAAAAUCAGUUGGGCAGGAAGUUGAAGAUGCUCCGAUCUGAUCGGGGUGGUGAGUAUCUUCGUAUUGAGUUCCUAGACUAUCUUAAGAAGUGUGGAAUUUUUUCACAUUUGACGCCACCUAGGACACCACAACUUAAUGUUGUGGCUGGGAGGCACAACCGAAACUUGUUGGACAUGGUUUGUUCCAUGACGAUUCGAGCUUCGUUACCAAUCUCAUUACGGGGGUAUGUCUUAGAGACUACUACCGAUAUCCUUAAUCUAGUCCCAACUAAGAAGGUUGCCAAAACACCUCACGAGAUGUGGACUGGGAAGGCUCCCACAUUAGGCCACAUCAAGGUUUGGGGUUGUAAUGCUUUUGUGAGGCGCAAGACUCACAACAAGCUCGAACCUCAGAGUAAGCAGUGUAUUCAUCAGCUAAGCACAAAAAUCAUUUGGUUAUCUCUUCUAUAGACCGAGUGACAAUGUUUUCUUCGUUGAGAGGAGAGGAUUCUUUCGCGAGAGAGAGCUAAUAGGCCAAGGAGACAGUGGGAGACAAAUUGACCUUGAAGAGAUUCAAGAGUCAAGCGGUUAAGGAACCUCAAACACUAGCGUUCAACCUGAGGAGGAAACUCCUGUUGAACCAAUCGACAAGUCUGUACCUCUAAGGCAUUCCUGUAGAGUUAGUGUUCCACCUGAGUUCUAUGGUUUCCGUAUUACUGUAGAAGGUGAUACAUUUAUUAGUGAUAGCACACUGGUAAAUUUGGAUGAACAUAACAACUACAAGGAAGCCCUGGCAGGCCCUGAGUCUUCUAAAUGGAAAGAGGUGAUGGACAACGAGAUUCAGUCCAUGUAUGACAAUCAAGUUUGGAACUUGGUUGACAAUGUACCAGGUCAUAAGACAUGGAUGGAAAUGUAUACACUUAUAAGUCGGGACUGGUCACGAAGGACUUUUCUUAAACUCCGGGAGUUGACUCUGAUGAGACCUUCUCGCCAGUAGCGAAAAUUAAGUUUAUUAGGGUGAUGCUAGCCAUAGUUGCAUUUCAUGAUUAUAAAAUAUGGCAAAUUGAUGUCAAAACCACUUUCCUUAGUGGGAAGUUGGUUGAGGAUGUUUACAGGAGUCCACCAGAGGGUUUUGUCGAUGCUAAGUACCCUAAUAGAGUGUGUAAGCUUGAGAAAUCCAUUUAUAGGUUGAAAAAAGCAUCUCACAGAUGGAAUAUUUGUUUCGAUGAGAAAGUCAAAGAGUUUGGUUUUUCGAAAAGCAAGGAUGAGUCCUGCGUAUAUGUCAGAGCUAGUGGGAUUAUUGUUAGCUUUUUAGUACUUUAUGUGGAUAACAUACUACUCAUAGGAAAUGGCAUCCCAACCUUGUAGGAGGUGAAAUCUUGGAUUGAGAAAUGUUUCGCUACGAAGGACCUUGGAGAUGGAAUAUUUGUUUCGAUGAGAGAGUCAAAGAGUUUGGCUUUUCGAAAAGCGAGGAUGAGUCCUGCGUAUAUGUCAGAGCUAGUGGGAUUAUUGUUAGCUUUUUAGUACUUUAUGUGGAUAACAUACUACUCAUAGGAAAUGACAUCCCAACCUUGUAGGAGGUGAAAUCUUGGAUUGAGAAAUGUUUCGCUACGAAGGACCUUGGAGAAGCUGCCUAUAUCCUAGGGAUAAGGAUAUUGAGAGACAUGAGUAAGAGAGUAAUUGGACUUAGACAAAGUACCUACCUAGACAAAGUGUUGAAGAGGUUCAACAUGCAUAAUUACAAGAAAGGUGACUUACCGAUCCAGAGCAAUGCCAAACUGAGCAAGGCUUAGAGUCUGAGUAAAGAAGCUGAGAUACCUGAGAUGUGUCGAAUACCAUAUGCUUCCCCUGUUGGCUCGAUCUUGUAUGCUAUGACUUGUACUCACCUUGAUGUGGCUUUUGCUUUGAGUAUAGUCAGCAGAUAUCAAGGGAAUCUAGGAAAGGCUUACUGGAUAGCGGUAAAGAACAUUCUAAAGUACUUGCGGAGGACUAAGGACUGGAUCCUUAGCCUCGGUGGGAGUGAUGACUUGAGAGUGACAGGGUAUAGUGAUGCCAGCUUUCAAACCAACAUAGAUAAUUUCUGCUCUCAUUCAGAGACUGUAGUUUAUUCAAAGCUCCAAGCUGGAGACUGUAGUUGAUUCAAAGCUGGAGACUGUAGUUGAUUCAAAGUGCGAAUCAGAGUACAUAGUAGCAAGACAAAACAACAAUGGAGGAGCAGUUACUUGGAAAAGGUCCAAGCUGGAGACUGUAGUUGAUUCAAAGUGCGAAUCAGAGUACAUAGUAGCAAGCGAAACAACAAAGGAGGCGAUAUGGCUGAAGAACUUCACCAGAGAUCUUAGAGUUGUACCAGCUGUACAAGAGCCUGUGGAAAUUUUCUGUGAUAGCGGUAGUGUGGAAUCGAGGGAUCAUGGCAGGUCCAAACACAUCGACAGGAAAUAUCACUUUGUAAGACACAAGAUAGAAGAAGGACUCCUCGUGGAAAAGUGGGUAUCAGCAGACGAGAACCCGAUAGAUCCCCUCACGAAGGGGCUGAGUAGGGUUAAGAAUUUACAGCAUGCGAGGCGCAUUUGGCUGAUGGAUCAUAUUAGUUUUAAUGAUUAGAUAGCUUUCGAAACAUGUAAUAGUUGAAAUGUAAUUGACAUUUGAUUCAUAAAUAAAAGGUGCUUUUUAUUUACUAGUAUUGUACUGUCUUGUGUCAAUCAUUUACUAUUGUUUCACUUUGCAUGUUUUGACUUCUUGAAUAAUUAUAUUAUUCAAACUAUCCACAGUCGAUCAUACGUUGGAAGUAGGUAUUAAAUUAAGACUAUCAUGAAUUUGGUUUGUAGAUUUGUCUGAAUGGUAUUAGACAUAGCAAAGUUUUGCUGCAACAUUCAUGAGUGCUCAUAAGGUCUAAGUAUUGGAUUAAACCCACACUCACUUGUAUCACUUUAUGGAAUUCAUCUCGAGUGAUCGUGAGAUGAUAAUAUCAUAUAAGUCUUCAAAUCUAGGUAUAUAAGUUGUUGACUAUGAGUUGGUUGUACAUUGGUAGUACGAAAGCGCAUCGGUAACUCGAUGUUAUAAAGCAUGUUGUUGUGUAUGAUUAAAUGAAUAGUUAGUACAAGCAUAUACUGUCGAAGUUUAUCUGUUCCUUUUAGUCCUUGGAAGAUUAAAAGUGAUAUCUUGGGUCCCUCGAUGAUUUUUUUUAACUAUGUGUCGGGCCCGGUCAUAACUCAAUUGAUGUGUUCGAUUAAGUUGUAUGUCAAACAAAUCGGAAAUCGGGAAACAAAUUGUUGGACAAUAAGUAUGGCAUUGUUCCAUGUAUUUGACUGGCUGAUAUCUUGAGAAGAGAGGAUUAUAUGAUCACUUGUCUGAAAUGGCGCGUUCUAGUUCAACAAAGUUUUAAGAGCUACGAUUGCCGGUUGGUUCCUGAAGUCGUACUUGCAACUAUAGUUAUUAGACUUAUCCAAGUAGGAGACUAUUGGAUAAGGUGUCUAAGUCCAUAACUAUAUUUGGUAUCUACUCGACUCGAGAGUAGCAUGGUCCAUUCGGGUUGCACUUUACCAGAACAAUUUCUACGAAUGGACUUUUGAGAAAGGUUAUUUUUGGUUUAUUAAUAUGAAAUCAUAUUAUUUAAUUAGUAUUGAUCAAGAAUUAAUUUUGUGAUCAAAAGAGACUAAUUAAAUGUAUGGGUAUUGAUUGCGUAAAUCAUUCAUUCUUAUAUAGUGGGCUUAUGAUCCAUAGUUCUCUAUGUUGGGCUAAACCAAUGUGGUGACCCAUGGAUACUCCAUGGAGGUUCAAACCCAUGGAGCCUAAAGAAUGUGGAAAGUCAUGAACAUUGGCGUUUGCAUGGUGUAACCCUAAUCAUGAAACACUACAUAAGAGAUCCCUUAUGUGACAACCCGAAAUUUCCAUUCUGAACAAACCAUAUCAAGCCAAUAGAAGUUGGAACAGUUACAGAGAAAUUCCAGACUUUGGGUAUAAGUUUGAGUAUUUCAGGUUUAACACUUAAGGAGAUAUCAGGAGAGUGGAUGCACUAGGGUUUUGUGCAACACUGUUAUUCCAAUACUCUAUGAUAUUAGAGUUCAUUCCGGGAAUAAAAUAUUUUCUGUUAAAAAUCUCAGGACUAUAAAUAGAAUUCUGAAUCAAUUUCAUUCAUUAUUCACAUUUUCAACUAGAGAAAAGCCAUUUUCUCUCUCACAGAUUUUCGGGUUUUCAUCCCAAAUCGUGAGUACCUCUCUCUAGUAGUGUUAUAUAGCUUAUAAUGUGUUUAUAACAUAUAUUACAUAGCUAAACAACUAGAUUUAGGAGUUUACUCCCCAAGGUGUUCCUGGGCGGUAAACUCCCGAAACAAUGCCUAGCCUUUCCCCCGUGAUAUGUUACUACCUUAGGCUUGUAUAUAGGUGUAAUUGAGACAAGAAAACAACAAUGAAAAACCAAAGUUUGGGUGUUCACGGCCCAAGAAGAUCUUGGACCAUGAACUCCAAAAAAAACAUGGACCAAAGAGUGCUUUUAAUGCACCUAAAGCCUUGGACUAUCAAAUAGAAUUAAUUCCACUUAAAUCAAGGACUUUAAAACAUCAAAAACCCCUCCCAAAGAGAGAUUACGGCCGUAAUCUCUAAGGGAAAAGGCUCUUGGGCCGUAAACAUGAAAGAAGGGCACCAAUGUGUGCCUAAGGCCUUCAUUAGCCUUAGAUAAAUGUGUAGAACCUAUCCUACAUGAGUUUGGGGCUUGAAAGCACAAAAAUAUCCACUUCCACAUGAGUUUACGGCAGUAAACUCAAAAGGAAAUGGCCUUGGGGCCAUAAACUCCUCAAAGGAGUGUAUCUAUGCCCUAAACCCUCCCAAGAAAUUAACCACCAAAUUGGAAUACUUCUAAGGAUCAUUUGGAACUUCAAAACAAAAAAUGUCACCAAGCUUGUGAGUUCACGGCCGUAAAAUCAAGAGUUUACAACCGUAAACUCCUUGUGUGUUGGUUAUGAUAGAGUAAACUCAUGUAUAGAGUCCUUUGGAACCCUAAACCCAAUUGCAUUGUCCCACAACAACUUAGAUGCGAUCCUUAGGGCUUAUAACACUUAUAUAAAGUUUUUAUUAUGUUCUAGGAUGUCUUAACAUUAUCAAUUAGUAAUUUAAGACUAAUUGAGUGCAUAUAUGUGUGAUUAUAUGUUCAUUAGGAUCGUAGUGUGUGUACAAGUCCUCACUUGACACCUAACAAUCAUACACCGUCCAGUUCAUCCAAACCACCAUCUACAGGUGAGUUCAUACCCCUAAAUCAAUGUUUUAAAUGAUUUUAAAUGCUUUAAUGGGGGGAAUACAAGUAGAAAACAAUAUGUUAUUAAAUCACUCUUAUGUAUUUUAUAACUGUGUUUUCAUUCAGCAGAUUUCACAUACUACAAAAUGUGAUGCAUGAAAUGGUUUUCUAUCUUAAAAAUACUUUGUUAUCAAAUGUAUUACUUUUGAAGUGUAUAUUAAAAUGACAUCAAGUCAUCGUUAAUUAUUAUUCAACACUCUUAGAUGUCUUAGAAAACCAUUUUUACCUUCUUAAACAAAACUAUACUUAUACACUUAUGUUCAUAUAAAUGUUUUGAGAUUAUAGUUUUCGUCUUUCGUUCAGUUUCCUACACUCUUGUGUAGCAAGGGUGUAUAAACCUACUUGAACAACGAAUUAGCUUUAAGUUAACUAUCAUAGGGAUAGUUAGAAGAUAUCAAACAUUAUUCCUAUUACAAGGAAUCACACAAGAGUUAGUUCAUUCAUGAGUCCAUACAAGUACAUUACAUGAUACAUGAGUACACUUACAUAUGCUUACAUGAUACAUGAGUUCACUUACCUGGAUACUUGUACCUAGAGUUAUGAGGAAGAUUUAUUUGUACUUUCUGUGUAAAUUGUCAUGUCUAUCCAAGUACCCAGGAUAACUGGGCGGGACUAACCAUUCCAAAUCCCAACUGAUUAGCACCAGUGGUUGAUGACCAUCUACGGAGGUCUAUGGUUACUACUUAUAAUAGGAACAUCGAUUACGGGACUAAACCUUCCUUCCCCCUGCUGCUGCUACAGAGGAUAAUUGGACAAUCUUCGGAUGUUCAAUAGGUUAUUCAUUUUGCUUACUACGAUGUUGUGUUAGUCCUAGUACCUAGUGAUAACACUUACAUUAGUACUUUUUCCUAUUUACUUUAUUUUGUGAUACAUUCACAUAAACGAGGAGUUAGACUAAGUACUUUAGUACUAGUCAAUAGAAGGGAAAAACUAUCAUUUUACUUAUAGAGCGUUCAGGUCUUGGUAGAAGACUAUCAUAUUCUUUUGUAGUGUUAGUCCUAGUACCAAAGGAUAACACUUAUAUUAUAUUCUUUUCCUACUUGACUUUAUUUUGUGAUACAUUCACAUAAACGAGGAGUUAGACUAAGUACUUUAGUACUAGUCAAUCGAAGGGAAAAACUAUCAUUUUACUUAUAGAACGUUCAGGUCUUGGUAGAAGACUAUCAUAUUCUUUUGUAGUGUUAGUCCUAGUACAAAAGGGUAACACUUAUAUUAUAUUCUUUUCCUACUUUACUUUAUUUUGUGACCCAUUCACAUAAACGAUGAGUUAGACAAAUUACUGUUUGUAAUAGUCAAAAAGGAGGAAAAACUAUCAUUUUCAUAACAGAACAUUCGGGUCUUGGUAGAAGACUAUCAUAUUCAUUUCCUAAUUUACUUUAUUUUUGUGAUACAUUCACAUAAACGAUGAGUUAGACUAAGUACUGUUUGUAAUAGUCAAAAAGAAGGAAAAACUAUCAUUUUCAUAGCAAAACAUUCGGGUGUUGGUAGAAGACCACUUUUCAUACUAGUAGGAAAUAAGGGAUUUUCUAGGGUUUUCAAAAUUAUAUCAAUUGUUUCAUUUAAAGAUAUACAAGACAUUCAUAACAGUUUCCCAAAACAAGACAAUGACACGUAAAUACUUAUGAAUUCAUUAGCUUUAGGCUGAUACUCGCUUUCAAAAUAACUUAUAUUCUCAGGUCACCAGUUAGACAAGUAUGAUGUCCAGGCCUUGAGAAGACGGAGCACAGUCAAGACUCGUCUUAUUUUGAUUAUUUAUGUUAUUGUUGUACAUUAUGAAAGAACACACAUGUACUAAAAUUUACUUUACUGCAAUGGAUGAUGUUGUUGCUUGUUUACUACUUCACACUGUUAUGAUACUACACAUGACGUCCUCCACCCCGGACCAUUUCCGCCGUUCUUGGUUUUGGGGUGUGACAGAUUGGUAUCAGAGCUUUGUUUAUAGUGAAUUAAGUAUAUCAACCCAUAAAAGAUAUACUAACUAUAAUUACAUUGGGAUUAAAACACGCUGUCUAAGAGUUUAUACUUUUAAAUAAUAAAAUAUUUAACAAAGUAUACGUGCCUGCAUUCAUACUAAAAUCCAUGUUACAAUGACAAGAACAAAUGUAUUGCGAUUGUUGAAUAUCACAGGUAAGCUCGGCGAUGUAUUGGUCAGUCUUGGGAGUGGUAUAGCCUGAUCAACUAUGCUGUUCCAAGGAGUGAUUAGCACAAGCCCAAGAAUGGUUGUGAUAUGGCAACAAGUCUAAAAACUUACCACAUUACCACAAUGAGAACAUUAUAACAGAACCUAAGUCUAAAAUACCAUAGGGGUGUUUUGCGUUACUAUAAGUACGUCAUACUUGAGAACUAAAGCGGGAUCUUCAUUACUAAGUGGAUAGUUGCUAAGUUGAUACACUAAAGUUAUAUGUAACUAGGAUGUUAUAGACUUAGAAUUGGUGAAAUUUUUGCUUUAACCCUAUUCCUUGUGAAUUUGGAGUUGAGGUCACUUAUUCGAAGGCCUAUCCUGUGUUGAUUACAUAUAACUGGUAUGCACUUUACAAAUAGCGAUGUAACUAAUGAAGAUUUCUUAAAUAAUUAUCUAGAUAGUUUGUCUAAUAAUUAUUUUCUUACCCUAAAUUCUCGGGUAGAUAACAUGGCUGGAAUCCAUCCCCAAGUCAACCUGUUACUUCCGAACGAAGUUAUUGCUGGAUGGUUUGGAGAAGAACCAGAUAAUGAUCAUCCGAUCCCUCUGAAUGAUCACCAUGCUGAAUACCUUUCAGAUGGUGCUAACUCCGAACCCGAGGUUGAGGAUCCACCCCAGGCAGCUCCCGUUCCAAUUCCUAACCCUCGUUCAGCUUUUCAUGGCCCGACGCCUCCAUGGGUGGAAUAUCUGGAAACAUGGAGCGAAGAUCAAGAUCAAUCUAUGUCGUUCAAUGGAGACCAAAGUUUCUACAACGUAAGUGAAGGGAGCUCAGCAGACAGAGUUCUACCAAUUCUGGUCCGAAGAGUUGCCAGAAACGAAAUUCAGGGCAGGACAGCCCUACAACGUAUCGCAGAAGUUGAUACAAAUGAAGGAAUGCAUAUGCUUUGCACCAGUCGCCUUGAACAUGCUCGUGAUAGAUCUGAGAGAAACCAUGAAACCCUGCUGCAAGCACUGGCUGAAUCACGAGCCGAAGUCAUAGAACUUCGAGUACGCCAGAGAGUGUAUGAAAGACACCUACUUGAUCUAGAAUGCCAACUGGCUGAAUAGAUAGUUCACCAGAGGGAUGACCAUCGCUAGUAGUAGAUACUUUACUUUAUAUUCCUUGUUAGAAAGGAAUCGUGUUUCUGUCUAUGCCCAACGUGGCAUCUUUUAUGAAACUAUCUUGUGCUGUAAGUACUUUUGGUUAGGUCUUUACGCUGUCAAGAACUAUCUUCUCUGGAUAUGAUGUAAGACCUUUUUACAAGGUCAUUUUCCCGAACUUGUACGUCAUGAAUACCAAGGAUAAUGACAAUCGGCUAACUUCUGCGUCAUUCUUUAUUCAAAUAAUUUUAUCAUACUUUCAUUAGAGUCUAUCUGAAACAUGCUUUCAUCAAUUCAUUGGACUAUAGCCAUUUAACUCCGGAGAUAUCUCCAAGUCUCUUUUAAUGGUUGGAUCACGUUAUUCUCCAACCAACGAUAUCUCGGUUAGAACGACAAACAUCUUGAGACCAUUGUACGAACUUACUUCCGAUCUUUUUAGGACUGCAUCAUAGGUAUGUAGGUCAAACCUUCGUGAAUAUACUCCCAUUCCGUACUAGGACUGCAUCAUAGGGAUGUAGGUCGAACCUUAGAGAACAUACUUCUAUUAUUUUCAUGAGCGAUCGAACUACGUAUAGGUUCAACCAUUUUCGCUCACAAAUUCAUUUUUUUCGGUAUAACAGAAUCAUGUCACCCAAGAAAAACGAUCAGCCCAUCAACCAAACACCAACUCUUCAGAUUGAUGCAGCUACCUUUCAAGCUGCCGUGUCAGUUGUUCUGACCCACCUGAACGCUAACAACGCAAGUGUUGGCAGGAUUGUUAACAAUCAUUCCAAUCCAAGUAACAAUCAAGCACCUCAACAAACAGCAAACUACCAUGAUACCUCGAAUUCCAAGACCAAGAGUAAAAAACGGAAGUCUUGGAAUAAACCUAAGGACAAGUCGCUUUGAAGGGCGAACAGGAAUCAACCACUAGUAACAACCUGCACAACCACGACAUCAGUACCUCCUACUACCAUCCCUUCGGGCAUCCCAAUUGUCCCUAAACCAGCCAAGCAAUAUGCUGGCAAUCUCCUAAAAUGCGUCCAAUGCAGCUUUCACCACCUUGGACGUUGUGGGGAAAUGUUGUGCUCAAAAUGCAACAGGAAGGGGCACACCAGACGUUUCUGCAGGAUCCUGACAAGGCCGAUCAACCAAGUGCCCAGCACUGGUGUGAACCAGGCUUGCUACGGUUGUGGCAAGGUAGGUCACUACAGAAGAAACUGCCCAGAGGCAGCAAAUGCUGGCACAGACAAAAGUGUGCUAACGACAACCACCGCAAGAGAGUCUACUCCAGACCCACGUUAAUGUAAUUUAGGCAUUUCGUUGUAACAGACUUAUGAACCAUCCCAAAACUAUUGAAACCAGAGUCUUAUCUUUUGCGAGAUCCCGUCCGUUUAGGGAUGCUCGUGUUGCGUAUACUUGUCUUUUGUAGUAUACCUUGUCCGCAGCAAUAGUCUUGUAGUAAAUCCUAAGUACAGUAACUCUGUUAAUGGUUGCACUGUUGUGUUUUGUCUGUAACGCCUUAUGUUCAAAUCUAAUGUAUUUAGUUUCCAUAUGAAUCCGACUUUAUCAUAUGACUCGAGUAAAUUCGAUCCUCGCAAUACCAGCUUCAUAAGUACAUCUCUUUCUUAGUAAACGUCUUUUAGCGAAGCCGUCAUAUCAGAACACCGAGGUACUCGUGCAUGAAGUACCUUAUAGUUCUUUUCCUUUCCGAAGGAAUCCCCAUAGUAUUACUCGUGCAGUACGUCAAGUUCAAUUCCAGGAUUUAUACGGUUGAUCUAUCACUGAAGAAUGUAUACAUGAGAGUGAUAUAUAAUCAAUGUUCUACAGUUUUAGAAUUGAUGAUUCCACUUUAACUUCUUUUCCGUUGAUGGGAUGUGAGAUUAAGGAAUAAUCAGUUAUUCGACUACUUUUUCAACCUUAAUUAUAUACGACUCGUAUACACGAGAUUGUGACCAUUGAACCAUGUAUGAAUUCUAAUAUGAACUUCAGGACGGAGAUUGUCCAAUAGUACGAGUAAAUUGCAUUGGCGUAGGAACAAACUUAGAACCCAGUAUGACUCUUAUAACCAGAUCGCCUUACAGUCUAAACACCUACGGAAGAUACAAGAACAGCCCGGACAACACAGCGAACUACUCAACAAUAGAAUUAGAAGACCAGGCUUUUCACCCUUGAGAGCUCCAGUCUUAUUCUUACCAGAAGUCGACGGAGUGCAUCAUAUGUACCUCGACGACUGGAGACUUCAUUAAGAUUUCCUUUAGAAAUCAUUGUCUUUGCCUCGCAUAGACGAGUUGAUUAAGCAAACAUAGGGAAAGAGUUACUUUCAGAAAUGGACCUGAGAUCCGAAUAUCGCCAGUUCGAGAGUUCGAGAGAUAGGGAAGGAUGUCCUGAAGACUAUCCUCCGAACUCGAUGCGGACAUUUCAAGUCCGUAGUGAUACCCCUCGGAUAGGACCAAUACGCCCAUAGUAUUCAUGAGCUAAAGGAGUAGGGUACGUCUUUCUUACUGAGAUCAGUUCGUCAUUUCUCCAUGUAAUGACUUACUUAUCUACCCUCGUAGUGAGAAAGAACCGAUGGAAACAUUACCCUCGGAGAUACUUUUCACAAAGUUCUCUGAACAUGAAUUUUGGAAUUAAAGAGUCAAAUUUCCUAAGACACACUAUUAGUGAUGUGUAAAUUCUUGAGUACUCUGGCAAGUUAUCCAAAACCGUUGGAAAAUUGUCGGCACCUUACUCACCGACGGAAAAUUCGCCAAAUUCUAGGUCUUACAGACCUACUAUCAUAGUCCAUUCAAAACUCCUCGGAAAUUUCAGAAACCCUUUGGACUUUGACCCAAGAAGGGGCGACCCUUGACUGGGAAGUUAAGCGAGAGAAAUAACCUUUGGAAUUCCAAGUGAGAGGCCCGAUUUCUUUAAGAAACCUCACUCUGGGAAUGGUUCAAUACGCUUCAUAAAGCGUGGAAAGCUAAAUCCAAUGUAGUUAGGACCUCCGAGAUUCUUAUCAGAAUCGGUCGUGCGUCUCACAAACUAGACCUACUCUGCGAACUCAAUAACGUACCUUUUACCCUUCGCGUCUCGAACAUGAAAAAAUACCUUUCCGUUAGGACUCUCAUAAGCCCUCUCGACGAGAUCGAGAUUAACGAGAUCCACACCUUCGUAUUUGAACCGUAGUGACCCUCGACCGAGAGGUCAAGCGGAUGAAGCAACGCCGUCGCCCUUUACUGAAGGUUCGUUGGGAUACCAACCGACAACCCGAUUUCACUUAGGAGCGUGAGGAACAAAGAGAUAGGAAGUUCCACUUCAUUACUCGAUCAUUCGUACCUACUUCCUUGCCUAAAUUCUAAUUUAGGAACGAAAUUCCCUUUAACAGGGGGAUGAUGUGACAACCCGAAAUUUCCAUUAUGAACAAACCAUAUCAAGCCAAUAGAAGUUGGAAUAGUUACAAAGAAAUUCCAGACUUUGGGUAUAAGUUUGAGUAUUUCAGGUUUAACACUUAAGGAGAUAUUAGGAGAGUGGAUGCACUAGGGUUUUGUGCAACAAUGUUAUUCCAAUACUCUAUGAUAUUAGAGUUCCUUCCGGGAAUAAAAUAUUUUCUGCCAAAAAUCUCAGGACUAUAAAUAGAAUUUUGAACCAAUUUCAUUCAUUAUUCACAUUUUCGACUAGAGAAAAGCCAUUUUCUCUCUCACAGAUCUUCGGGUUUUCAUCCUAAAUCGUGAGUACCUCUCUCUAGUAGUGUUAUAUAGCUUAUAAUGUGUUUAUAACAUAGACUACAUAGCUAAACAACUAGAUUUAGGAGUUUACUCCCCAAGGUGUUCUUGGGCGGUAAACUCCCGAAACAAUGCCUAGCCUUUCCCCCAUGAUAUGUUACUACCUUAGGCUAGUAUAUAGGUGUAAUUAGGACAAGAAAACAACAAUGAAACACCAAAUUUUGGGUGUUCACGGCCCAAGAAGAUCUUGGACCGUGAACUCCAAAAAAAACAUUGACCAAAGAGUGCUUUUAAUGCACCUAAAGCCUUGGACUAUCACAUAGAAUUACUUCCACUUAAAUCAAUGACUUUAAAACAUCAAAAACCCCUCCCAAAGAGAGAUUACUGUCGUAAUCUCUAAGGGAAAAGGCUCUUGGGCCGUAAACAUGAAAGAAGGGCACCAAUGUGUGCCUAAGGCCUUCAUUAGCCUUAGAUAAAUCUGUAGAACCUAUCCUACAUGAGUUUGGUGCUUGAAAGCACAAAAAUAUCCACUUCCAUAUGAGUUUAUGGCAGUAAACUCAAAAGGAAAUGGCCUUGGGGCUGUAAACUCCUCAAAGGAGUGUAUCUAUGCCCUAAAACCUCCCAUGAAAUUAACCACCAAGUAGGAAUACUUCUAGGGAUCAUUUGGAACUUCAAAAACACAAUAUGUCACCAAGCUUGGGAGUUCACGGCUGUAAACUCAAGAGUUUACAACUGUAAACUCCUUGUUUGAUGGUUAUGAGAGAGUAAACUCAUGUAUAGAGUCCUUUGGAACCCUAAACCCAAUUGCCUUGUCCCACAACAACUUAGAUGCAAUCCUUAGGGCUUAUAACAGUUAUAUAAAGUGUUUAUUAUGUUCUAGGAUGUCUUAACAUUAUCAAUUAUUAAUUUAAGACUAAUUGAGUGCAUAUAUGUGUGAUUAUAUGUUCAUUAGGAUCGUAGUGUGUGUACAAGUCCUCACUUGACACCUAACAAUCAUACACCGUCCAGUUCAUCCAAACCACCAUCUAUAGGUGAGUUCAUACCCCUAAAACAAUGUUUUAAAUGAUUUUAAAUGCUUUAAUGGGGGGAAUACAAGUAGAAAACAAUAUGUUAUUAAAUCACUCUUAUGUAUUUUAUAACUGUGUUUUCAUUCAGCAGAUUUCACAUACUACAAAAUGUGAUGCAUGAAAUGGUUUUCUAUCUUAAUAAUACUUUAUUAUCAAAUGUAUUACUUUUGAAAUGUAUAUUAAAAUGACAUCAAGUCAUUGUUAAUUAUUAUUCAAAACUCUUAGAUGUCUUACAAAACCAUUUUUACCUUCUUGAACAAAACUAUACUUAUACACUUAUGUUCAUAUAAAUGUUUUGAGCUUAUAGUUUUCAUCUUCAUUCAGUUUCCCACACUCUUGUGUAGCAAGGGUGUAUAAACCUACUUGAACAACCAAUUACCUUUCAGUUAACUAUCAUAGGGAUAGUUAGAAGAUAUCAAACAUUAUUCCUAUUACAAGGAAUCACACAAGAGUCAGUUCAUUCCUGAGUCAAUACCAGUACAUUACAUGAUACAUGAGUACAAUUACAUAUUCAUACAUGAUACAUGAGUACAUUUACCUUUGAUUACCUGAUACAUGAGUACGUUUACAUAGAUACAUUUAUCUGAAUACGCUUACAUGAAUACCAUACAUGAGUAUUGUUACAUAGAUACAUUAUCCUGUAUUCACUUACCUAGAUACUUGUACCUAGAGUUACGAGAAAGAUUUAUUUGUACUUUCUGUGUUAAUUUUCCUGUCUAUCCCAGUACCCGGGAUAACUAGGUGGAACUAACCAUUCCGAAUCCCAACUGAUUAGCACCAGUGGUUGAUGACCAUCUACGGAGGUCUACGGUUACUACUUAUACUAGGAACAUCGAUUACGGGACUAACCCUUCCUUCUCCCUGCUGCUGCUACAAAGGAUAAUUGGACAAUCUUCAGAUGUUCAAUAGGUUAUUCAUUUCGCUUACUGCGAUGUUGUGUUAGUCAUUGUACCUAGUGAUAACACUUACAUUAGUACUUUUUCCUAUUUACUUUAUUUUGUGAUACAUUCACAUAAACGAGGAGUUAGACUAAGUACUUUAGUACUAGUCAAUAGAAGGGAAAAACUAUCAUUUUACUUAUAGAACGUUCAGGUCUUGGUAGAAGACUAUCAUAUUCUUUUGUAGUGUUAGUCCUAGUACCAAAGGAUAACACUUAUAUUAUAUUCUUUUCCUACUUGACUUUAUUUUGUGAUACAUUCACAUAAACGAGGAGUUAGACUAAGUACUUUAGUACUAGUCAAUAGAAGGGAAAAACUAUCAUUUUACUUAUAGAACGUUCAGGUCUUAGUAGAAGACUAUCAUAUUCUUUUGUAGUGUUAGUCCUAGUACCAAAGGACAACACUUAUAUUAUAUUCUUUUCCUACUUUACUUUAUUUUGUGACCCAUUCACAUAAAUAAUGAGUUAGACAAAUUACUGUUUGUAAUAGUAAAAAAGGAGGAAAAACUAUCAUUUUCAUAACAGAACAUUCGAGUCUUGGUAGAAGACUAUCAUAUUCUUUUCCUAAUUUACUUUAUUUUUGUGAUACAUUCAGAUAAACGAUGAGUUAGACUAAGUACUGUUUGUAAUAGUCAAAAAGAAGGAAAAACUAUCAUUUUCAUAGCAAAACAUUUGGGUCUUGGUAGAAGACCACAUUUCAUACUAGUAGGAAAUAAGGGAUUUUCUAGGGUUUUCAAACUUAUAUCAAUUGUUUCAUUUAAAGAUUUACAAGACAUUCAUAACAGUUUUCCAAAACAAGACAAUGACACUUAAAUACUUAUGAAUUCACCAGCUUUAGGCUGAUACUCGCUUUCAAAAUAACUUGUAUUCUCAGGUCACCAGUUAGACAGGUAUGAUGUCCAGGCCUUGAGAAGACGGAGCACAGUCAAGACUCGUCUUAUUUUGAUUAUUUAUGUUAUUGGUGUACAUUAUGAAAGAACACACAUGUAUUAAAACUUUACUUUUAAUGCAAUGGAUGACGUUGUUGGUUGUUUACAACUUUACACUGUUAUGAUACUACACAUGACGUCCUCCACUCCGGAACGUUUCUGCUGUUCUUGGUUUUGGGGUGUAACACCUUAGCUCAUGAAAUCGAAACUAGAGAGUCUUUAGAAGAGCAUAUCUGAUUUAUUGAAGCAUGAAAUAUUCUCUCAAGUCUUCCAAUUAUUGCUGGUGAUUUGUGGUUCCAUUUGAGGCAUUCACAUUAUUGGUGCUAGGAUCUUAAAGCUUUAAGGUUUGCAACUACACUAAUUUAUGUCAUGUAACUAAAAUUUUUUAGUAUAUAUAAUCCAUUUUAUGCUAGUUAAUACGAUGCUUCAGAAUUUUAAAUGUUUGCAUGUAUAUUAGAGAAAACAUAGAUCCAAAGCAUCUAGGGUUGCAUGUACACCAUGGGAGUGUUAGAAUGCUCAAAACCAUUCAGUUGUUGUUUCUUUGACAAGAAUCACUCUUUUGAGCAUGUAGAAAAGAAUCUCUAUUAAGGCCAGGAUCCUUCCAAAUUUCAGGAUCCUCAAAUAUCCAGGAUCCCCAACUACAUCAGGAUCCCAGCUAAUUACCGUUAUUAUUUUUAUUGAUAUUUAUAACGGUCAUAUUUAUCUAUAACUAACACAUGUGCAGAAGUAGUCAAGAGAAGACUAAUUCUCAGCGAAAAGUCAUCUCAACUUUGCUAAAGACCCAAAAUAGUAAGUCAAAUAAUGUCCAAGAAGCUGGUCAUAGAUGAUCCAGAAAAUAUCAGACAUCUUGUUGGCUAGAUUAGACUAUAAAUUGACACUUGUAAUCUGCACAUAACACACUAUUCUAUAGCCUAAGCUCACUCUACAAAUUUCUACAUUCAUUUACUAAGAAAUCACUGUAAUCUUUACUUUAUAUCAAUAAAAUAAUCAAGGCAGGUGAUCAUUAUCACCUCCUAAGGUUUUAUGCCGGAGAUUCUAGCAAGGAUCAAAGGUUGUCCUUGUAAACCAUUAUGUCACUUUUCUUUUACUACUUGCUAUUACACAAUCUGAACAUCAUAGCUUCUCAUUCAAGUUGGUUGAUUAGUACUUGUGUAAUUUUUGACCAAAACAACUUGGUGCUUACCAUGGGGCCGUGGUGUUCAAAAAUCCUCAAAAAACAUCAUGUCUACACAAUUAAUCCUCUCUUAAUCCUUUGCUCCUUCCAUUCCAUCCAAAAACCUACUACCUCCUCGUAUUGGACCCCCCACUUAGAAGAAAACACCUGACACUUCUUUGAAAAACACGCCCCUCAAUCGUUAGUCCAGGAAGUUUUGGAUCCUCAAGGCUCCAAGAUCCAACUGCCUCAUUCGCUACUGCAGAACUCUACAUCGUGAUGAGGAAAAUGACGCAAGAGGUGACCCAACUACAUGAGGAGAAUAGAUCACUGCUCAUAGAAGUGUAGAGAAUAAAGGCGGGAUUUCAGAAAUCCCAGGAAACUAUGCCCAUAGUUGUGCAAACAAGGAUCCUAGACUUCAAUAACAUAGGAUCCUCAGCAAAUCACCAAAAGGAUACAGUUCCUACCAUUGUGGCGUAACCCUGGGGGCAACUAUGGACAACCGAUCAUCCAUGAUCAAUGGUCUCAAUGAGCCUUUCAACACUCCUAGAAACCUUGAUUCUAGUAAGUUCGUAAACAACAAUACUAUUAAUACUAACUAUACUAACGUUGAUGCAGGAAUAAACCCGAAGAUUACUAGGGAACAUCAACAAUUAAUAAAGAUGAUCGCCAUUGUAACCGGAGUGGUCCAAACAAUACCAGAAGCAUCUCCUAAAAGCCACAAGAUCUCAAAAUUCACUCCUACAAUAGCCGAUACCGAAGUUCCUAAGCGCUUCCAAACUCCCAACAUGAAGUUGUAGGAUGGAACUAUAGACCAUGAAGAGCAUAUGGCCCAAUACAGAGAACAAAUGGUGAUCAUUCACAUCCUAUGGUACUUGAAAGAAGCUUACCUAUGCAAAGGCUUUGGUUCUACCCUUAAGGAUUAGCCCUCAAAUGGCUGUUGAACGUUCGCCCAUAUUCUGUUACUUCAUUUAAACACUUCAUCAAUAUCUUUAAUAACCAUUUUUCUUGUAGCAGAACGUUCGGGAUGAUCACUAGUGAUCUCUACCAGGUGGUUCAAGAUCCUAAGGAGAAGCUUAAGGACUUUGUUAACAGAUUUGGCAGGGAAGCUUUGAGCAUCCCCAACAUCGACAUUGCCACCGUUGUGGAAGCUAUUAAAAUGGGACUAAGAAAGGAUUCACCCUUCUAUGAAGACCUAAUGAUGACCUCUUGCAAAAGACUAGACGAAGUCAGGUGUCGGGCGUUGAGAUUCAUAAGGCUGGAAGAGGAUAGAGAGAUCCAAAAGAAAAGCAACCCUUUUGGAUUGAUAUGAGAACCCCAACAGCAAGCUCGAAUCCUCAACUCAGAGAUCCUACAAAUGGAAGGCCUAUUCCAAACCGGAUAAUGGCAGGGUUAAUGCCCUUGAAGAUGCAUGAGAAGAACAAGAGCUUGCUAAAAUCAUUGACUAUUGUUUUUAUGUAGAUGUUUCAGGUGAAAUUCAUGCUAUGCAGGAUCUUGGAGAUAAAGAAAGAUGGCUAAAGAGAGACAGCAAAUCCAUCGCUUGGAAAGACAAGUCCAAAUGGUGUGCUUACCAUGAAGACUUUGGCCACAUGACGGAGGAUUGCAUAGCCCUACGAAAAGCAAUCAGCUACCUCCUUAGCAAAGGACACCUCAAAGAGAUCUUAGGCAGAAAAAGAGAAAAAUCCACGGAGAACAACCAAGAUGAUCACAGGAUCCUGGAGAAACUAGGAUCUCCACCAUCUAAUGCUAAGAUAAUUAGCGUUAUCUCAGGCGGAUCUAACAUCUGUGGUACCUCUUAUUCUCAGGCUAAAAGACACGCCAGGGUCUCCAAAAUAGAAAAGGAGGAUAGACCACGAAAGAAUACAAUGGUCAGUAGUGAAAAAGAAAUCACAUUCGAUGAGACCGACAGGGAAGGAAUUCAGGAUCCUCACCAUGACGGCCUCAUGAUAACACUGUACAUGGCUAACCAUUUCGUCAGAAGGAUCCUUGUUGACGGAGGAUCCUCUAUCAACAUCGUACUCCUACACGCGCUGAAGAGAAUGAACAUCCUGAAAUCAGAGAUAGUCAGAAGAUACUCCGUCCUCAUAGGAUUUAGUGGGAAAAAACAGUGGGAGAAAUAAAGCUUCUGGUAUGUAUAGAAGAGGUAAACUCCUUACAAAAUUUCUAUGUUUUUGAUACCCUGUCUUCUUAUAAUGUGAUACUAGGUAGACCAUGCAUCCAUGAGAUGAAAGCGGUUCCAUUAACAUACCAUCGGUGUGUAAAGUUCCCCACUCCCUGGGGGAGGAUGAAGAUCAUGGGAGAUCAGAAAUAAUUGAAAGAAUGCUACAAAACCUACAUGAAAUAUAUGACGAAACCCCAACAAGCAUAGAAAUUAAGGCAGGGGGGCACGACAUGCUCUAAAGACAAAGGAACAAGACGUAAAGGAAUUGCCUAUGGGCAUUGAGGAUUCCUAAGCUAAAGUCCUCAUAGGAUCCUCAAUGCAUGAGCAGAUCGAGCCAGAUUUAUUAAAUUUCUUAAGAACCAGAAGCAAGACAUUCGUACGGAAACACAAAGAUAUGACAGGUAUAGACAAGAGUAUUAUUACUCAUUAACUUAAUAUUAAUCCUUCUUUCAGACCAAUACACCAAAAGAGAAGGAAGUUUGCACCUGAAAGGAAUCAAAUCAUCCAAGAGGAAGUAGAGAAGCACCUCAAAACAGGGUUGAUCAAGGAAUUAAAGUUCCCAAGAUGAUUAGUCAAUGUGGUUGUCGUACAAAUGAAAAACGACUAAUAGAGGGUGUACGUAGAUUACACAAAACUUAACAAGGCUUGUCCUAAGGAUCCUUUCACCCUACCACAUAUUGAAUCUGUGAUAGACGCCACGGAUGGGCAUGAACUCCUGACCUUCAUGAAUGCUUCAGUAGGAAUCCAAGAAUAUACUACAUUCAUAACACCAACAGGUAUAUAUUGUUACACCGCAAUGCCUUUUGGUCUUAAAAAUGUAGGUGUGACAUAUCAAAGAUUAGUGAAUUAGAUGUUCAAAGACAAACUAGGGGACACCAUGGAAGUUUAUAUUAACAUCAAUGAAAGUCGAAUAUCACCUUAGAGACCUAAAUGAAGCAUUUGACAUCCUGGACAAGUACAAUAUGAAGCUGAACCCACUCAAAUGUCACUUUGGAAUGAUGUCAGGCAAGUUCCUUGGAUACAUGGUAACCAAGUUAGGGAUAGAAGCAAGCCCAGAUUAAAUAAAAUCAAUCAUGGAACUAAGACCCCCAUCUUCAAUAAAGGACAUCCAAAGGCUAACCGGAAGAUUAACAUCACUCAAUAGGUUCAUUUCAAGAUCCUCAAAAAUGUGCAAUCCAUUUUACGAUAUCUUGAAAUAGUACAAAAGAUUUGAACACAAGGAGGAACACGAGAAAGCCUUCAAGGAACUGAUAGAAUAUCUAAGCUCUGCCCUGCUACUAGUAAAACCUAUAGAUGGAGAACCACUUAUUCUCUACCUCUUUAUAUCCUCAAACACGGUAAGUGUUGUUCUGGUCAAGGAUCUUAACGGGGAACAACAUCCUAUCUACCAUGUAAGUAAACGUCUCCUACAUCCCAAAACCAGGUACUCUCACCUCGAAAAGUUAACUCUUGCCUUAGUGACUGCUUCUACUAUAUUAAGACAAUAAUUCGAAACACACACUAUACAUGUAAAAACUAACUGUCCAAUCAAGAAUGUUAUGAGAAAACCAUAAAUGUCAGGAAGGAUGGAAAAAUGGUUGAUGAAUUUAAGUAAAUUUGACAUCAAAUACGAAUCAAGAUCCGCCAUAAAAUCACAAGCACUAGCAGAUUUUAUGGUUGACUUUAAUUAUGUUCUACAAAACGAUGUAGACAUGGAAGCCAAGAGACUCCUAGAAGACGAACAUGAAGCUCCAUCUAUGAAUAAUGUCCAUUUUCCCAAGUGUUUAUCUUCUAGGAGUUGUUUGGUUUCAAUGUCUACUUCGUUUUAUGGAUCAUCACUAAAUUCAACCACAAAGUCCGCUAAUGCUUUUGACUUUAUGGCGGAUCUUGGCUCAUAUUUGAUGUCAAACAUUCUUAACUUCACUGACAAUUUUGCCAUCCUUCCUAACAUCUUUGGUUUUCUCAUCACAUUCUUAAUAGGAUAAUUAGUUUUCACAUGUAUAAUAUGUGUCUCGAAAUAAUGUCUUAACCUAGUAGAAGCAAUCACAAAUGCCACAAUUAAUUUUCCGAGAUGAGAAUACCUGGUCUCAAGAUCCAUAUGACUUUUACUUACAUAGUAGAUAGGAUGUUGGUCUCCGUUAAGAUCCUUAGCUAAGAUAGCGCUUACCGUAUUUGAGGAUACCAAGAGGUAGAGGAGAAGUGUUCUCCAUCUACAGGCUUCACCAACAAUGGUGUGGAAACUAAGUAUUUUUUGAGUUGCUAAAAAGCUUCUUCGUGUUCUUCAGUCCAUUUAAACUUCUUGCUCUUCUUCAAGAUAUUAUAUAAGGGCUUACACCUUUUUGAGGAUCUUGAAAUGAACCUGUUGAGUGUCGCUACUCUUCCGGUUAGCCUUUGGGUGUCUUUUGUUAAAGAUGGAGAUUUCAGCUCGAUGAUUUCUUUGAUCUGCUUCGGGCUUACUUGUAUUCCUCUCUUGGUUACCAUAUACCCAAGGAGCUUGCCCGAUUUCAUCCCAAUGUGGCAUUUAAGUGGAUUCAACUUCAUGUUGUAUUCGUCUAGAAUGUCAAAGGCUUCUUUGAGAUCCCUGAGAUGAUCUUCAGCUUGCUUUGACUUCACCACCAUGUCAUCAAUACAGAACUCAAUGGUGUCCCCCAACUUGUCUUUAAACAUCCGAUUCACCAAUCUUUGAUAUAUUACACCUGCAUUUUUAAGACCAUAAGGCAUUGCAGUGUAACAAUAUAUACCUUUUGACGUUAUAAACAUUGUAUCUUCUUGAUCGGAUGGUUCCAUCUGGAUUUGUUGGAAUCCUGCUGAAGCAUCCACGAAGGUCAAGAGUUUAUGGCCAGUCAUUGCAUCUAUCAUAGAGUGAAUGUGUGGUAGAGGGAAAUGAUCCUUAGAAAAAGCCUUGUUAAGAUCCCCGUAGUCUACACAUACUCGCCAUUUUUUGUUCAUCUUCAAUACGACAACCAUGUUAGCUAACCAUCUUGGUGUAACGACCAAAAAUUUUAACCAAUUUUAAAUUUUUCAAAAACAACUCGAUUCCAUUAAAUCUUUACAAAAAGGUUUUCAAUAAAAAACAUUUAACGCAUUCCCAGAAUCACAUUACUACAAAAUGAUGAGGAGCGGUACGAUCACGCCUUCGCCUCGCCACGGUCUCCUGAAGAACCUGAAAAACAUAAAACCACAACUGUAAGCCCAAAAGCUUAGUGAGAUAUCCCCAAAAUACCAACCACAUAUACCAUACACGCAUAACAUGCCAUAACAUAUCCGAUCACAGAACAACCAUGCACUUCGGGUCUACUGUGUGACUGGUCCGCCGCACCGGCCUACAGUCCACCUGGUCCACCCUCUGAGUCUAGCCAUAAACCUCGAGUCUACAGUGUGAUUGGUCCGCCCGCACCGGGCCUUCAAUCCACCUGGUCCACUCUCCGAAUCUAACCACAUACAUCGAGUCUGCAGUGUGAUUGGUCCGCCCGCACCGGGCCUUCAAUCCACCUGGUCCACUCUCUGAGUCUACAGUAUGACUGGUCCGCCCGCACCGGGCCUUCAGUCGGCCUGGUCCACUCUCCGAGCCUCGGCACGUCUGGUCCGCCCUCUUGGGGCCUACAGCCUAUCCGGACCGCUCGCUGGGCCUUCGGAACAACCGGUCCGCCCUGGGUAUCUUGGCCUACAGCACAAAGCAGGACCCGCCUCAACCCAACUCCAGUCCAAACAACCAUGUGCACAUAUACAUACAAUCAUAUAGCAAUUCACAGUCAACAAGCAGAUCAAACAGAUCACAUAACAUAUCAUCAUCCUAACCAGGAUACCGACCUAACAGGUCACUAGCAUAGCAUCUCCCUAUCUCUCAGGAUACCGAUCUCAAUCAGGUCUCUAACAUAUACCAUCCUAGCUCUCAGGAUGCAAACAUAUCAAAGCAGUAACAUAACAACAACUACCCGGAUCUCAAUCCGAUAAGGGCCGGCCUUGGUGCCUUAGACCCUGUUGAUAUAGUGAGGAUAACUCACCUCGAAACUGCCGGCUGAAAGGAUAAGAUCCCGCUGCUCCAAACUCCGACACGAACUCCUCCACUGAACACCAAAACACUCAACUCAAUAAAUACCCUUAAUUACCAAAAUACCCCUGAAAGACAACUGGUCAACCUUUGGACAAGGUCAAAGUCAACCCCUGACUGACUCUACUCGCCGAGUCAACCCGAUGACUCGCCGAGUCCCCAUACUCAGAACUUCCCUCAAUCCGCGACCUAACUCGCCGAGUCACCCCGAGACUCGUCGAGUCCAACAACUCUGAGUCCACUCGCCCACAACUCACCGAGUCAUCCCUUGACUCGCCGAUUCUCGACUCAACCAGAAAAUAUUGGGACUCUUCGACAAGACUCGCCGAGUCCAAGAACAGACUCGCCGAGUCUAAGGCUAUCUUCAACCUACUCGCCGAGUUGUUCAUACAACUCGCCGAGUUCCAGGCCAUCUUCAUCCAACUCGCCGAGUUGUUCUUCCAACUCGUCGAGUUCCAGCUCAUCUUCAAGCAACUCGUCGAGUCCACCCAUGUGACUCGCCGAGUACCACCGGUCUGAAUCCAUACAGAAGCACUCCAGGCCAUGCAAUUGAUCCAAAACAUAGAUCUAGCCUCCUACAACCCAUCCAUCACGUAAAGUGGCAAACUUUACGUGAAUCCAAAGAGAUCUAGGCCUUUAACACUUUAGGGCUAGGGUUUGGGACAUGAUAGCUUCACUACACACUCAAACACAGGGACUUUCAGGCAUUCCAACCCUUCUCCAUUCCAGAUCUGAGGUAGCAACCUCAGAUCUAACCUCUAAACUCCAAAACACCAAAAGAUAAGCUCCCCACAAACCCCAUAAUGAUGAAUCCAUAAGAAUAACAGCCCAAGGACGAGAUAUUACCUCAAAAGAACGCCCCAACUGCAAUGGAACUCGAAUCCAAGCAAAGCCCCUUGCUCCAAGCCUCCUACCCUUCAAGAUUUCCUCAACAAUUGCUUCUCCAAGCUUCCCAAUGCAAUAUGAUCACUCACACACGAAGGCUAAGGGUUUCUGGACUUGAGGAUGAGUAAAGAGGCUGGGGGAAUGAAUGUUAUGUUCUUUAUAUAGGGCUCAACCCCGAGAAUUAGGGUUUUCUCCACUCAGCGCCUACUCGCCGAGUCCACCUUACUGACUCGCCGAGUCGGCCACUUAACACGCGACCAAGUCGCGACUCUACUCGCCGAGUCCACCCAUGGACUCGCCGAGUCGCUCUUUCCCAAUUUACUCUUUUAGCCCUUCAACUCUACUCUUGAUAUUUCGGGAUGUUACAAUUCUCCCCCACUUAAAUUAGGCUUCGUCCUCGAAGCCUACGACAACUCAACUCCAAAAUACUCCCACGACGCGCCACCUGGCCCUAACCGGACCAGGUUCCUCAAGGCAUAACCAUCGAAACUCGAACUCAUUUCCUCUUUCCUUGCGGUGUCCUGACCACCGUCUCAAACCGGGCACCGGCUGUACCCUCUGAUAAUCACACUCAACAAUCGAGAAUUACCCAAGAUGCAUCACUGCUCCAAAUCACAACCAUCACUCGACCCAUAUGAGUUAGAAGAUAACCAUGCACCACCGGAUUCCCGAUCCGAGUCCAACUCUAAUCAUUCUACUGACAGAAAGACACAUUCUUCAGAGCAACUCCCAUGAGUUCUCCACUUGCAAUCACAUACACAUGCUGAACUAGCUCUAGCACCGUUAGGUUGGGAAAACCCGAUACACUGAUGAUAUCUCCAAACAUCCCCCAGAAUGAACCACUAAUACAUACACAAUUCCCUGAUCAGAAUCACACUGAGAGCCCAAGACUCCCUCCCUGUAUACCUUCCGAGCCUCUUGGCUCUACACCUGCGGAAUUCCCUCCGCGACCUCAGCAGACAUCCCAAACCGGAUGUGCUUCUAUUCCACUGCCGCAAACACGCUGCUCAAUAACCAUACUCGGAUUACUCUAAUCAUAACUCCGCUCUGCCGCUUUCACUUUCGUGAACUUGCACUCCCUCUCGGAGUUACACACCUCUCUCUUUUCCUUUACCAAGGAAUCCACUUGGCCGCAUUGUCACUCCGACAAGUGCCAUGGUGCUCGCCCAACGUUGCACCACCCUUUUAUAGCGUAUCCGCUAUCCAUCCAACACACAUACUCUGACUCCAAUCACAGGGACUCUCAAGCCCGUGCACUAUCUCAACUAAUCAAGAUCACUACCCGGGGCCAGACCUUCUAAUGCAAUCACACUGCAACAUACACAAUCCAUAUCCUCAAACCGAUCCAACAAUACCUGCAGAGUCUUCAGCAUGACUGGACCGCCUCACCAGGCCUUCAGCCAAUCUGGACCACUCUCAGAACCUUCAGCCAAUCUGUACCGCUCUCAGUGCCUUCAGUUUGGCUGGAUCGUUCUCCGAGCCUUCGGUCUGACUGGUACGCCUACCGGCCUUCAGUCUAUCCGGACCGCUCAACUAGCAUUCAUCAUUCCGAGCUAUCUCUCCCGAAAAUCCUCCCAUGCAUACUGUUCUAGCCCUUUAAGGGUUCCAAACUCUGUCUCUAUCGCACAUGCUCGAUCCCGGCCUGCUCCCAAGCCCUCCACAAUCGAAUACCCUAGGUCUGUAUCCCGCCCCACAGGCCCGACACUUGCUCCUAUCAGCCUACACUCUGGACUGACGGAACACUGCUGAAUCCCAACAGCUAAGCACCCUCAAAUACUCAUCGAUCUCUCGGAGAAUUUUCCAAUUCUCCCCCACUUGUAGCACUGAUUAACAGCCACCGGUCGCCAUCACCGACCUCCCAAAACAACUCUGCAAAAAACCAACACUUUCACGCGGACUGAUUCCCAGAAGCAUAAACAACCUUAACAAGAUCCCACAUCAACACCGAUUAUCCUGCUCGAAUGAAUUUCAACCUGCAUCUAACCGCUCCUUAGAAAGCAGAUGCUACCCGGCCUUCAAACCAAUGUCAGGUUUCCACUAAUAACCCUCAUGGAUGAUAACCAACGAAAUUCCCAAUACAAUAACCCAUAACCAAACCACAACCCUCAAAAACGACGAAUACCGCAUCGAAGAUCACACAAAGAUACCAGCACAUAAACAAUACACCACAAUAAUCACAAAAUAACAAGAUAUCAAGAAAGAAAUAUACCCGCAGCUGCAUCCGGCACUGCUCUGACCUCCUCUGCCGCAAGCUGAUAAGCACGACCCUGAGCCUUUGGGGGCUCCGCUCCACCCUGACCUCCACCUGUGAUCCUCAAAGUGGCCGGUACUGGAGCCUGCACCGGUCCUGCAGCAAGUUGUGGACAGUUGACCCUCAAAUGUCCAAUGUGAUGACAAUGAUAACAAAUCCUCAAAUCCCGAACCGGUGCUGACUGUCGACAAUCCCUCGCAUAGUGCCCCUCCUUUCCGCACUUGCGGCAUGCACUACCGGACCUACAAACUCCGGUGUGACCCCUCCCACACUUCCCACAAGUGUGGUUGCUCAGAUCCCCCACUCUAACAUCAACGGUCUUGGACCGUUUCGGCGNGCCCCGGGAGCCUGCCUCAGCUCACGCAUUUGCAACUUUAUCUCUAACUCACGCCGCCUAGCGGCCUCCUACAACUCCAACAAGGUCUCGCACCUCUGCAUAGACACAAACUGUCUGAUUUCCCUCUUGAGCAUGCUCAGAUAUCGAGAUAUCUGAGCCUGCUUCAAAGCGAACUCUGGGCAAAACAUCGCCCUUUUAGUAAACAUCCUGGUGAUCUCAGUCACCGACUCCGAACCCUGCUUCAGCUCAAGGAACUCCUGAGCCAAUCUCUCCCUCUCAACUUGUGGAACAUAACAAGUGCUGAACAUUUCUCUGAACCGAUCCCAUGAAACCGCAGCCCUCCGCGCAUCUGAAUAUGACCCCAUGGUCAAUGUCCACCAAUCCUUCGCCCCGAGCCUCAACAGGUUCAGAGCACACCUCACCCUCUGAUCAGCAGGGCAUGAACACGUGAAGAAACACCCCUCCACGUCUGAUAACCAUCUCAUAGCGACAAUCGGGUCCUAAACUCCAUCAAAGGUGGGAGGCUUCGUAUUAUCGAAGUCCCGAUACUGAAAGCCACAACCAGCUCCUCCCCCUGCCGCUGCUACAGCUGCUGUAGCCGCCACGACAGCCGUCUCUGUGAGAGCCGCAUAACGCUCAUCAAAAUACUCAACCAUGGUGGUCUUGAUCGACCCAAACAGCUCCGGCAACUCAGCCCGGAACAACUCAGCAAUCUCAUCACGCAGGAUCUCACGAGUCCUCGCAUCUAACUCGCACGGGCUCAUCUGACCAAUAACCUCGGGCGGUUCUGACCCGCCCGGAACUCCCUCUCCUGCUCCCGAUCCUGACCCGGAUCCACUCCUAGCAUGCCUUGGAAUCUCCAUACUGAAAAUCACCACAAAGACUCAGAUACUUCCCACUAUCCCAGGAACCAACUCUCUCCCUACCCACCCCUAGAGGUCAUGGUUUCCCUGAUACGCGUAUGGGUCCUGUGCUUUCAGUAGUACCGGCCCAUACUACCUUCCACACCUACCCAUAUUUGCAUGAAGUACUACCACAACACCCUAGACAAAACAUGCAUAACAACUCUCAACCCUCACCACUAGAGGAACACUGGAAAUCUCUCACAAGGAAACCCUAGGCUACAGGCAUCACAAAUCAGGCAACAUUAUCAUGAAAUCCUGAAGAUCCCUAGGCUAACACUAGCAUGCUGUUCUAUCAAAGCUCAAAAACAAAUAACAUGCAUGGUAUUUUGGGGUUACUUACUGGCCAGUCAUUGCAUCUAUCAUAGAGUGAAUGUGUGGUAGAGGGAAAUGAUCCUUAGAAAAAGCCUUGUUAAGAUACCUGUAGUCUACACAUACUCGCCAUUUUUUGUUCAUCUUCAAUACGACAACCAUGUUAGCUAACCAUCUUGGUGUAACGACCAAAAAUUUUAACCAAUUUUAAAUUUUUCAAAAACAACUCGAUUCCAUUAAAUCUUUACAAAAAGGUUUUCAAUAAAAAACAUUUAACGCAUUCCCAGAAUCACAUUACUACAAAAUGAUGAGGAGCGGUACGAUCACGCCUUCGCCUCGCCACGGUCUCCUGAAGAACCUGAAAAACAUAAAACCACAACUGUAAGCCCGAAAGCUUAGUGAGAUAUCCCCAAAAUACCAACCACAUAUACCAUACACGCAUAACAUGCCAUAACAUAUCCGAUCACAGAACAACCAUGCACUUCGGGUCUACUGUGUGACUGGUCUGCCGCACCGGCCAACAGUCCACCUGGUCCACCUUGUGAGUCUAGCCAUAAACCUCGAGUCUAUAGUCUGAUUGGUCCGCCCGCACCGGGCCUUCAAUCCACCUGGUCCACUCUCUGAGUCUACAGUAUGACUGGUCCGCCCACACCGGGCCUUUAGUCGGCCUGGUCCACUCUCCGAACCUCGGCACGUCUGGUCCGCCCUCUUGGGGCCUACAGCCUAUCCGGACCGCUCGCUGGGCCUUCGGAACAACCGGUCCGCCCUGGGUAUCUUGGCCUACAGCACAAAGCAGGACCCGCCUCAACCCAACUCCAGUCCAAACAACCAUGUGCACAUAUACAUACAAUCAUAUAGCAAUUCACAGUCAACAAGCAGAUCAAACAGAUCACAUAACAUAUCAUCAUCCUAACCAGGAUACCGACCUAACAGGUCACUAGCAUAGCAUCUCCCUAUCUCUCAGGAUACCGAUCUCAAUCAGGUCUCUAACAUAUACCAUCCUAGCUCUCAGGAUGCAAACAUAUCAUAGCAACAACAUAACAACAACUACCCGGAUCUCAAUCCGAUAAGGGCCGGCCUUGGUGCCUUAGACCCUGUUGAUAUAGUGAGGAUAACUCACCUCGAAACUGCCGACUGAACAGAUAACCCAAGCUGCUCCGAUCACUGAUACGAUCUCCACCACUGGACAACCACCAAGGCACUGAACUCAAAACAAUAACCAACAAUUACCAAAAUGCCCCUGGAAACCACUGGUCAACCGUUGGUCAAAGACAAGGUCAAAGUCAACCCCUGACUGACUCUACUCGCCGAGUCAACCCGAUGACUCGCUGAGUCCCCAUGCUCAGCAUUCCUCAAUCCAUGACCUAACUCGCCGAUUCCAACAACUCCGAGUCCACUCGCACACAACUCACCGAGUCAUCCCUUGACUCACCGAUUCACGACUCAACCAGAAAAUAUUGGGACUCUUCGACAAGACUCGCCGAGUCCAAGAACAGACUCGUCGAGUCUAAGGCUAUCUUCAACCUACUCGCCGAGUUGUUCUUCCAACUCGUCGAGUUCCAGGCCAUCUUCAUCCAACUCGCCGAGUUGUUCUUCCAACUCGUCGAGUUCCAGCUCAUCUUCAAGCAACUCGUCGAGUCCACCCAUGUGACUCGCCGAGUACCACCGGUCUGAAUCCAUACAGAAGCAUUCCAGGACAUGCAAUUGAUCCAAAACAUAGAUCUAGCCUCCUACAACCCAUCCAUCACGUAAAGUGGCAAACUUUACGUGAAUCCAAAGAGAUCUAGGCCUUUUACACUUUAGGUCUAGGGUUUGGGACAUGAUAGCUUCACUACACACUCAAACACAGGGACUUUCAAGCAUUCCAACCCUUCUCCAUUCCAGAUCUGAGGUAGCAACCUCAGAUCUAACCUCUAAACUCCAAAACACUAAAAGAUAUGAUCUCUAGCACCCCCAAAAUGAAGAAUCUAGACAAUAGCAGCUCAAACAAUGGAACGAUACCUCAAAAGGAAGCUCCAAGAGAAGAUUAACCCGAAUCCUUGCAAAGCCCUUUGAUCCAAGCCUCUUCUUCUUCAAGAUCUCUUCAGCAACCACCUCUCCAAGCUCCAAUUUUCUCAACAAUGGGGUUUCUACACGAAAUUAGGGUUUUUGGAACUCAAGGGAUGAUAAGGAGGCUGGGGAAGAAACAUAAUAUUCUUUAUAUAGCGCCCAACCUCCGGAUUUAGGGUUUUCUCCAUUCAGCGCCUACUCGCCGAGUCCAUCUUACUAACUCGCCGAGUCGGCCACUUAUCACGCGACCAAGUCGCGACUCUACUCGCCGAGUCCACCCAUGGACUCGCCGAGUUCCCCUUCUAAUUUUACUCUUUUAGCCCUUCAACUAUACUCUUUGCUAUUCCGGGAUGUUACACUUGGGAACUUCAGUUCCUUGAUCAUCCCUGUCUCUAUGAGCUUUUCCACUUCUUCUUGGAUGAUAGUCUCCUUUCAAGUGAAAACUUCCUUUUCUUUUGGUGUAUUGGUCUGAAAUAUGGAUCAAUAUUAAGUUUUUGAUUGAUAAUACUUUUGGCUAUACCUAUCAUAUCUUUGUGUUUCUGAUUGAAUGUCUUGCUUCUGGUUCAAAGGAAGUUUAAUAGGUCAUGCUCGAUUUUCUCAGGUAUUGAGGAUUCUAUGAGGACUUCGGCUUCAGGGUCCUCGAUGCUCAGGGGCACUUCCUUCACAUCUUUCUCUUUUGUUUCUAGAACAUGUUGUGCCCCCUACCUUAAUUGCUAUGCUUGUUGGGAUUUAGUCGUAGGCUUCGUAGAUGUUUUAUAACAUUCCUUCGAUUCUUGUUGAUAUCUCAUUAUCUUUACUGUUCCCCAUGGAGUAGGCAUCUUUACACAAUGAUGAUAUGUUGAUGGAACCGCUUUUAUCUCAUGGAUCCACGGUCUACCUAAUAUCACAUUAUAAGAAGAUAAAGUGUCAAUAACACAAUUUUUUUAUGGAGUUUACCCCCUCGAUGUAUAUUGGUAGCUUUAUCUCUCCAACAAUGUGUUUCGUUUCCCCGAUAAAUCCUAUGAGGACCGAGGAUCUUUUGAUUAUAUCCGAUUUCAAAAUGUUCAUCCUCUCUAGUGCUUUCUAAGAGUACGAUAUUGACCGAGGGUCCUCCGUUAGAAGGGAUCCUUAUGACAAAGUUGAUAGCCAUGUAUAGUCUUAUCACAAGUCCAUCACGGUGAGGAUCCUGGAUCCCUUCCCUGUCAGUCUCGUUAAACGUGAUUUCCUUUUCAUUGCUAACCACAAUAUUCUUCCAUGAUCUAUCCUCCUUUUCUUUUUUAGAGGCCUUGGCGUUUCUUUUAGCUUGAGAGUAAGAAGUACCACAAAUAUUAGAUCUUCCUAAGAUAACAUUAAUUAUCUUGGCAUUUGGGGGUGGAGAUUCUGGUUUCCUCGGUAUCUCAUAACCAUCCUGGUUGUUCUCCAUGGACUUUUCUUUCUUCCUCCCGAGGAUCUCUUUGAGAUGCCCCUUGCUAAGGAGGCAUAUGAUCUCCUUUCUUGGGGAUAUACAAUCCUCCGUCAUGUGACUGAAAUCUUCAUGGUAAGCACAACAUUUUGACUUGUUUGUCCAACUGGUGGACUUGUUAUCCUUCUUUGGCCACCUUGCUUUGUCUCCGACAUCCUACAUAGCAUGGAUUAUACCUGAAACAUUCAUAGAAAAACUAUAGUUAGUGAUCUUAGGAGUUCGACUUCCUCUCCUUCAUCUUCGAGGGCAUUAACCCUAUGAUGAUCCGGUUUGGAAUAUGGCUUCGAUUUGUAGGAUCUUCGUGCUGAGGAUUCAUCCUUCCUAUUGGGAUUGUCGUAUUGACUUGAAGGGUUUCUCCUUUUCUGUAUUUCUUUAUCCUUUUCAAUCCUUAUGAACCUUAAUGCUCAAUUCCUAAGUUCUUCCAAUCUCUUGCAUGGGGUCAUUACAAGAUCUUCAUUGAAGGGUGAAUCCUUCCUUAGACCCAUCUUUAAGGCCUCUACAGCAGUCGCCAUGUCGAUGCUGGGAAUGCUUAGGGCUUCCCUGCUAAACCUUUUAACAAAUUCUCUAAGUCGUUCCUUAGGAUCCUGAACUACCCGAUAGACAUCACUAGUGAUCUUCUUGAAGGUUAUGCUAUAAGAAAACUGGUUAUAGAAAUAUUGACUAAUUGUGCAAAUGAAGUAAUAGAAUAUAGAGGAACAUUUAGUAGCCAUUUAAGAGUUUAUUCUGUAAGGAUCGAACCAAAGCCUUUAUAUAUGCAAGCUUCCUUCAAAAGCAUUGGGAUGGGAAUGAACUCCAUUCUUUCUCGGUAUUGUGGUAUGUGCUCUUCAUGAUCCGUAUUUCCAUCAUAAGGCUUCAUCCUAGGAGUUUGGAAGCGCUUAGGAACUUCGGUAUCGACUAUCACAGGAGCAAAUCUUGAGAUCCUGUGACUGGUUGGAGAUGCUAUUGGUAUGGGUUGAACUACCCUAGGUGUGCUUGAGAUCAUCUGUUUCAACUGUUGAAGUUCCCAAGCCAUGUUUGGACUUAUUCAUGCAUCAACAUUUGUAGAGUUAGUUUUGAGAGUAUUCUUGUUUAAGAAAUUACUAGAAUCAAGGUUUCUAGGAGUAAUGAAAGGCUUAUUGAGUUCAUUGAUUGUAGAUGAUCGAUUGUUCAUAGUUGUCCCCCAGGGUGACACAACAGUGGCAGGAGAUGUGUUCCCCUAGUGAUUUCCUAAGGAUCUUGCAUUAUCGAAGUUCAGGAUCCUUGGUUGUACAACUGUGGGUGUCGUUUCCUUAGAUUUCCGAAAUUCCACCUUCAUCCUCUACACUUCUCUAAGCAGUGUUCUAUUCUCCUCUUGUUGUUGGGUUAUCUUUUGUGUCAUUUUCCUCAUCAUGGCAAAGAGUUUUGUAGUAGUGACCGGAGCAGUCGGAUCCUAGCGUCCCUAAGAUCCCAAACUUCCUUGGUUACUGACCGGAGGAGUAUUUUUUUUGGAAGUGUUAGGCACUUUCCUCUGACCAGGGGUUCCACUUGGAGGAGGUGGUAGGUUUUUGGUUGGAAUGGAAGGAGCGGAGGACGAAAAAAGGAUUGGUUUUGUAGACAUGAUCUUUUCGAGGAUUUUGAACACCACGACCCCACGGUAGGCACCAAAUUGUUUUUGUCAAGAAUUACACAAGUAUUGAUCAACCAAAUUGAAUGAGAGGAUGUGAUGUUCGAAUUAUGAAAUAUAGAAGUGUAAAGAGAAUGACACGAUUGUUUACAUGGAAAGCCCUUGAUCCUUGCUAGGAUCUCUGACACAAAACCUUGGGAGGUGAUAAUGAUCACAUGCCUUGAUGAUUUUAUUAGUAAAAAAAUUAUGAUUAUAAAGACUUUUCAAAUUUAAUUUUGUCCUUCUAAUUACUUAAAUCAUGUAGGAAUUAAAUAAUUAUCUGAACUAAAACAUUAGUUAAAUAAUUCAAAUUUAAUCCUAUCCUUCUAAUUUACGAAAAUUAGGUUUAAGGGUUUUCAAGCUUUAAUUGUUCAAAAUUUAAUUAAUUUAAGAUAACAAGACAUGGAAACUAGAAACACUAUGAAACUGUAGGUUAUUUUCGAAAAUAAGGGUUGGAGGCUAAGGUUUCCAGAAACCUAGAAUAGUCAAAAUUUUCAAGGGAAAGGGUUUAUUGUCGAUAAACCCUAAUCAAGAUCAACUUAUCUCAAGAGCAAAUCAGUAGAAAAAAAUGGCUCUGAUACCACUGAUGUGUUCUAUAGGUUAUCAAAAACAUGUAAUGACCUAUGUUUUCUCUAAUUGAUAGAAACAUACAAUGAAGAUAAAGAACCCUAAUGAAACCCUUGUAUAAUCAAAAUACAAGAAUUAGGGUUACAUAUCAUUGAUUUGUUGUAGUAAACAAGCAACUUCAAUCCUUUAUGUUUGUGGGUCUUGGAAAGCUAGCAACAAAAGGAUGAUGCCUCUAAUGGCUCUCAGAAAAAAGUAGAAACCCUAGAAUGAGAGCAGAGAGGAGAUAUGAAGGAAUUUUUGUUCAUAUGCCAUUUGUUAAUGUCAUGAACAAAAUUUGCAUGCCAAGGGGUCAUAUUUAUAGUUAGGGGAUCACAAGGAUAAGGCCUAAUUUUGAUUUUAAAAUAAUUAUAUUUUAAUCUAUUCAAAUCCUUAUCCAUAUCAACAAUCAAGAAUAUUCUAGAAACCCUAAAAGGCUCCAAGAAAUUUUCCAACCCUAGGAACAAUCUAGAAUUGCCUCUAUUGUUCAACUAUUGAACAAUUACAAUUCAUCCCUUGCACUUUUAUUUAAUUCCAUUUACUCCUGAAUUAAUUCUAGAUUAAUUUUUCUUAAUAAUUAGUCAAUUCUUGUUUAUUUCACAUUAAUUUAUUAAUCAUAUAAAUUAACAAAUCAGUUAAUUAACAAAUUAUCUCAUGUUAAUUUAUUAAUCACAUAACAAAUCAACCAAUCAACUAUCUAUUUAUUUUCAAUUAAUAUAAUAAUAACAUAAUAUAUUAACAAAUCAUUUUCCCAUAAUUUCCAAUUAGUUUAUUAAUCAUAUAAUAAUCUAAUAAGUCAUGUUUCUCUCUCCUAAUAUCAUUUCUAGCUAUUUCUAGUCAUGAGGGUAACCCCAAAAGGAGUUUGCUUCUAAUUGCAAGAACAUGCCAAUUUAGUUAUGAACUUAGACACCUUAAUCUAACAUUCCUUUAUGUCAUCCAUGUUAAUUAAUGCAUCUCCUAAACCUGUUGAUCCUCUAAUCACUUAAUGGAUGGAUAAGUGGAUGUUGAAUCCCUGUGAAGUUGAUCAUCACCCCUAUUCUCCAUUGGGUGCCCAGGAAACCUUAUAUCCUUCUGAUAAGGAUGCAUCUAAAGUGAUUUUUGAGAUUGAGGAAGAAGUUUCGUAUGAUGAAUCAAAUGAAUCUGAUAAUAACGAUGAAUAUGAUGAUAUAUAUGAAGUUGAUUAGGACCUUGAAUUUUUUUUACAGUGCAUUAUCUUUAUGGACUUUUUCGCGUUCUCCUUCUAUUACAAUCAGGCAGCCUGUAUUUCGUCUCCCAUAUAUCGUUGUUACAGAUACUGCCAAAGAGUCCCCACCUCGACCAAACAAGCAUACUUACUUUAAGUCUUACUCUUCCUCUUCCCAAGGUACUCCUGAGAUUACCAAAUAUCUUAUGGUUGAUCAUCGUUUUGGUUUUAAUAAGGCCCUUUCUCCUACUCAACUACGUGGAAAUUCUUAACAACUCGAGGAGUCAUAAUCAUUGGAUAAUAUUUCCAUACAUUCUCAGGCUAAGGGAGAGCAUGAUUCUAUUUAGCAAGAAACGUUGUCUCAUGAUUUACUAGCUCUUCGUAAGUUGUUAGAAGUUUAUAUGUGUUUGCUCAACGUAUGGAGUGGCUCAAAACAGAUGUUACCACUAUCAAGAAGGCAGUUAUUAUGACCACUUCAACCACCCAACCAUCAUCAAGUAAUCCACCACCACCUUCUAAUGAUCAAUAACCUCCUAGUGAUCCUCUCAUGCCACCGCCAUCCCAUACUAUACCGUCAACUCACAAUCAACAACUGCGUCCUUCUGCCCAUGUAACUCAUGCUUCCACUCCGCUUGCAGAUAUUUCCUACGAUGAUGUCAAAAAUGGGGAGAAUUAAGUUAGGAAGACCCUCAUGUUGUUGUUGAUGAAGUUAUGGUUGAUGAGGCUUCAGACUCUCAUACUAAUAUCGACGAAGAAUGAUUUUAGAGCUUGAUUUAUUGGGUGAUUCAGUGCAUGCUCAUUCCAUGCCACUUCCAAUCUCUACCAUUUUUUCAACUGGGUCACAAGCUAAGGGAGAGUCUCUACCUCAAAGGGAGCAACAUGUCAACAGUGAGAUAUAAUCUAAUGAUAACCAACCCUUGUCAAGAAAAAGGAAGUCUCCUGCUGCCUCAAGCUCCUCUUCUCCCAAUUGAAGGAAACCCCUUAAUGUUUAUGAUGUCAAUAAGGAAUGAGAUUUAUCUAUUGAAGAAGCCAUAGCUUUUAUCGUAGACGACAACAUAACAACUCUCAUUUGAGUCCUAUAUCAAUAUGAUUCUACUAAAUUUGUUCUAUAAGUUUCUUCUUCUAAAGGAAUUUUGUCUAACCACAUGGUAUUCAUGCAUAUGUGUUAGAGCUUGUUGUUGUCUUGAUGAUAAACAUGGUGAUGAAUCUCAAUUUAGUUCCUCUUCUAGAUGUAGCUUCUACAUCGUCUACGCUAGGUUCCCAAGGGAAAAAGAAAGAAGUCCAAGCAUGAAAAGCUUUUAUUGACUUAUGGAACUGUCUACAUUAAUAAUUCUUUACCAUUAGGAGUGGAUCAUGUUCAACAUCUCUUCAUAAGAAAACCAAAGCAUGAAAUGUUUUAUAUUAAUAAUCAAGACCACAUGUGAGUUCAAUGAUCUACUGAUUUGUGUAAAACUCAUAGUGAAAAUUUGUUUCAUCUAAUAUUAGAGUGCAAAGAAAAAUUAGAAGCUGACAGUUAUUACUGGAUAGUAUCUUUCAAGCUGAAUAAGAGAAGAGAAGAACUCCUAUGUGAUCAUUUCAAGUGGAUCAAGCCUGAAAUUUUGAUUGAAGGUGAUAAAGUCUGGCAUCACGACUUUCAAUUGGAUUAGGAUUUGACAUCAUCUCGGGGAGAUUUUAUGGUCAAACCUUACAGUCUAAUGAGUAAAAACUUGUGACGCAUUGAUUAACUAUACAUGAUACUAUUAGCCACUAUCCGGGCUUUCACAGCGGUUUGUUACUUUAUUCAGCUAUUGUAACAACCCGUUAUUUCAAGUCAAUGUAAUAAAUAAAAGUCGAGUCUUGUAACCUCUUUGUAAAGUAAUAAGAAUAUCCUCGAAAAUCAAAUGUUCAAAAAGCUCUGUUUGGGUACACUUUGUGGUAGAUAUCGUGAUAAGGUUUCCAAAAAUAUAAAGAACACUAUAAUCCGAGUUAUAACGAAGGAUUUAUGACCAAUCAUAGAUUCGUAACACUACCGGUAAAGCGUUGUUAAGCAUGAAACGGGAAAUUUCAAUAAAAUACUUUUUAGCCGUAGGUAUCUAAAUGAAAGUUGUAGAUAUCUUUAAACCGCCAACAUACAUCAAAAGAACUCCCCAAAUCUGACUUCGUAUGAGGAAGUUACGAUUUUUCGAAGUUUCUGACCUAGCAGUAGAAAGAUAAAAACUUGAAAUAGAGAUCGAGCGGUCUUUAGCCGACACAACCUAAAAGAAAGUUGAAGACCCCGAAAAUAGGAGUACAACAGUAAAAAGUCUAACGAAAAUGGACACCAGAUGAAGGAGUUAUGGAUUUUAAACAGACUUUUCCAGGCCCAGCCUGUUAAAAAUAAUAUAAUAAAAAUAAAGUCAAAAUUAGCCGACGGAGUCUAAACGAGAGUUGUAGAGCCUUUUCACACCUACACGUGCAUAUAAAGAACGUCGAAAUCGGAGGUCGUAUGCAAAAGUUACGAAUUUUACGAGUUCGCGACACAAAACCCGAGGCUGACUCAGCCUCAUGAUGUGAGGGAACCAUGAUCACGACGUGAGCUCGUGACUGAUGGAUUCCAUAGUGUCAGCCACGUCAAAUCGUCGAAGAGGAUCAUGCUGACUAAGCGUCACGAUGUGAGAAAUCCAAAACUCACGACGUGAGACCCCAAAUCAGCCCCUAUAAAUAGAAGCUUAAGGGUGCCGGGUUUGGUGGUCAUCUCUUUCCCUCUAAGUGUCGUUACUCUGCAUGAUUACCUCGAGAAGCCUUCCCAAAGCCCUGGUUUUUCAUACUCGAGUCCCGAAGGAAGUUCUACACUCCCGAGAUCCCCGAGAAUCCCGAGAUUUCAACUAUCUCUAGUCGAAGUUAUGCUCGAUUCUUUUCUCGACUACUUCAAAAGAACCACUUCAAUAAAGUGAGUUCAUACCCCUUUUAUACACCUUGAAAUACUUUAUAAUGUACUUUUAAUACAUUUCGGGGGAGAAUACAAGUAAAUACCCGGUUAAUCCCGAGUGAACAAGUGAAAACUCUUGUUAUACCUUGCAUGCACAAGAUUUAUACACAAUGCAUAGUAUCCAGGGUAGCCAUCCUUGUUAAACCAUUUUAUGCAUUCAAAAAACUGAUGAUUUAUGCUUUGUCAAACAUUGUGAAAGAGGAUAAACAUUGCAUAUAAAACUAUCACUUUAAUACUUAGUUGAGAAUCUGUGAGACGAUUACAGACUUAGUUGAGAAUCCGUGAGACGGUUACAUCCGCCAGCCGUCCGACCUCCAUCCAUUCGACCUCCUUUCAGGAUGGGAUUUCAAGGACCAACUCCCAUCUGGGGAGAAGCCACAUCCAUCAUUGGAGCCAGUAGCAAGGAUUGCGUCCUCCUUACGGUAUGUGUCGGGACAUCUACGAUGUCAAUGGAGGAAGUUCAGCUCAUCGAGCACUUCUAGUUAUGGUAGGCAAACUUGCGAAUCAGGCUUAUCAAUCCGAAGUCCAGGCAAACCGGAUUCACGAGGUUGACAUAAGGAUGGAGGAAAACGCAGCUGAUAUCCGACGCCUGGACAUGCUACAAGGGAAUGCUCAACUCCACACCAACUCUCUCCAAGAGCAAAUGACUGCAGCUCUCUCCGAAAUGAGAGAUUUAAGGGAGCAACAAGUUGCCUUUGACAGGCGUCUCAUGGGAGCCAAGCAAUUGGAUGCAGAAUCGAGCUGCAAGUGCAAUCCGCACCGUGAGUAGUACUCGCCUAAAUCCCAAAUUUUUAUACAGAAUAGGACCAUUGGCUAAAAGUCUUACUUUCUUUAACUUUCUGUAAUCGGAGAGCUUUAGAAAGGUCAAUUUUGUUCUAACUUCGGAUAUAACGCAACCAUAUGUUUAAUAUAUAUAAGGCAUAUCUCUUUCGUGUGUUAAUUCUUUGCUUUUCAUUCGAGUUCAUGAGUUUAUCUAUUGCUAUUCAAACUCCAUUUAUGAAUCAAAAUCAAAGCCCUGUAUAGGUCAAACCAAAGUUUUAAUCUAUUAAAGAUAGUUAACUCAUUAUCAUUCAAACCUCGACCGAGAAAACUAAUGAUCUUUCAUUUUUAAUUCUUGGCGGUGCAAUGCCUCCUCGUCCAAACCUAAGACCCAUGUCGGGCACUAUACCAACACUACCUCCACCACCAACUUAUGACCCGGCCAUCGUACAGGCUGCUAUCACAACAACAGUAACUGCCGCCCUCUCACAAAUAAACUCCAACGGAAAUGGAAGGGAAGGGAGUAGCACGAAUCAUUCCGACCAUGGCAGUGGUCAUGGUCAAGUGAGGGAAUGUACUUACAAGGAUUUCGCCAACGCAAAGCCAAAAACUUGUAAUGGCACAGAGGGAGUCAUUGCACUGAUGCAAUGGUUGCAAAAGACCGAAACGGUCUUUGAGAUCUGCUCCUGGAAAGAAGCGAUCAAAGUCAAGUUCACCGCUUGCACCCUCACUGAUUGCGCUCUCACCUGGUGGAAAAGCCAUGUGAGGUCCGUGACUCUCACCGUCGCCAACUCCUUAAGUUGGGAGGACUUAAAGGUCCUAGUACUGGAGGAAUACUGCCCAAGGGGUGAGAUACCAAAGCUAGAGCAGGAGCUCUGGAAUCUGAAGAUGACUGGGUCUAACCUAGUAUCCUAAACGGCCAGGUUCAGCGACCUUGCCGCCUUGUGCCCUGCCAUGGUCAACCUAAAACCAAAAAAGGUUAAGAGCUACAUUUGGGGGUUGUCACCCAGAUUUAUGGUCACGUCUUGGCCUCCAACCCUAUCACUUUCAACAGCGCUAAGCGCCUGGCUCAACGACUCAUCGACCAUGGGGUCAAACAAGGUUUUGUUGCAGCUAUUGCCGAUCCAUCAAAGGAGGUAUAGGGCCAGGGAAGGCCUUGUAACAAGAGAAGGGGGCAAACCCUACAGGGGAACCCCAAGAAACAACAAGUGGUAGCAGCUCUUGCUGUUACUGUUCCUACCACCACUGCAGCCACAAGUUCAUACAGUGGGAGAUUUCCGAAGUGCAACCAAUGCAGCUUCCACCACCACAGUCUUUGCAGUGACUUUAAAUGCACCAGGUGCAAUAAGAAGGGGCAUACGGCCCGCUUCUUCAAGGAGCCAGCCCAACAAGCCGCCCCUACUACUAAUGUCGGAGUACGCCACGCUUGCUUUGAGUGAGGAGCCAUGGGGCACUACCGCAGGGACUGCCCAAAGGCGAACAACAGGGAUACCGACGGAAGGGCCCCUGUGUUUGCAAUGGGACAGGAUGAAGCCGUUGCAAACUCCACUGUUGUUACGAGUAUGUUUCUUCUCGAUAACUCGUAUGAAUGCAUUUUUUUUGAUAGUGGAGCGAAGAGGAGUUUUGUAAGUCACAAUUUUAAAGGCCUGCCGAAACAAACACCCCAAUCAUUAAGUGAAUCGUUUAUAGUAGAAAUGGCCAACGGUAAAACAGAGGGCACUAAGUAGAUAUACUUAAAUUGUACCCUAACCGUAACGAUAAUCCCUUUCCAAUCAGCCUCAUGCCAGUCUCGUGUUCGAUGUCAUCAUAGGCAUGGACUAGCUGAGUUCUCAUCAUGCGGACAUUUUAUGUUACGAUAAGGCCGUUCGCCUUAAUCUGCCAACCGGCGAAACCCUCAUUAUCUAUGGCGACAAACCCAAUACCACUCUUCAUAUUAACUCGUGUAUCCAAGCUCAGAAGUGCCUGCGCAAGGAAUGCCAUGCGUUUUUAGCACAUAUCGUGGAUGUGAAACGCGAAGUCCAGGUCAUCAAGAGCGUGCCUAACAUAUGCGAGUUUCCCGAUGUUUUUCCCGAAGAUCUUCCUGGAAUACCACCUGCGAGACAAGUCGAAUUCAGAAUCAAUCUUAUUCCCGGAGCUACCCCAGUAGCCAAAGCGCUCUAUCGAUUAGCCCCAGCGGAGAUGCAGGAGAUAUCCAGCCAACUGAAUUAACUACUCAGCAAAGGAUUUAUCAGGUCGAGCUUGCAAAAAGAAGGAUGGGUCAUUUAGGAUGUGCAGCGACCACUGAGAGCUCAACAAACUUACCAUCAAGAACCGAUAUCCCCUACCACGAAUUGACGACUUAUUCGACCAACUCCAAGGAGCCAACUACUUUUCCAAGAUCAAUCUUAGAUCGGGAUAUCACCAGCUGCGAGUCCUAGAGAGUGAUAUUCCCAAGACGGCCUUCCGAACAAGACACGGGCAUUAUGAGUUUGCAGUGAUUCCAUUCGGACUAACCAAUGCCCCUGCCGUAUUCAUGGACUUAAUGAAUCGGGUGCGUCGUCCAUUCUUGGAUAAAUUUUUGAUAGUAUUCAUAGAUGACAUACUCAUCUAUUAAAAGAGUAAAGAAGAGCAUGGCCAACAUCUGAGACAAGUCUUAGAGAAAUUAUGAGCUGAGAGACUUUAUGUGAAGUUCUCAAAAUGCGAGUUUUGGAUUAGGAAGGUGGACUUCCUAGGUCACGUGAUCGGAGAAGAAGGAAUCCACAUGGACCCAUCUAAGAUCAAGGCUAUCGAAAAUUGGUCUGCACCAACUACACCAACGAAGAUUCGCCAAUUUCCAGGCCUUGCUGGUUAUUAUCGAAGGUUCAUUCAGAACUUCUCCGGCAUCGCAAAGCCUCUUACCUCCCUAACUCAGAAAGGUGUGACCUACAACUGGGGAGAAAAGCAAGAUGCUGCAUUUCAUACUUUGAAACAGGCCCUAUGCAGUGCACCCAUUCUUUCUCUUCCAGAGGGGAUCGAAGAUUUUCUGGUGUAUUGCGAUGCUUCGAAUCAAGGGUUGGGAUGUGUGCUAAUGCAGCGAGGAAAAGUUAUUGCAUAUGCCUCACGACAACUGAAAACAAAUGAAGUCAACUACACCACUCAUGACUUAGAACUUGGGGCUGUGGUCUUCGCUCUAAAAAUAUGGAGGCACUACCUAUACAGUACCAAGUGCACCAUUUUCACAGACCACACUUCAACAUAUAUUCGACCAGAAGGAGUUGAACAUGAGACAACGACGUUGGGUUGAAUUGCUCAACGACUACGAAUGUGAGAUUCGUUACCAUCCGGGAAAGGCGAAUGUAGUGGAUGAUGCCCUUAGUCGUAAGGAGUACUCUGGUCGAAGAGUGAAGUCAUUAAGCAUGUCGAUCCAUUCUCAUCUUUCGACACAAAUGAAGGAAGCUCAAAUAGAAGCCUUGAAACCCGAAAAUGUGAUAGGUGAAACCCUUAGAUGGAUGGACAAGAAUCUAGAAAUCAAUAGUGACGGAGUGCACUACCUCAUGAACCGAAUCUGGACACCAAAGUUUGGUGGGUUUAGAGAGAUAGUUAUGAACGAAGCGCACGGGACUCCAUACUCCAUACACCCAGGUUCAAAUAAGAUGUAUCUAGAUCUCAGACAACUCUACUAGUGGCCAAACAUGAAAGAAUGAACUUCUAUCUAUCUGAGGAAGUGCUUGACUUGUGCCAAGAUAAAAGUAGAACACCUGAAGCCCUCAGGUCUACUCCAUCAACCCGAAAUACCUGAGUGGAAAUGGGAACAUAUUUCCAUGGAAUUCAUAACAAAACUACCCAAGACUUAGGGUGGUCACGACACCAUUUGGGUGAUCGUCAACAGACUAACCAAGCCUGCUCAUUUCUUACCGAUCAAGGAAACUGAUAAGAUGGAAAAGCUAACGAGAACCUACAUCUGAGAGAUCGUGCGACUUCAUGGAGUGCCGAUGUCUAUCAUCUCGGACAAAGACAGUAGAUUCACUUCCAGAUUCUGGCAAUCAUUGAAAAAAUCCAUGGGAACAAGGCUGGAUAUGAGUACAACCUACCACCCACGAACUGAUGGACAGAGUGAGAGAACGAUCCAAACCCUAGAAGACAUGUUGCGAGCAUGUGUAAUCGACUUUGGUAAAGCGUGUGAUGUUUACUUACCAUUAGUCGAGUUCUCUUAUAACAACAAUUAUCAUACUAGUAUCAAGAUUGCUCCAUUUGAAGCCCUUUACGGCCGUAAGUGCAGAUCACCUCUGUGCUAAGCGGAAAUAGGCGACACGUAGUUGGCAAAAGGUCUAGUCCCUUAUGGCACUCUCACUGGUUCGGAGAUCAUUAGAGAAAAAACUGAAAAAGAUCUUUCAAAUUCGAGAAGGUCUAAAAGCCUCGAGGGAUAGGCAAAAGAGCUAUGCCGACAAAAAUCGAAAACCCUUGGAAUUUCAGGUUGGUGACCGCGUUCUGCUGAAGGUCUCACCCUGGAAGGGAAUGAUAUGCUUUGGGAAGCGUGGAAAACUAUAUCCAAGGUACAUUGGACCCUUCAAAACUCCUUCAAGGAUUGGCCCAGUGGCUUAUAGACUUCAACUUCCAAUCGAGCUUAACAAAGUACAUCCAGUGUUUCACGUAUGAAACCUGAAAAAGUAUUUGUCCGGUGAAACUCUUGCGAUUCCACUCGAUGAAAUCGAACUUGGCAAAAAUCUUAACUUUGUGGAAGAACUCGUCGAGGUCAUGGAUAGGGAAAUCAAACGAACUAAACAGAGUCGCAUACCAAUAGUGAAGCCCGUAUGGAAUGCUAAGCGAGGACCUGAAUUCACAUGGGAGCGAGCAGAUCAGAUGCAACAGAAGUAUUCGCAUCUCUUCCCUAGUCCCUAAACUUUUAUUUUGUAAUUAAUUUCGGGACAAAAUUCCCUCUAACGGGGGGAUGAUUUAACAACCCGUUAUUUUAGGCCAAUGUAAUGACUAAAAGUCGAGUCUUGUAACCUCUUUGUAAUGUAAUAAGCAUGUCAUCGAAAAUGAAAUGUUAAAAAAGCUCUGUUUGGGUAUGCUAUGUGGUAGAUAUCGUGAUAAGGUUUCCAAAAAUAUAAAGAACACCAAAAUCUGAGUUAUAACGAAGGAGUUGUGACCAAUCAAAGAUUCGUAACACUACCGGUAAAGCGCUCUUAAGCAUAAAACGAGAAAUUUCAGUAAAAUAAUUUUUAGCCUUAGGUAUCUAAAUGAAAGUCGUAGAUAUCUUUAAACCGCGAACAUACAUAAAAAGAACGCCCCAAAUCUGACUUCGUAUGAGGAAUUUAUGGUUUUUCGAAGUUUCAGACCUAGCAGUAGACAGCUAAAAACUUGAAAUAGAGAUGGAGCGGUCUUUAGCCGACACAACCUAAACGAAAGUUGAAGACCCCGAUAAUAGGAGUACAACAGUAAAAAGUCUGAUGAAAAUGGACACGAGAUGAAGUAGUUAUGGAAUUUAAACAGACUUUUCCAGGCCCGGCCUAUUAAAAAUAAUAUAAUAAACGAAGUCUAAACAAGCAUUGUAGAUCCUUUUCACACCUACACGUGCGUAUAAAGAACGUCAAAACCGGAGCUCGUACGCGAAAGUUACGGAUUUUACAAUUUCGGGACAUAAAACCCGAGGUUGACUCAACCUCACGACAUGAGGGAACCAUGCUCACGACGUGAGCUCGUGACUGAUGGGUUCCAUAGUGUUAGUCACGUCAAAUCGUUGAAGAGGAUCAUGCUGACUAAGCCUCACGAACUAAGAAAUCCAAAACUCAUGACGUGAGACCCCAAAUCAGCCCCUAUAAAUAGAAGCUUAAGGGUGCCGGGUUUGGUUCUCAUCUCUUUCCAUGUAAGUUCUGUUACUCUGCGUGAUUACCUCGAGAAGCCUUCUCGAAUCCCUGGUUUGUCAUACUCGAAUCCCGAAGGAAGUUCUACACUCCCGAGAUCUCCGAGAAUCCCGAGAUUUCAACUCUCUCUAGUCGAAGUUAUGCUCGAUUCUUCUCUCGGCUACUUCAAAACAACCACUUCAAUCAAGUGAGUUCAUACCCCUUUAUACACCUUCAAACACUUUAUAAUGUACUUUUAAUACAUUUCGGGGGAGAAUACAAGUAAAAACCCGUUUAAUCCCGAGUGAAAACGUGAAAACUCUAGUUAUACCUUACAUGCACUAGAUUUAUACAAAAUGCAUAGUAUCCAGGGUAGACAUCCUUGUUAAACGAUUUUAUGCAUUCAAAAAACUUUUGAUUUUUGCUUUGUCAAACAUUGUGAAAGAGGAUAAACUGUCACACCCUGAAACCGAUGGCGGAAAAGUUCCGGGCUGGAGGACGUCAUGUAAAGUAUCACAACCAAUGUACAUAGUAAGCGUAGUAAACACAACCAUUACAUUACAUAGAAGUAUUUACAUUUGUUUGAAACUAAGUUAUACAUGAUUAUAUAUAUAUAUAUAUAUAUAUAUAUAUAUAUAUAUAUAUAUAUAUAUACACAUACAAAAAANAUCGCGGGGUACCUGUCUAAUGUGGACCUGAGAAUAGAAGCAGUUUUGAAAAUAUCAGCAUAAAGUUGGUGAGUUCAUAAGCGGUUAUGUUUAUGAAAAUGAACAAGUUUCCUUUGGUUCUCUGAAAAAGUUGUUAUCCAAGAAAAUCCCAUAUUUUCUUAUAAGGAAAGUCUAGUUAUCCAUUUGUUACCCAAUCUGGUUAAGAAUAGUUCAAUUAUCCAAGGAAAAACCCUUAUUUUCCUAAAAGUUUGUGGUUGGUUAUCGGUUCGGAAUGCAGUGUACAAGUAUCUACCAUACUUAAAGUGUUUGUGUAAAGUUUCCUGAAAGCCUGGUUAACCUUGAAAGGUACAUUAGUUUUAACACGUAUAUAAAACUAAUAAGCUAGUAGAAAAGUUUUCAUAAUCUAAGUUGCGAGUUCCAUAACCAUACAAUAGACUAGAUAAGGCUCGGAAUGGGGCCAAUAUCGUUUUAUGACUUUUGUCACCCUUGGACCUUUCGGUCCGACUGUAGCUAGCAGCCAGGUGCGGGGUAGUCAAUCCCAUAUAGAUCUAUACACUCAAGUCACGUUCUCCCUCCAUGAGAUUCUGGUUACAGGGGUAGUCCUACACUCUCGUAUCUAGGGGGAGUGUUACCAAGGACGCGUCUCCAAUCUUAAGAUUAAUGAAUUUUAAAAGUAGUCCCUCACUCUCGAAUCUAGGGGGAGUGUUACCAAGGACAUUUUAAAAUUAAUAAUAUGGAAAACUCUGUUUAUUAGUCCUUCACUCUCGUAUCUAGGGGGAGUGUUACCAAGGACAUUUUAAAAUUAAUAAUAUGGAAAACUCUGUUUAUUAGUCCUUCACUCUCGUAUCUAGGGGGAGUGUUAUCAAGGAUGUUUUUAAAGUUCUAAGGUUCAUGCUUUUAACAAUAAUGAUAAGGAAAAUCGAUUUGUGAAAUAUAAAAUACAACAUUUUAUAAUGAGUUUCACAAAUAGUUUGACAAUUUACUCUGCAAGUUGAACAGUUGGUUAAUACGGUUUUCAGUGUUAAAAGCAUACGAAAUAUGAAACAUUUGAAAUGAAAUCAUAAGUUUGAGUACAAGGUUUCCUUGUACUUUUGCUUGUAUUCCCCCUGAAAACAUUGAAAAAGAAGAUUCAUGAUUCAUGACUCAUAUGUUUUGGUGGUUGAACGUUAAGCAUACAAAGUUGUAGACCCAAAUCUAAGCCAUACAAGGUGUUAGGGGCACUUUUACACCCUUAAAUGGUGUUUAUGGUCCAUGAAUGAGGGUUUACGGUCCAAGCAUGUUCUUGGGCCGUAAACUAAUGUUUACUCCUCAAAUGGUAAGAUUUUGGUGCUCUAAGUCCAUUCAUGCAAGCCCCUAAGUCAUAUCUAAGCACUAGAAGUGAUUUGGAAGGGUUUUGGGGGCUCCAAAACCCCAUUUAUAGGUGUUCACAGUUUGGGGAUGUUCCUGGACCGUAAACACAAGUUUUUGAUGCAUUUGGAUGGUUUAAACAUGAAUUUGAAUUAUAAACAAGCUUAGUAACAAGCUUGGAUAGAUUACUUACCAAUUUGAAGCUUGAAAGGGGUGUUUUUUGGAUCAAACUCGAGUUUUAGAGAGAGAGAGUAGAGAGAGAAAGUUACGAGGUGGUGGUAAAAAGCUAAAUUGAAUUUCACUCAUCCUUUAUAUAAGUAUUGAGUUUGUGCCCCGGUGGAAAUCUACCCGAUACCGACGUUAAACGGGGUUUAUGGUCGUACCCGAUUUAAUUGUCCUAAUUAAAAAACAUCCAAAUAAAAAUUUGGGAUGUUUUAACGUGUUUUUAAAUGGGUUUGGACACUCAUGAGAUCAUAAUAAAGGUCUCAAUUUAAUUUACUUAACCCAAAAGUUAACGGAAAAAUUUGGAAUACAAAUAGUUUUAUUUAACGGGAACGGUUUACAAUGACGGAAUAAAUUAUGGGUUGUCGCAUAAACAUUGCAUACAAAACUAUCACUUUAAUGCAGACUUAGUUGAGAAUUCGUGAGAUGAUUACAUCUUCAAUGCUACCUUUUUGUUAAAAGGUACUACCUAAAGUCCUGUCUAUUAUAAUCAAAGUCUCCCGUUUGGAGAGUGUGUCAAAUGUGUAUAGAUCUAUAUGGGAAGUCAUGAUCCCGCACCAUGACUGUUAGCUACAGUCCUUUGGGUGACAAUUUGUCAUAAACGUUUCGACGCCUGAAGAUCGUCGCCACAAGCAUAUUAAUUUUAGUAUGGUUAUAAAACUCACCGGAUAGACAAUUUUUAGGGUAUUCUGCUUUUAUGAAUGGGUAGCUAUUAAAACUAUUCUUCAUCUAACGAGUGCGAUCUUCUUAUAGCUUUAUUAUAUAAAACUAUGCCUUAACCUUUUAUGCAUGUUAGUUGCUUGCGAUUUUCGGUCUUGGACAUUAAAGACUGCCAGUUACUUUACGAAAAUAAGGGAUUUUCCUGUAUCCAAAACAAUCAACUAAUAGGAAAAUAAGGGAUUUUCCUGGUACAACUAUUUACAAUUCACGACGCGAACGUUCAUAUGCAUUUCAUACUUUGUAUAAGAAAAUAAGGGAUUUGCUUGUAAAAUGCACGAACUUUGGAAUGGCAUACAUUUUCACAAAACCGCUUAUGAACUCACCAACUUAAUUGUUCACACUUUCUCUUUCAAAUAACUUGUGAUCUCAGGGAACCACUAAGCAUGUUUGGAAAUCAACUUUUGGGGAUUAACGCUCUGACGUUAAUUACUUCUUUUGAAAGAUGUUUAUGUAUUUAUCUUUUGAAACAUGUAACAAAUACAAUUAUGUAAACAUUUUUGAAACUUUUUAUAUAUAUGAUGGUGUGUACUUUCCUUACUAUGAACUGUUAUGAUACUGAAUAUGACAUCCUCUGCUCCCGAACGUUUCCGCCGUUCUGGUUUGGGGCUGUGACAACUAAAAUCAUAGAUCUGUUAUCUUAGUGAUAGGAUCGUUUAUGUAUAAUACAUAUGUUUUGUGUAUGAGUCCCUGAUGUAUAGGGAUCUCAUUCUAGGAUAGUCUCUACCCUAUUAUAUAAGUUACACUAGGGUUGCAUGUUAAAUUACGUCGCUUUUUGCAUUCUCUCUUUGUGAGAAUACUUAAUUAAAAUUUUCUUUCGAUUAUUCUUUUUUGAUUAUUGUAUUAGAGCGAGUAACGAGGGUUCGAUCUCUCAUGGAGAAAUUUCUGAGGGGGGGGGGGGGUUGUUGNGUGGCGAGGGUUCUAUUCUCUCAGGGAGCAAUUUCUGAGGGGGGGAUUGUUGGGGGUCAGAAAUGGCAUCCACCAAGUCCUCGCACGAUGGCCUGGAGUGCCGGAAUCGAAUGCUUUGUUCUGGAGGACUGAAUGCGCUAUAUGGGUAAGGUUGCGCCCUUUCUAACACCAAUUGCUUUUAGAUCAACCGGUAGCACUGUUGCUCAACAAUUGGUAUCAUGAACCUGAGGAGAUCUUUCCUAUGAAAAAUCCGAUGAUGAUUCAUCUUUGAAAUCUCUACGAGGAAUUCAUGAAAUUGUUUGAUGAACUAGAAAAGGUGAUAUCUUUAUAAUCUAAAGCAAAAAAUGAUUGAGAUAAUGAACUGAAGAAGAUCAUUGAUGAUGAAAUGAUAUUCCAAUCCAGGGGGAGCAUCUGAUUCCAAACGAAGUGCCACAUGCAACAUUCUAGGGGGAGAAUGAGAGCGAAUAUAAUGACUCAGAUGCUCAGUCGAAAUUCAUAUAUGUAAAUGUAGAAUUGGAUCUAUCUUAUAAUCCGAACUACCCUACAUUAGGUAAAUGGACAAAAUAUCAUCCUAAAUCACAAGUGAUUGACACAGCUUCUUCCGGUGUUCUUACUAGAGCUGAACAAUAAGCGAAUAAGAGUACAUUAUUUUCCAAAAAUGGAAUUUUGCAAUUUUAGGUCGUUCAUUUCUAAGAUUUAUCCAAAAAAAACAGUUAAGAUUGUUCUCGAUCAUUCUUAUUGGAUGCAAGCAAUGUAGGAAGAGCUCAACGAGUUUGAGCGUAAUAAAGUUUGGAGACUAAUUCCAACUCUAAAGGAUGCAUCGGUUGUAGGUUUAAAAUGGGUAUUUUGCAACAAGAUUGACAAAGAAGGCAACGUAAUUAGAAACAAAGAUUGAUUAGUUGCGAAGGGAUACUUCCAAGAGGAAGGCAUAAACUAUGAAGAAACAUUCGCACCAGUUGCAAGGCUAGAGUCGGUUCACAUUUUUCUUGUCUAUAUACCUCACAAAAAUUUCGAAGUCUAUCAAAUGUAGGUGAUGUGUGCGUUUCUUAAUGGUGAAUUAGAAGAGACGGUUUACGUGGAGCAGUCACCGGGUUUCGUAAAUAAGAAGUAUCGAAAUCACUGUUAUAUUUUCUAUAAGGAUGUGUACGGUUUGGAACAAGCACCACGUGCAUGGUAUGAAACCCUUACCCGUUUCUUAAAGCAAUCAUAUAUUCCCAUAUAUAAUUUUCUCUAUUUCUUUAUCUUUGGCACACUCUUGGAUGAAAAUCCUUGUAAUUUUUCAGAAGUCUAGUUUUUUAUUCCGAAUGAUUACAUUCUAUUCUGAGAACGGGUAUUGUUACGAAUGUGCAGAACUAAAAAAGGCGGUAUAAAAUUGAUAAGGUUUUGAAAAAGGUGCAUAAUCUUUUCAAAUCCCUGACAUUACACGUGGUCAGUUGUAAUGUCACUUGACACCUCCAAUAGUCACGUCUAUCAAGGCUACUUUAUUGGGAUACAUAAACGUCAAACAUGGUUUUCUCUCUCCACCAAUGAUGUAUGAAAGGGCUACUCAAUGAUUUAUUUUAUCACCACUUUCAAAAAUCUAUCAAUAUAAAACCCUUUUCUCUAUGCAUUGUUCAUCACCGUCUCCAACUGCUUCCGUGGCCGCUUCGUUUGAAACCACUUCUCAUGCCUGUCAAAUUGCAUCAACAUUCAUGCUCAACAUCAAACCUAAUCAGAACUGGUCCUUAGAUAUGAACUCUUCUUGAUACACUAAAGGUCUCAAACCAUUGAUCGAGUGUUUAAGCUAUUCUCCUCUUUAUCAAGCAUUAACUUUGGGGGAAUAUGUGCCCUUAGUUCAUCUCCCGAAGGCAUAUUCAUCUACAAACCACAACCCUAAUGACAGAGUUAUUACUUUUGAGAUUGACUCUUACAAAACCUCCAUCUCGAAGACCCAAUUCUUCAUCAUGCUAGGGCUUACUUCAACUGAGGUUCCUGUUGAUCCUAAGUCGAUUUCAUCAACCGCCACCAUCAAGAGGCUUUUCCAGAUGGGAUAUCUUGGUGAGAUCACUCUUCUGUCAAAGUUUAAGAAACCUAACCUUCUACCAAUGUGGAAUGGUCUCUUCUCUCUACUUUUCAAGAUUUAUUGAGAAUGAGUUACUGGGUCAAACAGUGCUAGCAAACUGUUAUGUACGAUAAUCUAUGGCCUCUACACUGGGAUUAACCUUGAUUAUGGUUCAAUCCUCUCGGCUUUACUAGUUCAUAGCACUCUCUCUCCAACGAUACACUUUCAAAUUUAAUGCACUCGUUUUUGGUCGAUUGUUGUUAAAUGUGCUCUGGUUCGUCUUCAGAUUGAAGCUCCAGAUGACUCCGUGCUUGCUGCGAUUCCGAGCUUCCAUACUUAAAAUUUCAUUGUAUUGGAUCCUAUGAAGUUCGACUUUGUUGGUUCUCUUCUGGAGGCUAUGCUAAAAUCCUUUCCUACAAAAGAUGUUGUUAAUAAUGAGUAUUAGAAGAAGCCUAAUUCAAGAUUUUUCUCUAUGCCUGAUGAUCUACGAAAGGCAAUUAAUGAGGCUAGAAAACCAAAGAAGGGAGUAAAUCUUAAAGGCAAGACAGGACCCUCCGAACCUACUGCUACUCCAAAGAAGAAGGUUAGGAAAUCUGCUCAGAAGCCUAGGUCUUCGACUCCAGUUCAAUAAGCUUCCGAGUCUCGCACCCAUUCAGAUUUACAAGAGCGAGACCUAGUUCGAAACGAAGCGGUAGAUAUUGCAACAACUUCGAAAUCCAUGGUCUCGGAGCCCAUUCCGACUCAGUUUACUUCGAAGGUAUCAUCUCCAAUUCCCACUUCAAUUCCUUUAACAAAAUAUUACUUCAUGUUCCUUCUCCUACUGCUACUUCUACACCUAUCACCAUAGCUCCUUGUCCCAAUGUAUCUAUUGGUAUUUUGUAACCACAAAUCUAUGUUGCUCAAUCUACUCCAAUGUUCAACAAAAACAAGUACCAUAAGUUCACCUCAAGUGACUAUCAACAUAUCUGAUACGGGAGCAUGUGCUUUUGGUGUUACUAUUGCUUUCAGUUCUUCUCCUGUCUCGCCCUUAAGGGUUGAUGAUCCUGAUACAAUCUUUGGUCAUGAUGGUGAUGACGUUCAAGAUUUCCACUACAGCCCAUUCACUUUUUAUCAGGAGAAUGAUGAGGAUGAUGCACCCAUGAAGAAAGGGCGGUUCAAGGCCCUCAAUCAAAAAUUGGAUAGUUUGCUCGAGUCGUCCAAAUCUCCAUCUAACACUAAGUAUUCCUUUGACGCUCACAAAGCAUCAAUUGAGACUCGUACCAAGGAACAUGCCAAAAGCCUUGAUGCAUAUACCAAAGUUGUUGCAAACUUUGAUAUGAUAGUUCGUGAAACGACCAAAAAAGUCGAAAAACUAUUUGCUGAUGUUACUCAAUUUAUGGAGGGUUUUCAGAGUUCCUAUGAUAAUAACACAACAGCUGUGAACAAGGUGAUUACAAGUCUUGGCUCCACUCUUCAAAUAGAUAACAAGCCUUGUCCAAAAUUCGUUUAGACUUGAAAGUGGAUAAUCAUGAGAUGAGUGCCUCCAUCAUUUCAAUGAUUGAGAAGCUACAUGCAGAUCUUGCUAUGGAGAGUAAGAUCAUGGAUAAACUCAUUGUGAAGACUGAAAAGGUGAAGGUUCUUUCAGUACAACUUGCAGAUGCCAACCAGCAGCUUGAUGCUUUAUAGUCUGAAAAGGUUGUUCUCAAAAGCAAUGGUGCAAAUGUCAACCUUUUCUUGCAAAAUCUCGUAGAGACUCAUGACUCGUUGCUCAUAGUCUUGGUUCACCAACAUGUUGUUGACAAACUCCAACCAGUAUUCUCCAUGCUUAAUCGUAUCGAGGGUGUUUCAGAAUUUGCUUCUCUUCCAAAACAAGGGGGAGUAGCUACGAAGGCAUUUGAUGAAGAACCCAAGUAAAUAGCUGGUGAUGAUUCAUAUGAAUUCUAACAAGGGUCAGUAGAGCCAAAAAUAAUAUCAUCAACAUAAAUUUGAACAAGCAUUAGAUAAUUCCCAACUUUCAUUCGAAAAUAAAGUGGGGCCAACUGAUCCUUGUUUAAAUUUUGAUUGUUUUAAGAAAUUGGUAAGAGUUGCAUACCAGUCUCUUGGUGUUUGUUUUACCCCUUAAACAACUUUCUCUAAGAUACAACAAUGAUCAGGAUAUUCUUUAUUAACAAAACCUGGAGGUUGUUCUACGUAAAUUGUUUCUUGAAGUUCUCCAUUGAGAAAAGCACAUUUGACAUCCAUUUGAUAUAUACAUCAAAAUCCUUGUGAGAUGCAUAGGCUAAAAAUAUUCGAACAGCCUCGAGUGUUGCGACUGGGGCAAUGGUUUCUUCAUAAUCGAUACCUUCUUGUUGUAAAUAGCAUUUAACUACAAGCGUAACUUUAUUUCGAACAAUUUUUCCAUCUUUGUCGGUUUUUUUUUAAAAAUCCAUCUUAAACCAAGAAUUGAAACAUCUUCAAGCUUAGGAAUUAAUAUCCAAAGCUUGUUUCUUUCGAACUCAACAAGUUCAGAUUGAAUAGCAACAACCCAAUUUGAGUGUUCCAUUGCAACCUUAACUAUCUUAGGCUCUAUUUUCGAAAUAAAAACAUUAAACAUGCAAAAACUCUUGAUGUGAAUUAAGUAACCUCAUUCUUUGCACGAAUUUCAGCUCUUGUCAAUACUCCAUCUUAUAAAUUUCCAAUGACUUGUUCUUUUGGAUGAUUUCUCGUCCAUUUUUCCAGUGGUGGAUAUAACAAUGAUUAGGAUAUUCUAUAUUUACAAACCUGGUGUUUGUUCAACGUAAAUUGUUUCUUCAAGUUCGCCAUUGAGAAAAGCAAAUUUGACAUCCAUUUGAUAUAUACAUCAAAAUCCUUCUGAGCUGCAUAGGCUAAAAGUAUUCGAACAGCCUCGAGUCUUAAACCAACAAUUGAAACAUCUUUAGGUUUAGGAAUUAAUAUCCAAACCAUGUUUCUUUCGAAUUUAGCAAGUUCAGAUUGCAUAGCAACAACCCAAUCUGAGUGUUCCAUUGCAACCUUAACUGUCUUAGGCUCUAUUUUCAAAAUAAAAACAUUAAACUUGCAAAACUCUUGAUGAGCAUUAAGUAAUCUCAUUCUUUGCACGAAUUUGAGCUCUUGUCAAUACUCCAUCUUGUAGAUUUCCAAUGACUUGUUCAUUUGGAUGAUUUCUUGUCCAUUUUUCCAGUGGUGGAUAUGCUGGAUCAAAAUCCAAUGGUGCAUCUUCAUACAUUUCAUCAUUUUCUGAACCUGCAACAUAAACAUUAUUAGUUGAAUCAAGAAAAGUUUCAUUUUUAUUCACAUUCGACAUAUUUGUAUCAAUAUGCUCCCCCUCGACAUCUCUAUUCAUUCUCCUAUUCUCCCCCUCGAAAGAAUGCUCCCCCUCAACUUGAGAAGAUGAAUGCAAGUGAUCCCCCUCCAUUUGAUCAUUUAGCAUACUAUCAUCAAUUCUAGAAGAAUUCGAUGCUGAGUUUAAAUCUGAAUUUUCUUGUGUUGAUGUCGAAUUUUUAGAAUGGUUUGAUGCUUCAGGUAUUUGUUUGUCCCCGACAUUAACUUCAGCAUCAACAGCCCUAUCAGGAACACAAAAUAUUAACUCGUAAUCAAAAUCUGUCGAAUUAACAUUUGCAUAUUAAUCAUUUGAUUCAUUAAUAAUUGGAUGUUGUUCAAAGCAUUUCUCAACUAUUUUAACGUAAUAAUCAUCAAACGUGAGAUUAAAUGUUUCUUCCACUUUUUUCGUUCAUUUAUUCAAUACACUAUAUGCAACCAAUUUAUGUGAAUAUCCCAAGAAUAUUCCUUCAUCAGACUUAGAUUGAAAUUUCGAAAGAUUAUCCUUGAGAUUGAUAAUAAAACACCUGCAACCAAAAACAUGAAAGAAUUUGGCAUUAGCUUUUCGGUUAUUGAUAAUUUCAUAUUGAGUAAUAUUGAAAUGACGAUGAAUUAACGAUCGAUUUUGAGUAAAACAUGUUGUAGAAACUACUUCGGCCCAAAGAUAUUGAGGAAUAUUCGCAUAUGUCAGCAUCGUUCUUGCCACUUCACAAAGAGAACGAUUUCUUCUUUCAACUACACCUUUUUGUUGUGGUGUAUAUGGUGAAGAAAAUUUUUGCGAAAUUCAUUUAUCUGUUAAGAACGAAUCCAGAAUAUUGUUCUUAAAUUCAUAUCCAUUAUUACUCUUGAUUUUUCGGACGUUCUUUCUUAAUCUUGUUUCUAUUUGCUUGAUGAAGUCAAUCAUUGUUUGAGCUACUUCAGAUUUUAACCUGACAAAAUAAACCCAAGUUAAUCGUGUAAAAUCAUCAACAAUGACUAAAAUGUACCAUUUCUUGUUGAGUGUUUCAACAGUUGAUGGUCCACAUAAGUCAAUAUGAAGAAGUUCCAACGGUUCAAGAAUGUUCAAAGUUUCAUGUGAUGCGAGCAACCACUAUCAAUAUACCAUUUUUCGUCAUAUUGCUCGACACAUAAAACCUGCAAUUAAUGGAAAAAUUUAGGUACCCAAGAUUGUUUGGUUCCUUGGUUAUUAGUUUGAAAAAACAGAGUGUAAAAUUGAACUUAAGACCCAAUUUCGAACUUUUGAUUUGAAAGUAUCAAUUAAGUCCACAUCAUGAGUUAAAGACAUAGAAACAUAAACUUUUGAAGAUUUAGGAUUGUCACUGACAUUCUCCUUUUUCUUCUCAGAUAGAUUCUCAAAAUUCUUCACUUUCGGAAUUGGUCGCCAAGUUUGAACAAACGGAUUAUAUUCUUUUGAUGAAGAACUUCCACUUGAAGAUUCAUUCAAAUAUUUUUCAUAGGCAUCUUUGAUUUGUUGUUCAGAAAAUUUUCUAGAUUGGUAGAUUUUUCCUUUGCCUUCAAGCCAAUGAUCUAAGUUGUUCAUAUCUGAAUGACCAUUUAUGUAUGAAACUUUCGAAGGUGGUUUUAUAGAUGGAUUUGGAAUGUUUGGUUUUGUGGAGUGAAUUUUUUUACAUUUGGUUUUGUUUGAACAUUUUCAAACUUUCGAUUUGCAACAUUUGAGUGAAAACCUGUUUUCUAAGAAAAUUGAUUUUGAAAACUCGAUGAUUGUUGUGUAAAAGAAUUUUGUUUUGAAAAAUGAUUUUAUGAAAACCUUUGUUGAUUGUGGGUUCUAAAAGUCCUUGAUGAUUGAGAUGUAGGAAACUUCUUUGUGUGAUCAUGUUGAUUAAGAUUCUGAGACAAAGAUUUGGUUGUUUGUGAUUUGAAUUUCAUAGAAUUUUCUGGUGGUAAUGAUUGAGACAAAGACUUUUGUGUUUGAGCAGGAUUUUUCUUAAUAUCUGAAUUUGUUGAAAACAUUGUCUUACCAGAUGUAGACAUUAUCUUUUCAGCCUUUUUCUUUGUCAUAUCAUUUGGUUUCUUACGAUUAUCCACAACUUGCCAAAAAAAAUUAUUUCUUGCUUUUCUUUUCUAAAUACCAUUUUCUUUCAAAAAAAAUUCAAUUAGUUCCUUAAAAUCUUGCGAAUUGAUUUUAAGAAUUUUAUUUGUCUCAACAACAUUCUGUUUUGAAACUUCUUUUGUAAUUUGUUGUUUUUCAACCUAUUUUCGUUGUGGUUUUUGCAUUUGAAAAAUGUACGAAAUCUUUGUGAUAUUAUUUUCGACAAUUCUUUAAUUUGAAAAGAAUCCUUCAUCUGAUGUUUUCUUGUUAUCUUCUUCAACCAUCUUGUUAAAUUCCAAUUUAAUGUUCUUAAUAUUCCCAAAAGCGACAAACACUUGAUUAGGAAAGAUGAUAUCAUCUGUGCACUUGAAAUUUGGAUACACAACCGUAUUUGUUUCUAGAUAAUGAGCACUUUUUCAGUCAUCACUUUGUCGAAAUUUUCAGUAUCUAUAUACACUUGAUCAACAACAAUUCGAGGAAUGAUUGUUUCUUUCGAAACAUUCUUUUCUGACUUUGAAUUUUUUGAAACCUCAUCCUCAUCCUCAUCAUCACUACUAUCAGUUUGACUAUCUCUGACACUCACAUGGUCAACAUCAUAAACUUUCGAAGUAGAGGGUUUGUCAAUGUCAAUCUUAACCAUUGAAUCAUUACAUAUUUCUUUGCCUUUAGACUUAGAUGUGACAUUAAUGACAGACAUCUGAGAACAGUCAACACUUUCCUCUUCCUCAAUUUCACUGAUUUCGCUAAAACUAUCAGAAUUAUCUUCGAUAUUAGUGAAAUUAGAAUGACAGUUAGAUUUCAAAUUCUCAUUUCUUUUAAAAAAAUUUAGUUGUUCACUUUUGGUCAAUGUGUCAUUCACAAUCUCAACAAGUUCAUCAGCAUCAAGAUAUUCAUCUAUUUUAACAAUACCAUAAACAAAUCGAUUAUCAAGAACUCUGUCAAAUUCUGCUAUGGUUUUUUCACAGUCAUAAGAUAUGCUAUCAAACUUUUCUUUUUUAAAAGCUAGAAAAGGUAAUAACUUCCUAUGUUCUUUGCUUAUAUCAGAUGAAUGAUGCAAUUCAGUUAAUUUUGCAUAUAGACGUUUAGCAGAAUUACAAUAGAUGUUCCUUUGUGCUAAUAACAUCCUUACAACAUUGUCCAAAUUUUACCUAUCACAACUAAUAUUUUUCAAUUGAAGUUCUAGAUACUCAACCCUUCUUAUUUUCGAAUCCAACAACUUUUGAGUCUCUAGCAAUUGUAUAUUAUAUUUCUUAGCCUCAUUACUAGUAGACACAAUAAGAGUAUCGAAAUAAGCAAUAGUAUCAUCUAAAGUAGUUAUCUCAGAAUCAUAUGCUUGUAAAGGAAUAUUAAAAUAUUGAAGAAUAGAAUGUACCUUGGUAGUCAUUGGUGAUUUAUCUCCACUCUUGGUGAUGAAACUCAUGGGUUUUGAGCAUUCUAACACUCCUAUGGUGUACAUGCAACCGUAGAAACCUUGGAUCUAUGUUUGACUAAGAUACAUGGAAAUAAUUAUUUUUCCAAGGUUCUUAUCCUAUCUAGCAUGGCAUGGGGAACUUGAAUCGAAUAAAGAUAGUAGAAUUACUUACCUUGUAGUUGUAGUUGAUAGCUUGGAGUUUUAGAGCCUAGCACCAAUAGUGUGGAUGCCUCAAAUGGAAAUCACAAAUCACCACAAACUUUGGAACCUUGAGAGAAUAAUCACAACUAUCUUGAAAUCGACCCUCUUACUUUACUCACCACAACUAGUGUGAUUUCAAGAACCAAAGCCUCUUUAUAUAGUGUGGUGGAUUAGGGUUACAUCCAUGUAAACCCUAAUACCCAUGCCUCUUCAUUUCCAUGAGAUCCAUGGGUUAAAGCUCCAUGGAGUAUCCAUGGACUUUCCAUGCAAGCCUAGCCCAUCGAGUUACCAAUGUGUUUUCGUAUAAUCAAUGCAUAACCAAAUCAUAGGCAACAAAUCAUAUCUCUAGGCUUGAAGACUUAUAUGAUAUUACCGUCUCACGAUCACUCGAGAUAAAUUCCAUGAAGUGAUACAAGUGAGUGUGGGUUGAAUCCAAUACUCAAAACUUAUGAGCACUCAUGAGUGUUGUAGUCCCGGUUUGUCUAACAUCUUAGACCUCUACAAGCCAACCCAUGAUAGUCUUGAUUCAUAUCUACUUCCAACAUAUGAUCGACUAUGGAGAGUUUGAAUAAGAAGAUAUAAACCAUAACAUAUUUAUUCUGGAAGUCAAAACAUGCAAAAAGAAAUAAUAGUAAACGAUUAACAAGUGAUAGCAACACUUUACACAUAAAUAACAACUUUUAUUUAUCAUCAAAUGUCAAUUACAUUUGCAUGGUUACUUCACACCUCGUUUUGUGAUCCUCGGCAUCCCAGUCACAAAACUUGGAGGGCACACUCGAGAUUGAAACAUGCCUUUGAAAAGUUCAAUGAAUCUCAAAGAUCUAGGAGUUUCAAAACCAAUUAAAACCUAAUAAUACAUUUCGUUUAUCUUGGUGGAAAUUGGUGAAUCGUCAUUCACCUACCUUCAAAUAUUUUAUAGCUUGGAUUACGGCAUACCUCUUCUAAGUUAUAAAAUAGUUUGUUGGGUCCUAGCCUUAAUUUUUCAUAUUUGUUACGUCAUUCACCUACCUUCAAAUAACAACUUUUCAAGAACUUGUGGGUUAGGGAGAAUAAUUGGAGGAGGUGAAAGAAGUAUGAUAUCCAUGGGACAUCAUCUUCAUUUAGGAAACCUUGUUUCAAGAGAUUUGGGAAGAUCAUAGGUGUCUACUACAGACAUCUUUUGGGAGAUAUUCAAGAUAGUUGAUUUAAAGUCCUUAAUAUGACACCCAAUAUAAAUAAUUAAGGCUAGGACCCAACAAACUAUUUUAUAACUUAGAAGAGGGAUGCCGUAAUCCAAGCUAUAAAAUAUUUGAAGGUAGGUGAAUGACGAUUCACCAAUUUCCACCAAGAUAAAUGAAAUGUAUUAUUAGGUUUUAAUUGGUUUUGAAACUCCUAGAUCUUUGAGAUUCAUUGAACUUUUCAAAGGCAUGUUUCAAUCUCGAGUGUGCCCUUCAGGUUUUGUGACUGGGAUGCCGAGGAUCACAAAACAAGGUGUGAAGUAACCAUGCAAAUCACUUGGUACCCUUAAUAAAUUACCCCUCAAUCGAUGUGCCGGUUAACCACACACGCUCCAUCGAUACUAUGAUAAAUAUUAAGUCACCCUUUACCUACCUUGUUAAGUCCAAGUUAGUGUGCCGGUUAACCACACACGCUCCAC